rnacentral:lncRNA from 1 species
NNNNNNNNNNNNNNNNNNNNNNNNNNNNNNNNNNNNNNNNNNNNNNNNNNNNNNNNNNNNNNNNNNNNNNNNNNNNNNNNNNNNNNNNNNNNNNNNNNNNNNNNNNNNNNNNNNNNNNNNNNNNNNNNNNNNNNNNNNNNNNNNNNNNNNNNNNNNNNNNNNNNNNNNNNNNNNNNNNNNNNNNNNNNNNNNNNNNNNNNNNNNNNNNNNNNNNNNNNNNNNNNNNNNNNNNNNNNNNNNNNNNNNNNNNNNNNNNNNNNNNNNNNNNNNNNNNNNNNNNNNNNNNNNNNNNNNNNNNNNNNNNNNNNNNNNNNNNNNNNNNNNNNNNNNNNNNNNNNNNNNNNNNNNNNNNNNNNNNNNNNNNNNNNNNNNNNNNNNNNNNNNNNNNNNNNNNNNNNNNNNNNNNNNNNNNNNNNNNNNNNNNNNNNNNNNNNNNNNNNNNNNNNNNNNNNNNNNNNNNNNNNNNNNNNNNNNNNNNNNNNNNNNNNNNNNNNNNNNNNNNNNNNNNNNNNNNNNNNNNNNNNNNNNNNNNNNNNNNNNNNNNNNNNNNNNNNNNNNNNNNNNNNNNNNNNNNNNUUUUUUUUUUUGAGAGAUAGGUAGUAUGCUAUCCGCUUCGUUUGUUUUAUUUAGAAAUAAACUUAACUGAAUAUAUAAAUAAAUUAGGAUUCGAAUUUGGGAUCUCAGGUACCAACCACCAAGCCCUUUGUCACUUACGCUACUCACUGCUCCCUAUUGGGUUCUUAAAUUAGAAGCUCUUCAAGGGAACCUGACCCUCCCACUUCAGUUUAUAGCACACCUUCAGUAACUUUUGACAGAGCACAAACAACUAUACUACACAAGUUGAGGUGUUGGCCUUUGAGGGAAACAGCAGAGCUUCCACCUCUCCUAACAACGAAAAUUAAUGCUUGCUCCCCGUGCAUGUGUUUGUUAGAUUUGUCUCGGAAUUUAAUUAUUGAGUUCGAUUUUGUGCCUCUAAUUAGCCAACAAUUUUGCGGUGCAACAAACUUUUAAAAAUAAUUUGUAAAGAAAAAAAAUGAAUGUACGUGGUUCAUAGCAGAGGUCUCGGGCGGAUUGGCCCGAGUCCGCAUCGGACCCGAUUCUAAAGAAAUCCAUUUAGGUAUCGUUUGGUUCGGGGAUAAGCAAAAAGUGGGUAUUUCAGGAAUAGAUAUAAAUUAAGGUAUAAGCGGGGAUUAGAUCAAUUUUGCGUUUGGAUGAAAAUUAAGUUAUAUCUGGAAAUAAGAAAAAUAACGUUUAGUUAGGUAAGAUGAAAUAAGAAUUAAAGUCGGACACUUAUACACAUCUCCGAGCCCACAAAACAGACAAUAUUAUCCUUUUCUUUAUAUUNUUUUAAAAUAAGAAUAGUGGUGGGAACAAUUAAUAAAAAUAAUUUAUUAUAAUAAAUUUAUAAAUUUUUUUAAAAUUCUGCUUAAAUUUAAAUUUAAUAAAAAGAAUUUAUUAUAAUAUUUAAAUAUAAUUUAUUAUAAAUUUUAUUAUAAUAUUUAAAUAUAAAUAAUAUGUAUUAAUAUAGUACAAUUAAUAAUUUUAUAAUAAAACUAAUGUAUUAUAAUAUAUAAUAUAUUAUAUUUAUAUAAUUUAGUUUUAAUUCAUUUUAUAAUUUUAAUUAAUUUUAAAAUUAAGCAUUGGAAUAGCACUAUUCCACCAAAAUGGUGGAAUAGUAAAAAGCUUGCUAACCGACCGUCCCUAGAGCAAGUGGCAAAAGGCUUGGAGGUUGGUAUCCGAGAUCCAAGUUCGAAUCCUAGUUGAUUCAUAUUUCUAGCUAAGUUUAUUUUUGAAUGAAAUAAACGAAGCGGGUAGCGUGCUACCUAUCUCUCUCAAAUAAAAAAAAAAAAGAAAAGUAAAAAGCUUGCUAUUCCGGGAUAACCGGGAAUAACAAGCUUUGACCGGAAUAAAAUAUCCUGAUAAAAAAUGACCCCGUUUGGCGGAUAAGCGGGAAUAACUUUCAUUAUCCCCGCUUAUCCCCCGAACCAGGGUCUUAGAAACUUUCUUUCUUCUUUUUACUAUAGAGACAAUACAUCAUAUUGUAUUUCUAUAAUAUUGUAUCUUUUUUUUAUAGUAAAGUUCUCUCCUCCUUUCAUGAUUUUUUUUCUACAAAAAAUUUUUUAUGUAAAAAUCUUUGUAUUCUAUUUUAGUUUACUAUUUUGUGGUUUAUCUAUUUUGCAAUUGCCCUUUUUUGUUUUUAUUUAUGCGCUGAUCGUAACAAUAUUAAUUUGAGCAAUUAAUAUUCAAUAAUAAAUUUCUCAAAAUAAGAAUCUUUCUAUCAACAUUCAUAAGUUCUCCUAGAAAAAGCGUAGAGCUUAUUUAAGUUUUAAAGUCUCUUCGUCGGCAUCAAAUAAUUAAUUAAUCUAAAAAAAUAGUUGUAUGUAAAGAGACAUUAUUUAACUUAGGGCGUGUUUGGUUCGAAGUCGGAGUUGGAAUCGAAAUUGGAAUCAAAAUAAGCUGGAAUCGGAAUCGGAAUGACUCAUUACCUAAUUCUGUUUGGUUCAUCAUCUGAAUCGAAAUCGGAAUAAACCAUUCCCAUUGUCAGUGUUUGGUUCAGGUGGAUAUAAAAAAUGUAAUCAAAUUAAUAUACUAACAUUAUCUUUAUAAUAUAUUAAUUUAAAUUCAAAUUAAAAAUUAAAUAUUAAAAAUUUACAUCAAAAUUUUGAAAUAAUAUCAAAAUUUUAAAUCUUUUUUUUUAAAAAAAAAUUAAACUUUGAAGUUGAGUGGAUAAUUCAAAAUAUGAAACCAAAUUUUGAUUUAUUCAAAUUCAAACUUAAAAUUACAAUUUUAGUUUUAAUUUGAAUCCAUAAAUUUAAUUUAAGUUUGAAAUAAAAUUUGAAUAAAACUUUAUAUAAAUUAAAAUUUAAUUUAAAUUCAAAUUCAUAAGUUAGAUUCGAAAUUCUUGAUUAAAUUUUAAUUUUUAAUUUAAGUUCAAAUUAAAAUUUAAAAUUAUAUAUUUAAUUUUUAAAUUUUAAUUCAUAUUUUAAUUAAAAAAGUUAAAAAAAUAAAUUUAAUCCGAAUAAAUAUUCAUUCCGUCUGGAUUCAACUGCCAAUCCGCCUCCUAGGCCGGAUUAAAAAAAGAGGUGAUUGGGAGAUUCCCAUUCCACUCGAGAAUCGGAAUCGGACUGGGACUCCCGCGUACCAAACACUCACAAAUGGAUUCACCCAUUCCGAUUCCGAUUUCAGGAUGGAAAAGAAGCAAACAAAACACGCCCUUAUAGAAAACUAGGUGUUCAUAAUUUAUGAUCUAUAAAAGCCUUAUUACGAAUGUUUUAAGACACAUAUUUAUAAUUAAUAAGUUAAAUUCUGAGGACGUUGAGGCCUUCUAGGGUAAAGUUCUAAUCCAUGGUGCAUGUAAUAAUUUCUUCUUCUAAUUAUUCUAUAUGCUUUAGCUUAUAUUCCCUUUACUAUCCCAUCCAACCAUGCUUUAUCCAUUGAUUCGUAUAUAUAACCAUACAUUAUCUCUUUCGAUCAGUGCCUAUCACCCAACCUUAGAAUGUUUUUUUUUUUUUUUUUUGAACGAGAUAGCUAGCUAUUUGCUUCAUUUAUUAAAUAAAAUGAACUAAGCUUAUCCAACCUUAGAAUGUUAAUGAUGGUCUCGGUUGCUUCUAUAACUUAUUUCGGAACAUGAGGAUAUAUGUUACUUUCGUGCAGAGAAGAAUAUAGGAAUAGAUGCUGAUGUGAUGCAUGCAAUCACUCAUCCUGGAUAACUGUUAUUCUUGUAGGGGAAUAAUAUCCUAAAGAAUAAAUUUAGGAUCUUUACUGUCCUUGUUCGGUCGUAACUUUUCUCGAAACUGUGACAUUAAUUGGCACGAAUUUUUAAUACUCAAAUCAUUUCGGCAUCAAGUACCAAAGCAUGCACACAUUUUUGGAGAAUAUUCUUAAUUUGUCCUCUUUGCAGUUUCUAUCGUUGCAUUUACAUCUUUAGUUAACUAAUUAAGUAGGCAUGUGGCUCUCCAUUUGCAUUGCAACAUAAAAUAUUCGAUAAAUUAAAGAGGAUAUAUAUAUAGCACAAUGAGCAGCUUUGUUGCCAAUCCGUACAUCGUCCAAGAUUCCUUUAAUUUUAAGAGAAGGUGCUUCAGAGAUCAUCAUGCCUACCCACCACCCUAUACUUCCAAAGUUGCUUCUAGCCGCCGCGCGCUUCUUUGUUUAUUAUUUUAAUUCUUUUUUAAUGCUCGCGCACGAGUACAACUCUAUAUAUAUAUACGUCAAAAGCGAUGCCAACUUGAACACAGGGCAUCUAACUAGAAAGCCAAAUUGAACAAGGCAUCUGCAUGAUAUGGACUUAAUUUCGUUUAGAUCUGUUUAAACUAGUAAGUAUUGCAAAUAUAAGUCAUUAAAAAAAAAAAAAAAAGGCAAUUGCUUAUAUAUUACUGAAAAGUUUUCGACUUUCCGAUUUAUCCCUCUUGGCUAGUAUUAAAAAUACCUUUCUAUAUUCCAACCUAUUUCUAAUAUAUCCCAAGAGUUAAAAUCUGUUAAUUAACUCUGUUAUCUCUAUAAAAUUACUAUUUUGCCCUUUCAAAUAUCCCCUUCCACCAUCAAUGACUUUCUUAUUUGUCCUUAAAGUCAGGGGCACAAAAAGUAUUUUGACUUUUAGUCUUUUCCAAUAUUCUCCUCUACCGUCACCAACAUUAAGGGUAAAAUUGACAUUUUAAUUUUUUUUAACUGUGGUAGAUAUUUAACUCACAUUUAACCCAAGUUAACUUAACAGAAGAUAACUACAAGGAUAUUUUGCAAUAUGGUGGAACAUAUGAGAGGUAUUUUAGAAAGAAAAAAAAAAGGAUAAAUCGGAUAUUUUCAAACGUAAGAAGAAAAUAUAGGCAAUUAUCCAAAAAAAAAAAGAAAAAAACUUAGUAUGAUGAUCAUGAUCAACUCAAUCUUUUUUUAUUUUUCGUGAGGACCUUAGUUCUUAGUUUAUACACUGGUUUAAUUUAAUACUAUCUCACUGCCAUAUUUUACCUAUAUUAUUAUAAUUUUUUAAAAAAUAUUUACGGAAUAAUCAAAUAUCAUCUUGUCUUAUCAUACAGUUGCGCUCUCUCUUUCUUAUUUCUCCAGAGUUGCAAUCUGAUCUGCAUCACUUUAUCACUCUAGUGGCAUCACUUUAUCACUCUAGUGUGAAGGAUUUAUUUGUUUUGGUUUUUUUUUUGAGGAAUAGGUAGCGCGCUACCUUCUUCAUUCAUUAAAAGAGUGAACUAAGCUACAGAGGUGAGACAACAUGGGCCUCGAAAGCAACAGAAAAAAAAAAAAAAAAACCUAGCGAUUACAGUGGUGCAAAUUUAAUAACAGAUAGUGCUUCUAUUGGUCAGUCAACAGUUUAAUCUUAUUUAUACCCAGCAAUGGGUCUGAAUUGACCGAUCUGAAGAUUGUACCGUUCCUAGCUUCCCAGAUGAUCCACCAACAAGCUAUUAAACCGGUUGGUCCCGAAAGAGGGGAUGGCGAGUCCUUUCUACUUAUCCAUCUAUCCCAAACGAUAGUCACGUCAUCACUCAAGUCUCUUGUCUGUAUACUUUCCAAUGCCAUGAUCAUAAGAAAUCUGAAAAAUACGCACCGAGCGAAUAGGCGGUCUAUUGUUUCCUCCUUCAUCCCACACAAAGCACAGGACGUGUUACCCAUCCAUCCUCUCUUAAGUAGGUUGUCUGCAGUAAGGUGCCUCUUCCUGAGGACGAGCCAACAAAACAUUUUCACUUUUAAUGGUAUGCGAAUUCUCCAAAUCUUACUAGCACGGGCGUCCCUCGUACUACCAUCGCACAGCCCAGAAUAGGUUGACUUUACUGUAAAGCGUCCGUCCGAAUUCCAUCUCUAAUGCACACUGUCUGGUCCCUGUUCGAUUCUAAAAUUAGAGAUCUCCGUCUUCAGUGAUGUAAUGCAAGAAUUUAAUCGAUUAUCGUUAGUUGUAUCGCAUCCCAAGAUCUUGCGCCAAUUCCAUCCGUCGCUUCUAAAGCACUCACUGAUAUUUAGUUUUUUGCGAUUUGAUAGGAGGUACACCUCUGGGAAUGACGAUUGUAACGUGGUGUCCCCACACCAGCAAUCUGGAUCUGCCCAGAAGUCGAUACUACAACCAUUGCCCAAUUUAUAAGCAACGCCCCGUUUGAAGAUUUCUUUUUGACUUAGAAUUUCUUUCCACCAGAAAAAGGGAGGUUUAAAAGACAGGCCCUCCUUUAAUGGUCUUCCUCUAAGAUAGUAUAAGUCGUGUAUUAACUUGUUCCACUCCAACUGGGGCGAGGUAUGAAAUUUCCACCACCAUUUGACAAGAAGAGCUUGUUUCAUCAUGGCUAUAUCCAGAAUGCCUAAUCCUCUCUUUUUCUUGCUCCUGCAAACGUUUUUCCACGAAACUAGACAUUCCUUGCCAGGUGAGUUGUGCCCUCUGUUCCAAAAGAAGUCCCUUCGUAAUGCCUCAAUACUAUUGAUUGCCCAUCUUGGUGCCUUGAACACUGAUAGAUAGUAAAUGGGAAGAUUAGUAAGAACAGCUUUCAUUAGUAUGAGUUUUUUUCUUCUUGACAGUAGUUUCGCUUGCCACCCUUCAAUUUUGCUUUGUAUUUUGUGGAUGACUCCUCUCCAAUUCUCCUUAGUAGGAGGCCUGAUAGACAGAGAAGUAAGCCUAAGUAUCUAGUAGGUAGACUGCCAACUCUACAAUUAAGAAGGCGUGCCAACCUUGUCGCUUUUCCCUUAUUUGUUUUGUUGUUUAAGCAAUAUAUCAUAGCUCAAAACUCUGGUAAGUAACGUAAACUCUACAUAACUCGUGAGACGAGUAAUGCAGCUACUUACGACAUAAUAGAAAUUAACUAGGUGAUUAAUUUGUGAGAUAGACCGUAAUCUAGUUAGAGUGAAAGUGGAGAUCACAUGCGCAGUCCAUUUUACAAAUGUUCCGACUUCAUAGCACUCCGCACUACUGCACUGCAUGACGUCAAACAAGACCAAAUUAUACAUGUUAGCCCUAAGCUUGAUUAAAAAUAUACAAACUAAUCGACCAUAAAAAUAAGUACCUAACUUGACUAACUUUGCAAAUAGUUUAAACUCGACCUAAAAGAAGGCAUCUUAAUUAAUUUGGGAUUAAAAAGUGAUGAUCCUCUAGCGUUGUCACUAAGUAAAAGUGACCCAUUUACAUUGUCGUACGUACAUGUGGUAAAAUGAGCUGUAACGAAGGACGAAAAUGAUCAUUUUCACCGACCGUCUCUAAAACAAGUGACAAAAAAUUUGAUUGUUGGUAUCAAGAGGUUUCAAGUUUAAAUCCUAAUUGAUUUAUAUUUCCCGCUAAGUUUAUUUUUAAAUAAAAUAAACGAAUCGGAUAAUAUGACCAUUUUCGAGUUAAUUAAAACCAAAUUAUAGAGAAAGAAAGUACCACGAACGUGAGAUUUUCUCCUUGGUGGGUUUCUCCAGUGACCGAACCAUUAGACCAAGUUUGACUAAUUAAUUAGGAACGUGUUUGUUUUUGACUUUUAGGUUGAAUAGGACCUCUUUGGUUAGUGGUUCACGCACUUUUUUCUAAAUUUGAACUUUGUCGUACCUCUAGGUUCAUUUCUUUUAGGGUGUGUUUGAUCUGAUGUAAAACUGUGGAAAAAAAAAUUUUAAUUGAAAAUUUUUUUUCGGAGAACAACAAAUUUUAUGGUCUCUAACGUUUAUAGGGAAAAAAAUAGUUUUCCGUUACGAUUGUCUGGUUGAAAAAAAAAAAAUUUAUAAAUAAAAAUUAUUAUAUAUAUUUUCUCUUAUUGUAUGUAUUACAUAUUAUUGAUAUAUAAUAAUUAUCAUCUAUACUACUUAUAAAAGAGCGAGUUUUAAAAAUUUUUUAUUUUCCANUAUAUAUAUAAAAGGGGGGUGUAUUUGAUGUUUAAUAUGCUUUCGUGAUUCUAUAUGCUUUUAUGAUGCAUGAAUUUUUUACAUAAUGAAUAUAAAAGAGGGGUCCACCGUGGACUCUCUCAUGCGGUCCACGAGGUGAGAAUGUCCACGUGCGAUUUUGGGAGGGAGAGUUUUCGUUUUCCGCGAAUGCCGAGAGGAAAACGAAAACUCAUUUUUUCCCAACAAUAUGUAAAAAUGGUUUUUCAAAAAAAAUUUUUACAGAUAACCAAACAUAGCCGAAAAUUUUUUUUCUCACUACUUUACACCCCCUUAGUUUUUGCUUUUAAGCAUAGGGGGGAGGAUUCCUUGCCCUUGGAAAAAAAAAAAAAAAAAAAAAAAAAAAAAAAAAAAAAAAAAAUCUGGACUGGGACAAGAUUCUAAGUAGCACCAGCACUAGUGAAUGCUCAAAUAGUAACGGCUGGUGCUGGGACAAGAUUCUAAGUAGCACCAGCACUAGUGACCACAGAAUGACUGCAUGCAUUUUGGCCCUCAAGGCACGGCUCUUCUCCUUCAAACCUGGGCUGGGACCGGACAGUGUGCAUUGGCGGUGGAGCCCUAACGAGCGUUUUAGUGUGAAGUCAACGUAUUCAGCAAUAUGUGACGGGAGGACGAGGGACGGACGAACCUGCAAAAUUUGGAAGCUCUGCAUACCAUUAAAAGUUAAAGUGUUUUGUUGGCUCGUUCUAAAAAAGAGACCUCUUACUGCAGAUAAUUUAUUAAAAAGAUGAUGGAUAGGCAACUCGAAUUGNGUAUAGAUAUCCGAAAUUUUAUCCGAACCCGAACCCGAAUGAAACAGAUAUAUCCGAUGGAUAUGGAUAUGGAUUUGGAUUUAGAUAUAAAAAAUAGAAACCCGACGGAUAUGGAUUCAGAUAUGGAUUUUGAUUGUACCCGACCCGAACCCGUAUUUAUUUUGUAUUAUAUAUAUAUAUAUAUAUAUAUAUAUAUAUAUAUAUAUAUAUAUAUAUAUAUAUAUAUAUAUAUAUAUAUAUUUGAUGUUAUAUUUGAAUUUGUAUUUUAAAAAUUUAGAUUUAAUAUAAUAUUUUUUGAAAUAUUGAAAAAAGAAAUAAUUGUUUCGGGUUCAAAUUUUCGGGUUCGGGUUUGGGUUCGGGUUUCGGAUUUUUGGUCGGGUUCGGGUUUGGAUAUGGAUUUUUAAAAUCCAUCGGGUUCGGGUUCGGGUUCGGGUUUCGGGUUUGGAGUCGGGUUCGGAUUCGUGUUCGGGUUUUUAAAAAUCCACCCCGAAUCCGACCCGUUGACAUCUCUACCUCUUACUGUAGAUAAUUUAUUAAAAAGAUGAUGGAUAGGCAACACGAAUUGUGUGCUGUGUGGGUCUGAUAUGGAAACAGUAAACAACCUUUUUUCUCAAUGUGUAUUCUUCAAAUUUCUUAUAGUGAUGUCAUUGGAGAAUGUCCAAGCAGGAGAUUUGGCCGAAGAUGUGCAUAUGGUUUGGGACAGACGGAGCGAAAGGAUGGGGUCUCAGUCCAUGAGCGAUGGUUUAGACUAAUUGUCUGCUGAUGGGUUAUUUGGGAGACGAGAAAUGGUGUGAUCUUUAGGAGGAAUCAGACUGAUCCAAUCCGUGGUUGCUAUAAGGUUAAACAGCUGACGUCCUUAUGGGAGAAACUUCGCCCUAUGGAGAGACACUGAUUUUUUUUUUAAUUUUAUUAUUAUUAUUAUUAUUAUUAUUAUUAUUUUGUUUGUCUUUGUCCGGCUUUUCAUCUCUUUAGAGGCCUUGUUGCCUCACCCAUGUAGCUAAGUUCAUAUCCUGAAUAAAUAAAGCGGGUAGCGUGCUACUUUUUUCUCAAAAAAAAAAAAGGAAAAAAAAAAAAAAAAACUGGUUAUAUAUGGUUCUCAAGAGUCAAGAGUAAUAAAAGUCAAAGCAAAACCACCGGUGUCUAAUACAAGUAGUAAAGAAUUUAGUGGUUAAUAUCCGACAUUUUAAAUUUGAGACCUAAUUAUUUUACAUUUUCAACUAAAUUUAUUUUGAAAAAAAAUUUAGAAAGAAGCCUCUAAAAAAAAGCCAUCUAAAACACCGAGUUCUCCUACGUUACGUCUUUCUAGGAUCAAAUUAUACAAAUCCUAAUUUUCUGGCAAAUAUAAGAACAUACAAGGUGAUCGAUAUCAUGCCCAUUCGGCUAAAUCUUUGAAUUUGAAAAAUUUUGGUGACUUUGAUGAAAAAGUCAUUAAUAAAUCUCCAAUAACUCAACACUUCUUCACCAAAUUUUCCAGUACCUACCCGGCAUUCUCAAAUGGAGAAAAUAUGAACCAUGUGAUCACUAUCAUCCUAAAACAUUCCGAAACUUAGUGGAAUCAUAAGUUUGUAAUGGCAUCUUAGUCACAAAGAUUCCUCCAGAAUCUUGAUCAAAAUUUUCAUCCACUUCUGGAUCACUAGUACGAAGAAUACAGAGCGCUAGCUAGCUACAUGUUCUCCCGAGGAUGUUCGACAAUUACACAAAAUGCUUGCUGCGAACCAUCUCUCGCAAAAUAUACAGCGUCCACGCAGGUCGUGUUUGCGAGUCUAUAUCGCAUCAACUACAUCAAUCGAUCCAUCAAAAUGCUCCACUUCAAUUAGUCUUAUUAUAAGUAUAGUGGUGUGCCCAAAUUUUCUUCAAGAAAAAAUCUAGUCCCUGCUGAUCUUCCACUUUGACUUAAAUCCCGAUCUUUUAAUUUUAAUUAUUUAUAAUGGUUUGAUGGUUGUGCAUUUGUUUAUUUCUUGUGGACCACACGUUGGUCAUAGUUGUGUAUGAAUUGGAUGCGUCGGUGGGCGGUGUGCGUAGGUUUGAGGUUUUAGGUUUUAGGUUUGGGGUUUGAAUCACUUAUUCACUUGUGGGUACUGUGGGGCCCCUUGCCACCUUCUUAUUAUUAAAAAAAAAAAAAAAUUGAAAUUGUUCUCUCAACACUUCUUAGUUCUGGCCAUCAAACUAUUACUUUAAAACUAGUUUUACUUGACAAAAAUAGUUGUAAUUUGCUUGAUAAUUUAGAUUUGUUAAAUGCAUUAAUUUAGAAUAGCUCCUUAUAAAAUGUUUACCUUAAUAGCGAGCCAAUGAAUCUAGUUAAUAGUAUAGGAAUGAUGUACAGAGUUAGAUGAAAAAAGGUGCAUGCAAGUAGCCAAGUUGAAGACAACCAAGGGUUCCAUUUGAGAUUACGACCGAAUUGCAUUACGUAUAAUGAAAAAGUAUGAUAAAACUAAAAUAUAAAUUUUAUUUUUUUUUCUGAAAAAAGAAAAAUAUAUCAAUAUAUGAUAUUUCUUUCACUCUUUUUGGCGUUAAACGAUUUGAAGCACCAAGUGGGGCCCAUAUCUCUUGAUAGUGUGGAAUUGCAUAACAACCAAACCUCCAUUAAAUCCAAUGAGAUAAACGUGUACAAAUUAUUAUAUUUGUUAUUUUCCUGCAAAACUAUAGCCUAUAAGUCAUCAGAAAAACCAAACCUCUAUUAAAUCCAAUGAGAUGAACGUGUGCAAAUUAUUAUAUUUGUUAUUUUCCUGCAAAACUACAGCCUAUAAAUCAUCAGAAAAAUUAACUGAUAAAAUGUAUUAACUUUUCAACUAUGAUGAGGGCAAAACAAUCAAAUAAACCAAAUUAAUUUUUUCCAAAAAUUUACAGAUAAUUGCUCGAGGUUAUAUAACUUUCCACAUUUUGUGUCGAAACACAUUACUUUUGGGCCCCUGGAACGGCCCAAUACUGCCCAGUCAGUAGGCCCCAUUCCACCUGGUUCGUAACGUGGUCCUCACACUGUAGUACUACAGUAUAAAAUGUAAAUACAACACCCGGUCUCUAAGCGGGCCAAUAAAUCAUCGCCCAUACAAAAUUAGGCCAACUUGUGUGUUUGGAUCUGAGUCGUGAUUAGCGAGCUGGAUCAGCUCGAUCGAACCAAUUCACAAGAUACCUUUUUUAUAAAAUAUAAAAUAUAUAUGCGACUAACAAGGCGGACUUUGAAAAAGCUUUUGACAACGUAAGAUGGUCCUUCCUAAAAAGUAUUAUGCACUGGUUAGGAUUUUCUGACAAAUGGUGGGCAUGAAUCGAGCAAUGCGUGUGUAACGCCAAAGUCGCCAUCCUUGUGAAUGACCUUCCGUCCGGAUGGUUGAAAACAAGAAAGGGACUUAAACAGGGAGACUCCCUAUCCCCCUACCUGUUCCUUUUGGUAGCCGACAGCCUGGCCAGGACGAUUGAAGCAGCAAGGGAGAAUAACCUGAUUCGUGGCAUUGGCCCUUCUGAUGAAUGCCGGACGACGCUUAUUCAAUAUGCCGACGAUACAAUCUUUUUCCGUGAGUCAAGAAAGCGCUUCCUACGCAACCUUUUAUUCGCUUGGAAUAUCUUUGAAUGGGCAUCUAGCCUUAGGGUUAACAAGAGCAAAUCGGAUUUUUACUACAUCGGACACAAUCCACGCCAAGCCAACAAACUCGCUAGUAUCAUAGGAUGUCGAAUCGGAAACCUACCGUUUCACUACUUGGGGCUACCACUCCACAACAAGCGACUACGUAAGGAGGAUUGGAGAUGGGUCAUCAACUGUAUUGAGAAGAGAAUUGACGGGUGGAAAGUUAAGCUCCUAUCUUUUGUGGGAAGACUUACCCUCGUCAACUCGGUUCUCUCCAACCUGCCGCUCUUCUACUUCUCCAUCUUCAAAGCGCCGAAAUGGGUUUUACAACGGAUAGAAGCUUUGCGACGAGCCUUCUUUUGGAAAGGUUGCUCCAAAAUUACCAGAGGUGCAUGUCUCGUCAGCUGGAAUUCUAUUUGCAAAAGUAACAAAGAAGGGGGUUUAGGAAUUAAAGACAUGGAAUCAAUGAAUUUGGCCCUUCUAACCAAAUGGUGGUGGCGCUUCUUUAACGAGCCUAAUCUACCUUGGUGCAAACUAAUUAGAUCAAUCUACUACAACAGAAGAAGACCGCUUCAUGAGGGUUCAGCCUUUGCCCCACACUCGCAAUGGUAGAAAGGCGUGCUCAGUUGCCGUAAGGUUUUCACGUGCGGCGUAACCUAUGAGUUAGGCGACGGCCUUAAUAUCAGGAUGUGGUCUUACAUCUGGAUUGGUGAACUCCCUCUUCGCACCCUCUUCCCGAAUAUUUUUGUGAACAUCGCAAAUAAGGAGGCAAGGCUGUCCCAGUGCUGGAAUGCAAAAGGGUGGCGAUGGUGGUACAUUUGUCGUGGUUUCGCGGUGUCCCAAUCUGCUGAGAGGCGCGCACAACUGACGAUGCUUAAAGACUUACUUCAACACCGCGCCCCAUGCAACAAAACGGACUCCUACAAAUGGCGGUGGACAUCCAACCAGCUAUUUUCUGUCAAAUCCCUCUACCGAUUUGUCACAACUGCGGGACAAAUAAACCCGAUAAACGGCGACAUCUGGAAGCUGAAAAUUCCACUCAAAGUCAAAGUCCUUACCUGGCUGCUGCUUCGGAAAAGACUACCCACAGCCGACAGACUGUCCAAACGGGGUAUAGCUGUUGAUCAACACUGUGUCUUCUGUGCUGUGCUAACGGAGAGCUGAGACCAUAUUUUCUGCAACUGCGUCUUUGUUAGAUACCUCCUCCUCACUACAGGUGGGUGGAAUACACCUGGCGCUAUACCCGACGGCACUUCAGGUGACGUUCGCAGGCUCUGGACAACUACUGCCACCACUUGUGUCAAUAUAACGAGAGCAAAAGGACUUACGCUACUAGCAGCAAUCUGGUGGGUGGUUUGGAGGGAUAGAAAAAACUCUGUGUUCCAGGCUUUACCGGCCAAUGCGAGCCGGUCACUAGAACGGGUCAACCUCCCGACGAACAGCUGGGCCACGCUGUGCUAACGGGUCGCUAGCUUUCUUGUCCCCCUACUCCCCUCUUGUUUUUUGUUUUUUCAUUCAUUCUUGCUCUGUUUUUUAUUUUUUUCCUCGCCUUGCCUUCGAAAGCCUUAGCUGCUUCCAUCAUGUAUGCUCAGUUUAUUUUACUUAAUGAAUGAAGCAGGUAGCUUUCUACCUUUUUCUCAAAAAAAAAAAAAAAAAAAAUAAAAUAAAUUGUGACUACAAUUACUAUUAUUUUUUAGAAAUAUUUAACGUGCCAAAAGCUAGAGGUAAAGUGGCACUUGACACCAGUAAAGUAGCGGCAACUCAACCACCACGUUCACUGUUAUCUCCUAAGCUAGCUUAGCAAGUGCGCAGAGAUUAGUUAAUUUAUUAUUUACGGUGACCGACCAUUGGACUAAUCAAAUGUCUACAAUAACAUCCAUCGCAAAAAUUUCCAUGGAAACAUAGAUACGUCGUAUCUUAAUAAGAUCCAAAAAAAUUUUUGAAUUCAGUAGCGAAAAAUCUUUAUAUCCACCGAUCACAUGCGUGCACUAUACUUCCCUUCGUCGCACGUUUCCUUUUGUUUUGUCUUCCUCCCCCUUGUCGGAGAUACGUAACGUUCGAAUGAUUAAGCAAGAAAAGCUUUUUCAUCUGUACACACAAGUAGCUAGAGAGAAACGGACAAGCAUCUUCUUCUGUUUGUUUUUGAUUCUCGUACAUACAAUGUAUAGGUCCAGGAUCUGCAAUGGAAAUCGACGAGCGUGUUCUCGGUAGCUUGAGCCGAUCCUGGUCAUCCUUAAUCGCUACGUGAUCUCCUAGAAUUACUUAUCGUACAUGUUGUCCCUCAAUUGUUCAAGAGAGCAAUGAUUCAAGGAACCGAACUGCUGUGAAGAAGAAAUUAUUUUGAUAGACGUACGGGAUCGAACGAAUGCAAUUGCAGUGACAAAUAUCAUAGUCCAUUGGUGAAUGGCCAUCAACUUUCCCGUAGGUGUCAAAUAACUAGUACUAGUACAUAUAUAUUGCUUGUAGAUAACUAGAAUUCAAAAGCUAUAUGUUUCAGUAACCAGUGCUAGAAAAAUUUAACGUUUUCAAAAUAAAAUAAUUAAGGUAGUUACGUACUAAAGAGCGACACAGAGCUAAUUUUUUACAUUGAAAAGUUCUACUUUUUAUGGAGAAAUUAAGAAACAUUCGAUUUCUAUUUACGGAUCAGAAUAGAAAAAAAAAAAAAAAAAAAGGAAAAAAAAUGCAACUCUCAAACAAGUUUCACCUACCAAGUUCCUGUUGUGCCAUCCCCACCCUUCAGCUUAAUGACAACAAAAUCUAAAUUAAAUCGGUAGCAAACAAAAACAAGGAGGCACAUCAUGAUCACCAUCAUCAAGCACAAGCCACUUUUGGUGGGCCUAUCAAGAUCAUCCAAGAAAAAAGAUGGCCAAAAUGGGGCCCUCGAACUUAUUGGUGUGACUGUGAUCCAUGUGUACGCCUCUCCAUGGCUAAUAUCAUCACUAUCCCAAAUUGGUGGGGAAAAAUAACUAGAAAACUUUUGCUUUUAAGGGGUUGUAUCAUUUUGAAGAGGCCAGGGUCAAGAUUCUCACACAGAUAUGUCUUUUAGUGGUUUUUUUUUUUUUUUUCACCUUUUUUUUCUUUCUUUUUUUUUUUUUUCCUUUGGAUAAACUAUGGUAAUUUUUAAUACAAAUAUUUUGAAUUCUCACAAUCUAAUAUGAUUAAUUAAAUAUUGACAAAUUUAUUGAUGCAGAAGUAAUAAACAAGUUUUGUGAUUGAUACCGUGACAAUAAUUAAGAUACUAUAUUAUUUAUAUAUUAAUAACUUGUUAAUAUUUAGUUAAUUAAAUCGAGUUGUGAAACUUUAUUUGUAAUAAUUCAAAAAAUUCAAAUAAAAGUUUACAAUAAAUUAAAAUUUGAAUAGCAAAAUGUCAUACACUCAGACGUCUGCCUCAUAGUUUGAGAAUUAAAAGUGUAAUUUAUCGUUUUUCUAUAAUUUUUUAAAUCCUUUUCGCCCCUUGUACCUUUGAUGAGGCACUCAGGUAAUUAAUCCGGCCACCACCUUACAAUCCCCAUCAUGAAGCAUAAUGGUUUUUUUCCUACAGCCUCCACUAGUAGUGGUGGGUCGCAUAAUCCUUAAUUGGGACUUAAUGGUCUUUAUAAUCUCCAUCAGGUUUAUUGGACCGGAUCGGGUGCUCCGUGCACCAAAUAUUCGAACCAAGAUCCAAUUGGGACUAUUAAUUUAACAAUUUUAUGAUGUACUAGAACUAGUGACAAUUUUGUGAUGUUGGAAAAUUGCAGUAGUUUUAUGCUAAAUGGAAAAGGCUUAGGUCAUAUAUAUGCAUAUCAACAUCGAUUAACUUAUUAUCAAGAUGAGGAGAUAUAAGAAUGAAUCAGAAGAACAUUUUACAUGUACGAAUCUUAUCGAAAUAGAAAAAUGUAUAUACUUUUUUGUAUUUUAUUAAUUUAAAUUUAUGGUAAAUUAAAAGUGUUGGUCAGUUUCGAGCUAGAUUGAGUCUACAUCAGUUUGAUUCCACCUAGAACUCAAUCUCCGGCCAGAGGGGUUUUAAAUUGGACCCACAUUUAUUCUACAUGUUCCCCUAAUCUCAAUCAAACCGAGAUAUGAUUGGAUUAGGACCGGAUCGAUUUGAGCUACUGGGAUCCAAAUGAUAAUUCAAGCUAUAAAUCCAUUUCGAAAUAGGAUCUACUUUAAGCAGAUCAAGUUUAAUAUUUGCAUUGGUUCAAGCGAAGAAUACUUAAAAAGAAUAUGCUCAAUUUUUUGCUUUAGAAAGCAAAAAGAGAAACAUAUUCUCAACAUUAGUAAACAAAGUGAAAAGUGCUGCCCUUUUCUCUGUUUAUUAGACUCUAUAAUUUAUGCUUUACGGAUCAUGAUCUAUUUGGCCAUUUAAUUACUGCCGCACAGAAGCAAUGAUAAAAUGAUUAAUCUAUACCUAUAUAUUAUUUUUUAUAGAGUUUGUUACGUGAUAAUUCUUUCUUCUAUCCCCUUUCCACUCUCUUAUACUUCGCUUUCUCAUCCUAUCUUUAUCCGAUAUUUUGUCUUCCCACCUGCCCACUUCUAACUAAUAUAUUCACAUAAUUUAUUUUCAUCUAAACAAAUUACUUUCACAAAAAAAAAGUAUAAAAUAAAAUUGCUUUAUACUCUUUUUUAUCAUAUUUUUUAUUUUUUUUGUACAUAAAAAAGGUUCAUUUUUUGCAAUUUUAUUUUAUUAUUAUUUUUUUUCUAAAAAUUGUGUGGGAAUGGAAAUUAGAAUUUCGAGAAUCGCAGUGGUGUAGCUAGGUAAAAGUGACGUAGAUUUGGAGGCGAUAAAGGAAAAAAAGCGGUGAGUAUGGAGGGAGCCCCGUAUAACAUCGACGUGGCCGUAAAUUAGACACCGACAAUGACAGUGGAAGCGACAUGAAGAACAGUAAUCGCCUCUCUGAUCUCGGUAGCACGAUUGAGAUGCGUAUGGAGUAAUAACUCUAUUAUUUUUUUUUAUUAUUGUUAUAUGUAAUUUAUUUACUAUUGUAAGUUUUGUUAUAUUUUAUAUAUUUAUUUUAUAUUUUUCUAUUUGGAUUUGUUUCAUUACAAGUAAAAAUAUUUUAAAAUUUUAAUUUUGUCAAUUUUCUAUCUUAUAUAGUAUUAGCCCGCCGCAAUGCGGGGAUAAUUUUACUAAUACAUAUUAAAAGAGAAUAGUUUACAGUAGACUGGUCAUUCUAAAAACUUGCACAAAACUUGUACAAAAUCAAGAUCAAUAAAAUAGCUAAUCACCAAAUUUUCUCUGUUAAGAGAAAAUUAAAAUUAAUUAAUCCUGAUAAUAAUAAUGACACAAAAGUGGCAUCACCACCUCUUGCAUCAAAAGGAGGAGGAGAGAGUGGCAGGUGUAUAAAUAAUAUAUACUUCUUAGGGAGGGACCAUUAAAUUAAAAUUAAAAUAAUCCCACCCCUACAUUUCAGCCAAUCCUAUUUAUUUAAUAAAAAAAAAAAAGUAACGACACUACCCUUCCCAUAGAAAAUUACAUCCCUACCCCCUCCCCCACCAUCAAAAGUAUACACACCCAGCCUCAGUGGCACCUCCGUAAUAAACCCCCAAAGCCGAGGCGAAAUUGAAUGCUAAGGGCAAAUCUAGAUCCUUUUGGUUUGGUCCACGAUAUCCCUGAGCCCCCCCGAAAGCCAAGCGCGAAAUUUCACCAUUUCUUUUUCUUAAAAUAUUCAAAAGUUAACCCCGAGACAAAAGCCGACCCGUAAUAAGGUGCGGACCCGACCGACGCUUUUAAUUUCCGAACCGCCUCAUAAGGGUUUUCUAUGCGGAGCGUUGGUUCGACCGUUCGUCAACCGCCAAAUGAACUGCGUCCGUCGAUACCAUGACAGGUUUUACGAUCCGCGUAAAUAAAUUAUGGGGGCACCCGUACGGAGAACCCGUCUUUCUCUAUUUUUUUUUUUUUUUUUUUUUUUUUUUUUUUUUUGGCUGGUUUGUUUUUAAAUUUAAUUUAUCGGUUUCCGGUUUUGCCCGCGAUGGAGGGAAUGAUGGUGGUGGUCUCGGGGGGCGCGAGGGGUUUAAGACCGUUCCGAGAAAGGGCUCGGGUGUUAUAAUUCCUCUCUCUCUAAAAAGCCACCGAGCGCUUUCUCUCUCUCUUUCGCUCUCUCUCUCUCUCUCUCUCUCUCUCUCUUCCGAGCGCUCUUUGGCUCGUCCAUGGGUGGCCGGANGCCGGGCGCGGAUCGUGCCGCGGGAGCUAGGGAGGCGGCGGCGGCAGAGAUCGCCGGAGAACGGCGGCGCCGACGUGUCUGGAUUUCCUUUUCCUCUCUCUAGGUUUCUCUCCUUGCUUCCUCUGAGCUCUCCUCAAGUGUCUCCCUUCGCGAAUUAGGGUUUCGAUAGCGCCGCGGUUCGUAUGAGCGGUUUUGAGAUGUUCUCUCUGAGAGAAGUGCUUCGGCGCCUCUGUGCUGAGAUCGGGUGGUCGUAUGCAGUUUUUUGGAGGGCGAUUGGGCCCUCUCACCGCAUGUAAGCUCUGAUUUUUCCCAUUUUUCUUCUUGUAUCUCCGAUUUUUUCAGAUUGAUGAGGUAGGGUUUACCUUCUUCUCUUUUAGUUAGUGAGAUGGUUUGAUUUGUUUGCUUUUUAUUGAUUGUCUUGAACAGUUAGUUUGCUUUGGUGAGCUUUCAUUGAAUCCGAAAAGACUCGCCUUUUUUUUGUUUUUGGUUUUUAAACUAAUUUUGGAGCUAACAGAUGGGGUUGUGGAUACACUUGUGGUGUUAAUUACUAACCAGUGAGUAAUAAUGUGUACUUUUUAGUUGCUUUUGCCAGAAAAGACGUACUUUUCUACGGUUUUAUUCUCUAUUAUUGCUAUCAUUAACUUUAAAGGUUUAGAUUUUUUUUUUCUUUUUUUUCAUUUUUUUUUGGUGGGUUGAGGUGGGUGGGUUAUGAAUCGUAAGGUUCUUGUAGUAACCUAUAAGGGAAUAAUAGAGAAGGAAAUAAGUAACUGAUCUCAACAUGAGAAAACCUCUUGAUUUUGUAACGGUUAAAAGAAACACAAUAGAAGAAAUUGCAAUUUAGUUAACCGAAAUUUCAAUAAUAAUAAAAAACUGCCUAAUGAGUUUUUAUUCCUUUGAAAAGUGAGGAAUGAACUUGUUAAAUGAGUCUAAGCUCUAAUUUAGUUGAAAUUAAUUUUUCGCUUGGGCACCGACUGCUUUAGCGCAAGCGGCAAGCUUGAUGAAACUUGAUGGUUGUUAUCAGAGGUUUCAAGUAUGAAGCCUGGUUGCUUCACAUUUUCAGUUAAAUUCAUUUUUCAGAAAAUUGAAUGAAGCAGAAAGUAUGCUACCUUUCUCUCUCUCAAAAAAAAAAAUCGCUUUGGCCUGGUAAGAUGUUUGAACUGUUACAGUUGAGUUGUUCUUAAUGCAGUAUGUACUGUGGCAGGCUUUUGGUUUGGGAGGAUGGGUGCUGUGGACAUACAUCAGGCAUUUUGGGGUCUGAAGCUUCUGAUUUACUACUUGAGGAGCAUGGAUUGGUUCAGAAGUUGCACAACCAACAAGCUGCUAAAUAUGGAAGUCAAACAGAGGAAAGUGUAAAUGCGCUGGUAAGGAAGACGAUGAUGACGCAGGUUCAUGUUAUAGGAGAUGGGUGAGUGCAUACGUUUCAUGCUAACUUCUAUAUUUCAUCCUCACCUUUAGGUUUUGUUUUACAUGUUUUAGCUAGGUUUGUGCUUCAUAGCCUGUUCGGUGUAAACUUAUCGGAUAGUUGUUUUUCAGGAUAGUAGGGGAAGCUGCUUUUACUGGAAAUCAUCGUUGGAUUGUUCGAGAUUCUUUAAAGGAUUAUGGAUCUCUAUCAAAGGUAUAAUUUUUUAUUAACUCUGUUAGAAGUUCGCCAUAUGCUAUUUAUGUUGCCAAAGUUUAAGCUAUUAGAACAUUGCACGCCUUAUUUAUAUGCACACCAAUAUUCAUGUGCAGUACUUCUUUACUUGAGGCUUUUGCUUUUGAGGGUUUAGGGUGUAGAAUUUCAAGAAUUCCUUGUUUAUUCUGCCUUUUGGUUGUGGAUGGAGCUAUAAUGUUUGAUUUAGAUCGCAAAGAGAAUUGAGUAGCAUUUUUUUUUUGCUUCAAUAGGAUGCUGAUGAGAUGAAUCAGCAGUUUGCAGCUGGCAUUCAGGUCAGCAAAGUUCUUCCUUAUUUUUUACCCUCUUCUUGUAAUUAUUUAUAUAUCAACUUAACUCUGAUAAGUUGUUUGUUUUGUAUGUUAUGCAGACGAUCGUUAUCAUUCCCAUACUACCACGUGGUGUUUUGCAACUUGGCUCCACUCAGAUGGUAAGUAAUUCUUUAUGAGCUAGCUUCAUGUUUGAGCUAAAGAUUUUAUGAGGCAUCAAAAUAUUGGGAGAAGAAUGAUGGAUGAGUUUGAAAUGUACAUUACAUUUCUUCUGUUAAAGAAGUUUCAAAUUAUUGUGCUUUGCUUUGCUGUACUAUAUGCCUCUGUGUCAUAGUUGUUAAUAUUGGCUUAUCCUCUCUGCAGCUUAUGGAAAAUGUUGGUUUUUUAAUACACACGAAGAAUUUACUUUCACAAUUAAAUAAUCGAUCAGGGUCUUCAUUUUCAAGACUAAGUUUAGAUACCAAUCCCUCCUUUGUUGAGCCUAUCCUUCACUGCAGUAGACAGCUGGAAGGUGAAACAGUUGGAGCACGUGUAUACACGAAGGCCAAUCUGAGUCUUGGCAAGCAGGGAGUGACUAAUGAUAAUGGAUCUAAAAUUCAGACUCAGCCUUCAGUAAUGGACUCAGAUUUUACUUCUCGCUUAACAUCACUCGAAGAGCAGCUCUUAUUCAUGUCUCAUGAUGGAUUAUUAGAACCUGGAAAUAAUGCAGGAUCAGCAGUACAGGGCACUGGAGCUGUUCGGUUAAUAUUGAAUGGACGUGAUAACCCUAAUUUGCUUGAAGAUUCCAACAUUGUCUCACCACAUUUGCAAAACAAGUUACUGAAUACUGUAGACAGUCUUGGAAAGUUUGGAUCACUUCUACAUGGCAGUAAUGAAAUCACCAGGGUCUUAUGUGCUAAUUCAUCUGGCACAGGGACAAGUCAAAUGAUAGACCAAAGAUACAAUAAUGCAGAGAGUUCACAGCAAAAUCAGCCUUCUUCGCCCUACAGAGUUACUCAAGCUGUUCCGAUUGAGGGGAAUGAGGGGAGACAUGAAAAUGAUUUGGUUGAGGCUGCAGGACUAAGGCGUUCAAUUCAAAAUGAUCGACAAACCCGUUCUAUUGCAAAUUCUAUUGCAAAUGAAUCAAACAAGAUUUAUGCUACUGAAAAUGGGAAUGGCGUGAAGGAUGAGAAUGACUGCAAGCUUUCACAUAUAAGAACAGAGAAAACUUCACUUUUGCCUCUUGAUCGUUCCAUGGAAAGUGAUCUGUUUGAUAUGUUGGGUCCCAAGUUUCGUCAGUUUCAUGAUGGUUCGGAUAAUAGCUUGGGUAUAAAUGCAUUUAUCCACUCGAUUAAGUCUGACGCUUCUCCUGCAUUUGAUUCAGCAAAUGAUGAUUUCUCUCAAUCAGGAAUUUUUUCUGUAGCUGACACUGACCAACUAUUGGAUGCAAUAGUCUCAAGCAUCAAUCCAACUGCAAAACAGAAUUCAGACGACAGUAUAUCCUGUAAAACUUCACAGACAGAUAUUCAUAAUUCUGCUUGUUACGGUGGAUAUGCGCCUUCAUCAGAGGUGAAACAAGAUGAGUUAUCCUACCUUCCGCCUGUGCCUAUCAAGAAUGAGACAGCAAUAUCAAGUUAUGUUAAACCACAAUGCUCUCAUCCUCAGAGUACUGGAGUUCACAAAUCUCAGAUCCAUCUUUGGCUUGAAAGUGGCCAGAACAUGAAAUGUGAUAGUAUGCCGGCUUCAAAUAGUAAAAAACUGGACAUAACUGGUAAGGCAAAUAGGAAGAGAUCUAGACCAGGAGAAAGUCCGAGGCCACGGCCAAAAGAUCGCCAAAUGAUACAAGACCGUAUUAAGGAAUUGAGGGAAAUAGUACCAAAUGGUGCGAAGGUAAUGUGUGUGCUGCUUUUGACCUUCAUCUAUUCAUGUAAAAUUACAAUAAAAUAUUGGUUAUGAAGUUAGGCAGAUAGCCAUACUCGAUUGCACUUAAAAACUACUAUUCGGUUUCUGAUCAAUGAUCAUGGUCGCAAUGUAGUAUUGCAUACUUCUAUAUAUGGUUUGUUCCAUUAUUUCUAUUUAAUUGUUGCCUUUUUUGUGUUAACAGUGUAGCAUUGAUGCCUUACUGGAGAAGACCAUUAAACACAUGCUUUUCUUGCAAAGUGUGACAAAGUAUGCUGAUAAACUCAAGGAAAAGGGGGAGUGUAAGGUUUGUAUGCUUUAAAUUCCCUUUCUCUAAACACAUUUCCUGAUUUGAAUCCAGUUCUCAAUAUGUUAAGGCUUUGGUUCAGGGGCAUAUACAGCUUACGCAACUAUCUUGCUGCAUCAACCUUCUCUCACUACUAAGAGAGCUAAAUAUAAGGCUAUAUUAUCCAUUACCUAUUUGCAAAGUGUGAUUCUUGAUGCUUCUAGAUGGUGUCUUCUUCACCAUGUAAAGCAUUUCAAUGGCUACUAAUGGCUCAUAGUUAUGUUUCAAUGGAGAACAUUGUGCUGACCGUACCUAUAAUUUUAUCGCCUAAAAAGCAUUUCAUAUUCUGCAGAGUAUAAUUGCAUAAUUCACAGAUUUUAAUGCAAUCACUAGUAUUAGGCAUAAAACUUGGCUUUGUACUACUGUUACUUUCAAGGCUAAUUCAUGUGAAGAACUGGAGAAGCAUGCAAAACUUCAGUGUUAUGAAAGCUCACUAAGUAAGAAAUGGUAUUAUGUUAAAUAAGUGAAUUUUUAGAAGGAAAUGUCUUCAUUCUUAAGUGCAGAUAGUUGAUAAGGAUGGUGGUCUGCUCUUGAAAGACUGUUAUGAAGGUGGUGCAACUUGGGCAUUUGAUGUUGGUUCUCAAUCUAUGAUCUGCCCGAUAAUAGUGGAGGAUCUCAACCAACCUCGCCAGAUGCUCGUGGAGGUAAAAGAUGUUCUCUCUGUAUUUUCUUAUUUUUUCCUCCUUAUUCUACGAGUUGUUGCCCUAUUUUUUUUAAGUAUGAUUUACAACCAUUAAUUGCCCAGAAUAUAUGGUCUUUUUGCAGAUGCUUUGUGAGGAGCGAGGUUUCUUUCUGGAAAUAGCUGACUUCGUCAAGGGUCUCGGAUUGACCAUCUUGAAGGGGGUGAUGGAAGCACGUAAGAGUAAAGUCUGGGCUCGAUUUGUUGUGGAGGUAUGUUUAUUUAAUAAUUCAUGUCCUCACUUUUUUGGCUUGGCGCCUGUUGGGUCCCACUGAAGCUUUUGUAAGAAUGUUGUGCGAGUAAACAAUUCAGAAGAAGCAUUAAAAACUUUUUCAGUGAAAGCUUGCCCAUCAGUUUCCUUCUAUAGCAGAGGAAAAACCUCUAAUCAGGUUGCAGAAGCUUUUCCUGUCACAGAAAAAGUUUUAAGAAUUUUUGUUUGCCGAACAUCUGGUUGCCCCUUCUUGGAGGGAGAAGCCCUGACCUUUAACUUGUAAGAGUAAGAUGAAAAGACAAGUCUCCCCCAUUGGCUAAAUUCACACGACCAUUCCGUACGCAGGCAAAUAGGGACGUUACAAGAAUGGAGAUAUUUCUAUCACUUGUUCGCCUGUUGGAACAAACAGCCGGAGGCGGUAUAAUACCAAUGAACGUCAAUAAUGUCGACGCGACUCACACAUUGUUGUGCCAACCUAGUAGUAUUCCCGCAACCGGCUUGUGAGAUUGCCAUCAAUGAGGAGAUCGGCGCUUUAUUCAGCCACUUUAGAGAUGCUAAGAGUGGGAUCGACUUCGCCCUGCCAUGACUAGUGUUUCAGUGGCCAUUAAGGUUUCCCAUUUUGCGGCUUUUUGCACUCUUCUGACUAAUUCUGGGAGCCCUACUUGCUUGAACAUUCGAAUGCUCGGGUUGGCACGAGAGCUUCGUUUUGUAACAUUUCUCGUUGUAAUCUUUAUGUCACUCCUUUUCCAUGUACUAUUUAUUGUUGGAUAAUAGUAGAUUAAUUUUGUUGUAUUUUUACUUUUUUUUUAUCUUUCUUGUAUGGUGGGGCUAAUGUUUCUGGCUAAUGUGUAGAACUAUCAUUUCAAUGCUAAUUUAAGCCUAAACCGCUGAUCUGAUCUGAUCAGUCCCUCGAGUUGCUCUUUCACCCCAUUUUUUCUUUUUUUACCCUUUUUUCUUUGUUGGGUGGAUUGCGAACUCUUGUAUUUACUCAAAAAAGAAAAAAGAACUUAAAAACUGUUGGUGGGGAACAAUAAUUAGUUUGUAAUAUCACAAACUUAAUUGUACGUUUCCAACAAAUGAUUUUUUUUUUACUUUUUUUUUUCACUUCGACAGAGAUGAAGGGUAACAAUUAAUUAAAUGUACAACUAACAUCGGUUAACCAAUUGUGUCUAACAAAUUCGUAUUCUCUGAAUCAAAAAAAAAAAAAAAAAAAAAAAAGCCACUCGAAUUGCCAAAAACAGUAGGAGCGCAUAUUUCUCAACCCUACAAAGUUGAGUAAUGCUUCUAUACUCUUUUUUUUUUUUUUUGUUACCAUUCAUUCACGCGUAUUCAACAACUCAGAUUUAGUUUUUUUAAAAUUGUGACCUGCAAUAACAGAUUAUUUUGGGAGAGGUACCGGUUACCAGGUACCUCAAAAAAGGAUAUUUUUGUCUUUUAAUACAUGGGCAAUUUAGUCAUUUUACAUCUACUAUAUUUUCAAAAUUUUUAUUUUUUUUUUGUUUCCUUUUGCUCUCUCUAUCUUUCCUUUCAAAAUUUGGCAUUUCAUAUAAGGAAAAUUCCAAAUGAGUUGACAAUAUGAUCAUUGAAUUUAAACUUUAAAUAGUAAUAUAAAACUUCUCUAAUUUAAAUUUCACUUUUAAAUUUAAAAUUUAAUAUUAUAUUCAAAUUUAUAUUUUAAAAAUUUAAGUUUCAUAUAAAUACUUUGAAAUAUGGUAAACAGAAAUAAUUGUUUGAAUUCUAAUAUUCUGGUUUAGGUUUGAUUUUGGGUUUCGAAAAAGUGGUCAGUUUUGAAUUUGGAUAUGGACUUUUGAAAUCCGUCGAGUUCGGAAAUAAGUUUUGUGAUUGUUAGUCAGAUUCGAAUUCAAAUUCCUAACUAUUUUUUUUCUCACCAAUAAUUCUAAUCUUUUUAAUUUAUAUGUUUAAAAUUAUAUUUAAAAUAUUUAUUAGCUCUAACAGUUAAAUUAUUAUUCUGUUUAAAAUAUUUAUUAUCUUUACUGGUUGGUUCCAAAUUGUUCUUAAUGUUAUUCGAUUCAAUAGGUUAAAAUCAGAUUCUUGAUAGAAUAGGUCAAAGUCUGAUCAGUCAAAUCAAUCAAUUCAAUCUAGUUUUUAAAUUAUUGAAUUUAAAAUUUAAAUAGUAAUAUAAAAUUCUCUAGAGAAAUCUAAUUGUAGAAAUCUUACUCUCUAAGUUUUUUAUGCAUUACGUUUUAAACUGAUGCGAAUAAACUGUAUUUUAAAUCUUGGUAGAAAUUUAGUUUUUAAAUAGUAAUAUGAAAUUCCUCUAAUUUAAAUUUCACUUUUAAAUUUUAAGUAUUUAAUUUUUAAAAUUUAAAUUCAUCGUAUUUAGAAAUAAAACUAUUUCUAAAAUUUCUAUAAUUUAAAUUAAUGCAUAAUUUGAGAAACACUAAAACAUUUAAAGUAGAUUCCUAAUUAAUGCCUAAUAAUUUCAUAAAUUUGGUUAAUCAAUUAAUUUUCUAAAUUAGUACUAAUUUAUGUAUAAAUUUAGGACCUCAAUUAAAAGUUUCUUUAAAUAUUGUAUUAUUUAAUUACCAAAUUAAUCUUAAAUAAAAUAAAUUUUUUAUAUAUUAAGUAUUAAAGUUAUAUUUUUAUCCUCUAUUAAUCAACGGUUAAAUUUUUUUUUAUUAAAAAAAAAAAAAAGAAAAAAAGUACCGAAUCAUUUCUCUACAAAGUUAUAUAAUUGAGUAGCCACGUGAGCAUGUUCUUGUAGACCCCCUGUUGUAACUGUUGCUCCAUUCGAGAGUUGGAAUAGAGAAUAGUCCCACGCAUCAAUCAAAAUUUUCAAAAAAGACCCCCCGUCCUCUUUUUUUUUUUUUUUUGUUGUCUCCAAUUACUGCUCCUUUCUUUUGGCCCAGCCAACCAAUUUUAAAUGCGAAUCGCUCGGUGGAUUGAUGGGCUCGUUCGUUCGUUCGUUCCCCACAUGUUACUGCUUAAAAACGUGUGCACUUUUUGAAGGACCAAUUACACACACUCUGCCAUCCGAUGAAUACAUUACCCACCCGUACCGCCCCCUUUCUCUUUCAGCUAAAUUUUGCCUUGUCAUAUGCACGCCCGAAUCCGUAUCAUUAAGUUUUUGUCGAUGCACAAUGAAAUGAGUUAUAUAAAACAUAAAAAAUAAAAAAAAAAUAAUACAACAACAUUCAGAUCCAGUAUUAAUAAUGAACGCAAUCAUGUAAUCACUACCGAACAAGUCCUGCAUGUUAUUAAGAUUGUAUAAAAAUCCUGCAACAUUUAGAAUUAUUACGUAUGUCCAAACAGUGCUCUAGCUACAAAUAUACAAUAUUCUCAAGUUCUAUGGACUCAAUUUCCUUUUCUUCUCAAACUCCAUCCCCAAAUUUGUCCUGUCAAAAUAUAAAAAUCCUAUUGUGUGGAGCUAUAUGUCCUUCUUCUUCCUCUUCUUCUUCUUCUUCUUCUUCUUCUUCUUCUUCUAUACACUGCAUCAUCUUUGAGUUCCAUUCCUAAAAUUAAACCACCCAAAUGGUGGAGCACCAAAGAGAAUAAUACCUAGCUAGCUACCACUAUUUUACAAGCCCCCUAAUUUAUAAAUAACACUGCUACAACCAAAACCAUGCAUGGAAUGGAACACACAACCUUGAACUAGGACACAAAAUCUGGCAUUAAUUGAGCAGCAAACCUCUUCCUGCUCUGAAUAUUGAUAUCGUAAGCAUUUGGAGGCUGGGGAGAGUUCACUGCUUGGCUACUGUUGCCGAUGCUGCAAAACUCACCGGCCUCGUUGCCGCUCAUCUCAAUCCUCCUCCCAAAUGGCAUCCCCUCACUGGGCAGGAACGAUGAGUGCGCUCCUCCUGAUAGAGAUAAGUUCUCACAGUGUGGCAGCCCCAGAGUGAGUGACACUCCAUUGUUCGAAUACCUCGGCGCGAAAUUCUGCGAGUCGAACCUCCCCAUCUCGCCCAUCGAAUAAGCACCGUACCCUCCUCCUCCUCCUCCUCCUCCUCCUCCGUUGCUCGUAGCCCCUGCUAUCAGCGAGUGGUAGCUUUGCUCCUCCCCGAUGCUCCUCCCGCUGCUCUCGAUGAACUUCAUCAGCAGCGCGCGGUUGUUCAUCUCGUUGGGCUUCGUAUCGACGCCCGCGAUCGAGUGCGAGGACGACGCGAUGGCCGCGUGAACAGGCUCAUCGCUCCUCAGCUUCUUGAGCUUCGGUUGUUGCCGCAUUGACAGGUCGUCGUCGUAGUAGCUCGGCACGGCGCUGCUCUGCUUCUCCUUGAAGCCUCCCCCCCGCCGCGCAGAUUUCGGUGCGUCCGUCUCUUGCCGAGCCGUCGGUGCGGCGUCGGGUUCGUUCUCGGCGCUGUUGUUCUCUACGCCGGUCUCAGUGUUGCUGUUGCUGUUGUUGCUAUUGUUGUUGUUGUUGUUGUUGUUGAUCUGUUCGUGGUCUUUGGUUUCUUCCAAAUACAUCUCCUCCACCAUCGGCUUCCAGAGCCGCACCCUCGCAUUUAUGAACCAAUUUGAAACCUACAUUCAAUGACAUCUUUUUAUGUUAAUUCUCAAUUUUAGAUUAAUGCAAAUCCCUUAAUUUUUUUUUAAAAAUUUUUUUUAAUAAUUUACUUACCUGGCUCCGAGUGAGACCAGUUUGUUUCGCUAGCAUGAGCUUGUCCGAAUCCUUUGGGUAACUGCAGCAAUCAAUCACUCACGAAUGAUCAGAAGAACGUCUACUGCUGUAGCACUACUUAAAUAUGUUGGGGGUACGUACACCGAUCUAUGGCUAUCAUUAUAGCAAUCAUUUCAUUUGCUUUUAUUCUAAUCUUCGAAACAGAUAGGCCCUUGUAGUGUGGCCCUGUUGCCUAUUAAAAUUUCUUGUCAAAUGUAAAAUUGAGCACACGACAAUUACGUAUAUUUUGAUUAAAUAGAGUUGAUGUGAAUUGAGUGAUUAUCGCGUGCUCAAUUUUGAUAGCAUUUUAGUAGAUGUCCUAAAAGGCAACGAGAAUAUCGUAACCACAAAAUAGUGAAGUGCAGUCGCGUCAAGUCCGUGAACAAUUGCGUGCACUUACGGGUGAAGGAAGUGCUCGAAGAGCCACGCUCGAAGAAUCGAGACGGAUCUCUCGGGUAGCCCUCUCUGCGGCCGCCAUGCGUUGUGCUGCAUCAUUCCGAGCUGCUGGAGGGCCCGUUGCUGCCGGAGGUGGUGGUCGACGAACCGGAGCCUCGACCCCACCGUCUUGGCGUUCUCCUCCCCGAGGCUUUUGCUAGUGGCCCUUAUUUGGCCGGUGAUGGCGUCUCGGAGGCACCGGAAUUGCUUCGAUAUGGUUUGGAGGGCGAGUGCGGUGUACGUUCUCGCGGAACCGCGACCGGCCACGGCUUCGAAUGAUGAGAUCACUAUUUGCAUUUGGUGAUGGUAUUGCCUGUACCUCUGUUCUACCUGUAAUAUAUGAUCGCCGAGGACAAAGAAGGGUAUGAGAAUGAUUAAGUGGUUAUCAUUAUCAUGUAAACUGGGAGGUAAACAUGAUCAGAUUAACAAUCCUUAUUAUGAAACGAGUUAUAUAUGAUGAUAAAGCCUCUUUAGAAACAAGAAGAAACUAAUCAAGUAUAGAACCCAAAAUUUUGAAGAACUUCAAUUUUGACUACCAUAAUUCAUCGGCCUUGGUUAAUUCCCACCGAGUUUUUCACCCUCAAAAAAAAAAAAAAAAAAGAACACUUAAUUUCUAUGAGAGUCCGGCUCACGAAAAGGGCACACUAAUAAAGCGUGGAUUCAAUAGAAGCAUAGAGAACUAAACUUUCAGAUCCUAAUAAAAGUAAUAAAACGAAAAUUUUUGAAUUAUGUUAUAAUUUAAAUUGAAACGGAUUGAAGAGAUGCUGCUGCAUGCUUAAUUACCUCGUCGAGCAUGUUAACAAGCUUGGCCUUCUUCAUCUGAAGCUCCUGCUUCUCCGCGGUCGAGAGCUCGGCCGCCGCUCUCUUCGCGCUCGCCUCCUCCUGCCCGCCGCCGCCGCUGACCGCCCCCGCCUCCGCUCCUCCGUCGGAAUCCUCGCUCUUCCCCUUCCCCGCCGCUGCGUCAUGAGCUGCUCUCCCUCCCUUCCCGACGUUGACCAUCUCGUCCAGCAGCUGCUGCGCCGCCUUCAGGUACUUGGACCCCAUCAGGAAGCUCUGCGCUGCCGCUGCCGUCGCAUUCGGAGCCCCCGAAUUCGGCGUCGCCUCCGCUGCAGACACCGACAUCUCCCGCGAGGACAGGCUCAGCGACAGCCCUUGCUGGUGCGUCGGCGGCGGGGGCUGCGUCCACAGGUUAUACUGGACGCGCCCGGGGACGAGGCCGUGGACCGCCGAGACGUCGUGGGGGGAGGCGCCAAUUGUCGGAGGCGGUGGAUGCGGAGAACGGAUCGGUUCUUGGCCGGCAGCGGCGGGAGAGUAGGCGAAGCUCAUGGGGUUCAUCGGGUUCACGGCGGGGUUGAAGAGGACCAUGUUGGCAGGAGCAGCUGCGGCAGCGGAGGCGUCGGAGUAGCCGACGUAGGCCGGGUUCAUGAGGUAGAGGGUUUGUAGGCUGUCGGUUUGGAUGUCGGGGCCGCCGUGGAAGUACGUCGCCAUCAGAUUACUACCCUAACUAUUACUAUUAUUAUUAUUAUUUAUUUAUUUUAAUAUUGGAGUCGAUCGAUUAAUUGUUUUCACAUAAUCCUCUUUCUCUUCUCUUCUCUUCUCUUAUUUAGAGAGCAAGGGAGAGAGUUUCUGUAGGUACGUAUACUGGUAGGUGGAGAAGUUUAUCUCUCUUUUCUCCUUGAAGAGAUCCAAGAAAUUCCUGCAAAAAAGAGACAAAAAAAGAAAAAAAAAAAUAAGGAGCAUGUAAUAAAAAACCAAGAUGCAUCACAAUUAAGACUACUACAAAAAUUGAGAGACGAAUAAAUUGGUUUGCGUAGAGAUAGAAUAAUAAUAAUACAAACUAAUAGAAAACAAAAUUAAAGUACCAAGUGAGAGCUUAAUAGGCUAAUCCUUAUAAUAAUAACAACUCUCAUGCUCGUAGUGGUAAUAAAACUGAAACUUCGAUGGAAGAGCUUGUGAGAGAAGCUGAAGGGAUGGGGGGUUUUUACAGAAGCUUGAUCUGCUACUAGAAUUUGGGCGGCGGAUAAUCCUUCACAAGGAGAGGCCAUGGAUGAGUUCUAUAGGUUUUGGGGGGGGGGGGGGAGGGGAGAGAGAGAUGGGGAGAGGAUUAAGUAGGAGAUGUACGUAGGAGAGAGGAAAAUAAAAAAGAUAGGGAAACAUCUUCAUCAAGUGAUAUAAUUAAGUAAUACAUAUCACUGGCAAUACCUGAGAGAAUGGAAACCAAAAGCACGUGGGGAGUGAUAUAAGAAUUGGUUUAUGAGGAAUUCUCUCUCUCUCUCACUCGCUCUCUCUUUCUCUCUCUCUUUUUCUCCUCACACUUGUAUAGCAGGCUCUCUUACAGUGACCAAAGCCCAUCAGAAAAAUCUUUCUCAAAGAACAAGUAGAGGAAGAGGAGACUUAAGAGAUAUAUUGGUCUCACUUACAAAAAUAAUAAUAAUAAAUAAAGUAAGAAUACAGCAAAGGGAAUUGCAAUUAUGGAAGAUAUCUUAGACUCAUGUCAGAGUCUUAUUCUGCAACCCCCUCUCUCUCUCUCUCUCUCUCUCUCUCUUUCUUUCUUUGUUUCUUUCUUUUCACUCCAAAUGAAAAGGAAAAAAGAAAAUGAGGAGACCCAUUUAAUAAAGACUAGGAGGAAAUAAAAAGGAAGCAAAAGGAGAGAUACCCACCUUUCACUUCCAUUAUCCACACAACACCUCUCUCUUUUUCCUUCUUUUUAGUUUUUUUCUUCUUCUUUUCUCCCUCUCUUUUUUUUUUUUUUGCCCUUUAUAAAAAAAUGACUACUAUUUUGGUGUUGUGGGUACGAGGGGUGUAGCUUAGAUAGCAUGAGGGGGGAGGGUGCAUAGUGUGGUACCUGCGAGUGGAUCAAAAGAAGGCAAUUGGUCCAGAUGAUUUGACCCCUCUUUUCCUUAUCAUUAGAUGCAGAAGCCUUUGAUGAAGAGAGAGAGAGUGAGAGAGAAGGGGUGGGGGGUGGGGGGGGAAGAGGCCCAUCUCAUGUGUUUGUGUUGUGUGUGAGAGAUGGAAAGAGAGACAUGGUCACAUAGAUAGAUAGAGAUAUAGAUAUAUUAUUCCACACAAAAGCACAUGCAUAUAUUUAGGAGGUGUGUGUGUGUGAGAGAGAAAGAGAUAUAUAGAGAGAGAGAAAUAGAAACUGUUUAAGAACUGACACAAGUGUCAGAGGGAACAAACAGCUGAGGAACGAGGAAGUGUCCACCUCCAAAGAGUCUGAUUUAAUAUGUGUGUAUGCGUGUGGAAAAGAUUAAAGGUGGAAAAUAAUUAAAAUAAAAGAGAGAGAAAGGCCGGAGUUUCCUUUCUUAAUUAUACUUCUUCUUCUGCUUCUCCUUCUCCUCCUAUUGAGAGCCCUUUUCAUCAGCUUCUGUGUCCAGAAAAAUAAACAUCUAUUUUCCUUUGCGUGUUGUGAUAUCUUCUUUGUCCUUUCUUAUUUUGUUUAUUAUGUAGCCUUCUUUCUUUUUUUUUUAUUUUUUCUUUCCCCCUCCCCCCCUUGUAGCUACCUUAUCUUAAUAUUUUUUGUGGUUGGAUGCUGGGUUUGGAAGAUAAAGCAAUUGAAAGCUAAAGAACCCAACCAACCACCACCAUUACACCUACUAUUAUAGAGAGAGAGAGAGAGAGAGAGAGAGAGAGAGAGAGAGAGAGAGAGAGAGAGAAUACUAUAAGGACAAAGCAACAAAAUUAAAGGUUAAAGUAUUAAACAACCAGGAAUUAGAAUUGAUACUUGGUGAGUCAUCCCAAUUAAUGGAGCUUGCUUAUGUGUUUAAGUGGCGGAAUUAAUAGUGCUCAAGGUAAUUAAGGAGCAUCCAUUCACUGCUCAAAAGAGAAUAGAUUGACUGCAUCCGGUGAAGAUCAUUUGUUGAGUGAUUGAAACUUCUUUAAACACACGCAAUCGUGCGCGCAAAUUAAAUUUCCACGCAUGAAACCCGUUAGAAAAAUCACUUGUUUCACAGCAUCCGAGCGAAUAUUUUUUUUACUAGCUAGUUAAAAUUAAAUAUCUCGUCAUUGCACAUAUGCUAUUCUGUGUCCUAUCAUUCAUUCUAUGCCAUCCCACUAUGCCUAGUUAUGGUUUGCACUUCUUUUUCAGGAAAGGGACCUAAGAAAGCAAGCCAAAGCUUGAAUAUAUAUAUAUAUAUGCCUGAUUCUUGAAGUUGAAACCAUAUAUGUAAUCUAUAAAAUAUAGGGGAAGUGAGGGAAACAGAAGCAGCAUGUGAUCUUAUUUCCUCAUCUCAAAAUCAUCACAUCUUGCCCAAAAUGAACAAGUAAAUUAAAAAAAAAAUUUAAAAAAAACCAAAGAAAAAAUGUUGUAGUAGAAUAAUCAUGUGACAUAAAUUAAGGAUCAUUCCUUCAAUGAGGAAGUGUAACAGAAAAUUAAUUGGGGUGGCUAGUGAAAUUUGGAUCUGUAUAACUAUAUAUGUCAGGAUGUGGCAUGUUUUCCAUUGUUCUCUUGUGUUAUUGUUUCUCUUGUGCGGCUCCAACAGUUGUAGAUUCUUAAUUGGGCACAGCUAGAAGAAAAAGGGAGUACAAUAACUAGCAAUAAUUGAGAGCUUUUUGGCCUUAGAAGAUCUUACUUUCCUUCAGGACUAUGAUGCAUUCAGUUGGUUUUUAGCUAGUAGGUUAAUAAUACUACCUUGGAUUUAUCUACUUUGAAGGGUAACUGGUACCACUAUACUCUCGUCAAUAAUAUUGCUUUUGAGAAAACUUAACUAGUGUCUCAAAUUAUUUCAGAUAAUACAUUAUGUUUUCUGAGGAGAAUAAUUUACAUAUAACUACUAAUUUAGCAGUACGAUAUUAUCGAUGAUCUUUGCAAUGACAAAGAAAAUAAAAACUCAGUGUUAAAGUGACUCAAGUUAAGUUCCAUAAUCAACUAUAACUGUUAGUCAAAUAAAAUGAACACUACAAAUAUUCAGGCGCCAUUAUUAAUUCGUGAGAAAUGAAGUUAACAAAAAAAAAAAAGAAAAGAAAAAGAAAAAGAAAAACAGCAAUGUAAUUUUCUUUCAUAAUAUUUCUCAACAUGCCUUUUUUCUGAGCUGUGAAGUUUUUCUGGAAGAGAAUAUUUUUAGAUAAGGAAGUCAAUUGAUUGAUGCAUUUAUUAUGAGGAUAAGGCAGUCCCAUCUGGCCUACGCAGAAUUAUUGGUUAUGAACAUUUAGAAUAGGAAUUUGUUGAUUAGUUCACAUGAUAUAUAGUACUCUCAUCAGAUCUUCUAAAUGAUAUCAUUUAACUACAAUUAUCAAAAAGAUAUAUUAGUUCUUGUUAUUUUAACCAGAACUUGAGAACUGUAAAGAAAACUAUUAGAUAUAUCAUGACAAAACUUGUAUUGAACUUGUGUAGAUUAAUUACUUAUUAUUUUGUUAUGGUUCAUUUGAUGAUGGAUUUAUAUCCCCUCUCUUCAAGGAUAUAUAUUACUGCAUGCUGUUGUAAGUUAUUGUUUUGGAGUAAACAGUUCGAAAUUUACGUCGACGGUCGACUUGUUCAGCUGAAAGGGAGAAGCUACUGUUGUUCUUCCCAUAAGAAGGGUUAGAAACAAAGUUUUUGGGAUUUAGCGGGGGAAAGGAAUCAAAUGAGGGCCCUCUCCACCUUAGCAAGAGAAAUGUGGGUCAAUCAUAUGUGAAGGUUAGAUAUUCCUUGUGUACCACGUCAUCGACGGGCUGAGCCAAUAGAAGACAAAGAGGAUUAUUAGUAAUUAUUAAUUAGAACAAGGAAACAAAAAAAAAAACAAAAAAAACAAAAAAAGGAAAAAAGUAAAGUCCCAUGUAUACAGUGGAAUUAGUACCUAUUGCAUGAGUAGCUCCAAAGUAUACAAUGAAAGUAACUAAUACUUCUACAAAUGAUCCGGAUUCUUUAAAGAAGUCCUUGCAUAGACGCAAUCGUCAUCUCUGGAUAUUUAUUUCUUCCUGAUGAGUUGCAACCACAUAUGUGAUCCUAAUUGUGCUUCCCACUUUCAAUAUGGUGAAUUCCCCACAUUGAUACCUUUUUUCUCUUUUUCUUUUUCCUUUUCUUUUGUUUUUUCUCCUCGCCCCUCUCCCUUCCCCAACCCACCAUGUAUGUACUUUAUCUUUUAUCUUCUCUUUUUUGAUAAUUAUGGCCACUACUAUCUCCAAGCUUCUCAAUCGACACGAUAAUGUUUGGAGAAUUUAGAUCCAAUCAAAAACCACAAUUAGCCCAAACGAUUAAGCUUAUAUUGAUUUGAACACAAUAAUCUAUAUCAAUUCCUUUGAAUCUCAACUAUUAUUUUAUGUGAAACUAAUCAUAAGUGAAUUUCUGAUGCAUAGAUAGUGAUACGUACAAACAACCGACAUAUUAGUGACACGUAAGUUUGUAGCAGAUAUUUUCAAGAAAUAUCAACUGCAUGCUCAAUUAAAUUCCACAACCCUAGACAAGAUAUACAUGUUGCGUAAUUUAAAUGGAUCGCACAUUAAUCUUCUCUUUUUUCCCCACUGAAAUGUUAUUAAAUCAUUAGAAUUAGAAAUAGAAGAUUUGAUUUAGAAAUCUAAUGAAAUUUAAGACAGGCAACGAAACCAAGUAAUUUUUGUUACCGACAGAGCAAAUAGAAAAGGAUAGUUAGGUGAUUUUACUUUUAGAAAAUCAAAUAAACACGCUCAUGUUUCAACUAUACUUCCCGAGAACAAAUUAAAUAUGCGAUCCAUUAAUGUCAACAUCGAACUAAAAAUCCUAGAAAAAAGUGAAGCUGAAGAACCGUCCGAACUUACGAAGGGAAUACAAUUAAUCAAAAUAUGACAAGCGUGUAACAAUGACUCAAUAGCUCUUCACUGUAAAGGGCCUACCUUUUACAGUUGAAAAGUUGUAGCCUUGAAUAUAGAUGCCCUCGUUGAUGGCUCCAUUAAUUCUCGACUCUAAUCUUACUUUCGGAUACCUUCCAUUGUGGAAAAGUCGCUUAUGAAUCCCAACACAAUUAAGCAUCCACUUAACAACGACUUUUAAUCAUCUAAUUAAUUAGGCCUCUAUUUUGGUGCACUCAUUCUUUUUUAUUAUUAUUAUUAUUUUUUUUACACAAGUACGUACUGCACUUAAAAUGUGCGUACGUGCAUGGGAGAAAACAAGGUUAGGUACUUAAUUAAUUCUUCUAAGGUGAGUUUGCCAUGAAUUUCUACCUGUAACUUCGUAUUGUACAGAGCAAUUAAUUACAUAUAUAGUUUCUUUGUUACUGCAGGAAUACGUACAGCUCCGUAGUAUGACAAUUUUCGGUCGGUGUACUAGGAUAAUAAAUUUGGUUCAGUAGUUGCAUGGUACCUAUCUUUAAAAGUCUCUCUCUGUGUAUUAAGUACUUGUAUUGCCCAUGCCCGAUUCUAUGCACAACAUGGAAAUUACAUGCGUACGUAUUCAAUUGCAUCAUUGAACGGUCGAUACAAUUCGUAGAGACGAUGAUAAGUAAAACAGAGCGAUAUCUACGAAUAAAUUGAUUAACAUGUAUUGAACUGAGAGAACAAGUCGUACAUAUUACAUAUUCGAAUCUUAAAGUGGCGUGAACGGUGUUGAUGCAAUCGUUAUUGUGGCUUAGGAAAGAAAUCGAUCAUAGACGAUCGAGCCCGAACGUUACGUAUGGGCGCGAAGUACAAGAAACGAAGUGUGUCCAUAAAAACAGUGAGCGGUUGAGGAGCCGACACGUAGCCCACCAGAUCCCACUGAUUGAUUCCGGAGCUUCGUGGGUCCCUCCCGGCCCUUUUUCACUACGGAGAACUUGGGCCAUUUGCAGGGGCCCCCUCGGACUUUUUGCUCAGACACCGUGGUCCACCCUCCCGCAACGUGUCGUUCUCUGUGGCCCCUUACGUCGUCCUCCCACACGGUACACCGGAAACGCAGGCCAUUAGUCGUCCGACGCGUGUAAGAUCGUGUGUAUUGGGGUCUUGGAGUGCCCGGUCGCAUCGGUGUUUGGUGCGUCGGCGUUUGUAGGGGAUGGGGAGAGCGCUCCCGCGCCCGCCUCAGCGAGAGCGGAAAAGGCGACGGGGGCGGGGAGGAGGUGGGGCCGGGGAGGAUUCGGUGGGAGCGGGGCCCACCGGGGGGUGGUCGUGUCGGGGUGGGCCCGGGGGCGUCACCAUCCGCACGUGUGGGGCCCACGUGGAUGCGCAAAGGUCAAAGCGUCGGCCAAUCAGAGGAGAGCGCAGCGGGUGAAGGCAACUUGGAGCCCCCGUCGCUGUCGGCACGGAAGCGGCGGGCCCCACAGGCCCCGCCUCCUCCCAACCCCCCCUCUGCCCGUUCUGCCCGUUAAAAGUUAAUUAAUUACUCAAAAAAUUUAUUUCGUUUCUUUUCUUUGGAGACGAUACUAUUCAUAUAAUUUCAAAAUAAAUAAAUUAUAUAUCUGACAAAUGUAACAAAUAAGAUUUCUUUAUUAACCAUAUUGAUGUGACCGAUAAAAUAAUAUAUCUAUAAAAUAGAUAAAAUAUAUAGCAUACAACCAAAAGAAUGUAUCAAUUAUUUAUAUAUAAUUCAGAGUCCGAAUGCUAUAUUAUCGGUAAUAUAAAUGUAUUAUUUAUAUUAUUAUUGAAAGUAUUUGAAAAUUAAAUUUUAUAAUUUUUCGACAUUAUUUACUUAUCAAACAAAUAAUCUAAAAAUAAAUGGUUAAAAAUAAAAAUUUUAUAAAAGAUAAUGAUAAAAUUUUUAAUUUAAANGAAUUUUAACUGUUAAAAUUAUCAACUACACUACACAAACACUUAAAUUGUCACACUUCAUUAGUUUUAGAUUGUUUAAAAAAUAUUUUAAAAAAAAUGAUAAAUCUCAUUCUAGUCAUAGAGACUAAAAACAAUAGUUGCACUUUCGCUAUCUUAUAGGUUCUUAACAUUUUGAUCGCUAGCCAAAUAAUGUCAAAAAAUUAUGAAAUAUAGUUUUCAAAUACUUUCAAUAGUAUAGAUCCAAUUUAAUGGAACCGAUCGUUGAUUAAAAGCCGCAUCAUUAAAACAGCUUGGUAGCACAGAGACCUCUGUGCUACCGAUAGUACGUAUAGCAGCCUAGCUCUAUAUAAUUUUUAACUAUUUUAUAAUGAUGGAGAAAAUAAUGUAAUAUGUAAUAUAUUAAAAUAAAAAUAUAUAAAAUGUAAUUGAACUAUAAACUAUUUUGAAUCUAUUAUUUUAUCUUCUAAAAAUUUAAUUUUAUAAUUCAACCUUUAGAUUUCAAUCACUCAAUAAUAUUUUCACUUCAAAAUUUAAAUUAACUUUUUAUUUUAAUUAAUUUAGUUAUAAAAAUUGCGUAAAGUAUAUGGACUAAACUUGUAAAGGUAAAUAGUGCAUUAAAAUUUUAAAAUUAAAGUAUUAUUGAUUCAAAUUAAAUAAAUUGAAAGAUUGGAUAUCAAAAAUUAAAAUUAUAAAAAAUUGGAUAGUUUAUACAAAAUAUUUGAUAGUUUAAAUAAGUUUGGUACAUUUUUACCCAUAUUAAAAAUGGCAGCAACUCUAUGGCUUUGCAAGGACUUUGCACAGUAUGAAAACUAACAUUAGUGUGACGUGCAUUUUCUUUUUUCUUUUUUCGUUUAAUUGAACACAUUACACGAUUUAGUAGUUACAAAUCUUCUUUUAAGUGAAAUGUACAAAUUAGUUUGAGCUUUUACCAAGUAAAGAGACACUGAACACAAUUAGUUUGUUACAAAUCUUAAUCAUUUCGGGAGGGGUCUAAAAUUCAGAUAAAGAGUAGGGGUGGCAAUCUAAUUCGCUAUUCGCGAGUUGGUUUGCGUUCAGCUCGAAAUCGAAUCGCUUGUUUAGUAAAUAAGCCGAACACAAGCUGAAUUUUUCAUCUUGUUUAAUAAAUGAGCCGAACACGAGCUGGGAUCAGCUCAUUUGUGUUCGGCUCGAUAACAGAUUGAAUAUAUAUUUUAUAUUUAUAUAAUUUAUUUAAUAUAUAUAUAUAUAUAUAUAUAUAUAUAUAUAUAUAUAUAUAUAUAUAUAUAUAUAUAUUUUUUUAUUUUGAUUUUUAGUAAAAAAAUAUAAAGUCCAGCUCAAUUAUAAAAAGAUUUAUUAUAUAUAAAAUUUCAACUAUUUAGAUCAAAUUUAAUGAGUAAGAUUUUAUAAAUUUAUAUAUCCAAUCUAAUUCAUUUAGGUAUCAUUUGGUUCGGGGAUAUGUAAAAGUGGCUAUUCCAGGGAUAGAUAUAAAUUGAGAUAUAAGCGGGGAUUAGAUCAAUUUUGUGUUUGGAUGAAAAUUUGGUUAUUCUUGGAAAUAAAACAAUAGUGUUUGGUUAGAUAAGAUGGAAUAAGAAGGAUAGUGAGUUUUAUAAAUAAAAAGUAAUGAUUUAUCCUCUUUAUAUUUGAAUUUAAAUUUUUAAAUUUAUAUUUUUAAAUUUAGAAUUUUAACUUUGAAAGUUUAAAAUUUGAAAUUUUAAAAUCUCAAUUUUAAAUUCAAAUUUUAAAUUUUAAAUUUCAAACUUUAAAUUUAGAUCAAAUUAAAUUUGAAAAUAUAAAUAUCAAAUUUUAAAUUUCAAAAAUUUAAAAUGUCAAAUUUAAAAUUUGAAAUUUAAAAUUAUAAACUUUAAUUUGAGAUUAUAAAUUAUAAAUUUUAAAUUUUAAAUUUAAAUUUUAAUUUUUAAAAUUUUAAAAUAAGAAUAAGGAUGGAACAAUUAAUAAAAAUAAUUUAUUAUAAUAAAUUUAUAAUUUUUUUUUAAAAUUCUACUUAAACUUAAAUUUAACAAAAAAAAUUAUUAUAAUAUUUAAAUAUAAUUUAGUAUAAAUUUUAUUAUAAUAUUUAAAUAUAAAUAAUAUGUAUAAAUAUAGUACAAUUAAUAAUUUUAUAAUAAAAAUAAUGUAUUAUAAUUUAUAACAUAGUAUAUUUAUAUACUUUAGUUUUAAUUCAAUUUAUAAUUUUAAUUAAGUUUGAAAUUAAGUAUUGGAAUAGCACUAUUCUACCAAAAUGGUGGAAUAGCAAAUCUCUUGCUAUUCCGGGAUAAUCGGGAAUAGCAAGGUUUGACCGGGAUAAAAUAUCUCGACCAAAUUUCAUCCCGUUUGGCAGAAUAGCAGGGAUAAUUUUCGUUAUCCCCGCUUAUACCCCCAACCAAACGGGGCCUUAAUUUAUUGUUUAUUGGCCAGCUCGUGUUCGGCUCGUUUAACACAAGCUGAAUUUUUCGACUCAAUACUUUAAUGAGGCAGUUCGUGUUCGGCUAGUUGGCAUCCUAAUAAAGAGGCACUGACUUAAGGGGAAAAAAAAAAAAUCCCAAAUCCUUGAUACGAGAGGAAUAACUACUUGGAAUAGAAUGGGGGCAGGGGAAUAUGGAGUAUGUUUAUUCCUGCUGAUGGUGAUGAGAUGACUCUUGUUGGUAAUGUGUGUUUUUAAGUACAAAUAAUUUAUCCCACGGAGUUACAGGUGAUUCCUAUCAAUUUUGUGAGAGCAAUGAUGAGAUGAACCUUAAACUUUAAUAAGGUUCCAUAUUGUGACCUUUGCUGUUUAGAAGUGGAGAGGGACUCCAUCACGUGAGGGGCCAUAGAGCGCACGUGAUGUCCUUUUCCUAAGGGGAAGGAUUUUUUCGUGCGACUUUUUAUUAUAUUUUUUUAAACAAAUGGAUAUAUAUAGCACAAGAAAGCGCAUCAAAAAUUAGUAUUGCUCUAUCCUUUAUGAUCUUAUGAUGUUUACAAUUAGUCAACUAGAAACAAAACUUCACUGUUUGAUUUUGUCCAUCAUUACGUGCCAUCAUUUAAAGAUAGUAUUAUUACAAAUAAACAUAUUUAUUUUAUUCUAAAAUCUAUAUAUCGAUCACAUGUUAAUCGAUAACAUGCAGAAUAUCUUAUCAUUUUAAUGGUAUCUCUAAUUUAUCAUUAGGAUAGAAUCCUCCGUGGCAGGACAUGGGAUAAGAAGGAGCUAGGUUGAGUGUUCCAAAUGCAAUUGAUCAAAGGGCUAGGCAGAUCAAGAAGGGGAACAAUCUUAAUUCAAUUCCUGCGAGAAAAUUUUCACUGCAAAUUUGUACACUAAAGUCUAUUAGAGCUAGCAAAGCGUCAAAAAGAGAAAAAAAAAAAAAAGAGUUAGAACUACGACCAAUUUUAGUCGGAUCAAAUAUUUUAAGUCUAUUAAUUUCUCUGUUUAUCGAUCGCUCUCUUUCUGCAACAGACACCAAAAUGAAUGGAAGAAGAUCCCUAAUGAAUUACACAUCUAACGCUGAAUGUGAUUUUUUAACUAAAAUUGCACUUGAAAACUAAAGAUAUUUAAAAGCUAGUGUUAAAGAAAAUCUUCUAACUAGUCUAUAAAUGCAUGUGCAUGCAUUUACUUUAAUUAAACGAAAGCGAACUUAAUUAGUAGGGCCCUCAACGAAUAGGGGGGGACGUAAGUAGACGCUUUAUGAUGACCACCUCAAUUGGAUUCUAGUCAUGUUUACGGUCUAUAAACAAAUAAUGAUCUGAAAAUUUUUAUUAGAAAGAAAAAAAAUAAAUUACUGAAUUAAUCGUUUCUUAGUCUAUUAGGAAACAAAACAUUGUUAAUUAGCAUAGUGUUGGUGAAUAUUAAUUUGUCGUCCUCGUGGCUUCGAAGGUCUAAAUUAGUUAGAAAGCCUUAACUGCAUAAUUACACCUCAGGAAAUUUAUUGUAAAUUAAGAUCAAUUAGUUCAUGAUACUUCUCCUCCACUUCAAAUUAAAGAUCACGAAGCAAAUUAAAGUUUCUUUUUCUAAAAAAAUUCAAGAUCCAAUAAUACAAUAUUUCUUCCUUUCGGAUAUUAUUCAAAUAUAUUUUUAUUUUAUUUAUUUGGAUGGUAAUUUUUGAUUGGUGAUAGUACUCACUUUAAACUACAUGUCCCCCCACACAAACGACAAAACGUACGAUCAUUAAUUAAUUACAAUAAGGACAAGAACCGCUUUGCAAACGUUAUCGAUCUUAUGACUGUGAUGGACCUGAAAGUCUGAAACUACAGGUUUUUUUUUUUUUUUUUUUUUUUUUUUUUUUUUUUUGGAGAGAGAGAGAGAGAGAGAGAAAGAAAUAGCAAGCUAUUCAUUUUAAUUUUAUUUUUUAUAAUAAAUUUAACUACAAAUAUAAAAUAAUUAAAUAUUAAAUUUAAGACCUCAGAUAUUAUGCUUAGUAGAGUUGGUUAAAACUACAUUAACAUUGAUCACUCGUGUAGUACAAAGAGAAAAAAAUUUAAUUUUUAUACACGUAAUGUGGGCCCUUAAUUUUUAAAGAGUUUUUUACUUGUUUCCUUUGUUCUCAUUUAUGUAUCCGCAUAAUGUACUAACCAACUAUCUUUUAUAUAUGUUUUUAUUGAUUUGGCUAACUCCCUUAUCGUUUGAAUGAUUGAUAUAUGUCGGGAUGGAAUUCAAUUUAGCUUCAUUUUUCGUCGCUUAUCUUGAUUAUUUUCGAUAAUUAUAUUAUGAAUUUUAAAACAAAUGCAUGGAUAAUUUGCUUCAUGUUUUAUAUUGAAUGAGUAAUUAACAUCACAACUUGCUCAUUAUCUUAUAUCAAAAUAUGUUGGCCAAAUAAUUUUUCUAUCGGAUUAUAUUGCUACGAUGAGUAGGUACUAAGCAAUUAUGAAUUUUGGGUCAUUUUGUUUGGUUGGUUUUUGUUUUUUUUAAUCAAAUUAUUUUAAUAUUAGUUGACUAAUUGGUGAAUGAUAAUGAUAUCACCCACUACUAUUCAUUUGGAGUGUACAGUAGCACGCCAAAGAGUGUACCAAGAGGAGUCUAUUAUUAUGAACAUAAUAAUAAUAAUAAUGGGAAAAAAGAGUUAGUCACAUUCUAAGGGUGUCACAUUAAUAGACGUUAAGGAAUUGAAUUUACAUAUAAAAUUGACUUGCUAGUCUAAUUAGCUUGGCUUUAACAUUAGAAGACACAGAGUUGAUAAAACUAUGUAGACCAUUUUAAAUUAAUACUGCUACUGAUAUCGAUAUACUCGCUAUAGUAUAAGAAACACUUCAGAUAUAUGUCCUCUUGCUUCAAUUGUUCUGCAUUAGGUAAAUGUAGGUAUAGUAAAUUUUUUAGAGAGAAAAAUGCCUGAAGCAGGCAAUUUUAGUCAGGGACGAAGCCAGAAUUCAAUCACGAGAGGAGGCAAAAUAUGUAUAAAUAAAAAUUUUAGUAAAUAGAUAAGAUUCUAACUACUCAAAUUUUUAAUAAAAAAAUUUAGUAAUUAGAUAAUCAAUGUUAAAAAUAUUAAAUUUAUUUCAUUAUUUGCACUCCCUUAACUUCUAAUUAUUUUAUUUACAUUAUUCUAAUCAAAUAGUUUAAGAAUUUUACUAAAUCUAAUAGUAAUUUAGUUAGAAUUUAUUUUUUUAAUUUUUGUUAAAUAAAAUAAUAAAAAUCAAUGAUUAAUAUCUAAUAGAAUUAUUAAAUUUAGCAUAAUAUUUUAUUUAGUUAAAUAAAUUAGCUUAUCAAAAAUAAUUAGAAAGGUAAAAAUGUAUAAAUAAAAAUUUUAAAGUUGAAAGAACUUAUUUUAAAAUAUACUAUAAUUAAGAGGUUCUUAGCGUAUUUUCACCUAUGAAACAUAUAAGAAAAGAGAGCUCUAUACUAGUACUAAAAUUUUUUUAUAAACCGACCGUUCCUAGAGCAAGUGGCAAAAGACUUAGUGGUUGGUACUCGAGACCCAAGUUCGAAUCCUAGUUGAUUCACGUUUCCAGCUAAAUUUAUUUCUAAAUGAAAUAAACAAAGCGGGUAGCGUGCUACCUAUCUCUCUCAAAAAAAAAAAAGAAGAUAGGCUCUAUAUUUUAAAAAUUAAUUAAAAAUUUAUAAGCUAUCAAAGGACUAUAAAGUAAAGGGUGCCAUGGCCCCGUUGGGUCUAUUAAUAGUUCGCAUAAGCAUUUUUAUAAGACUCAAAAAUAUCUUGCAACCGAAAAAACGGAAGAACUACGACUUGCAUUGAAAGAGUGAUUGGUGUAUAAGAUUUGACAUAUCAUUAGCCGCCAAUACUUUAUAUUUAAGCAUUUUCAUUGUAGGUCAGAACAAGCUUCUAAUAUUAAUAAACUAGCUAUAGUUAAGUCCUUACAUAUAAUAUCCUAACUUCUUUUCAGAUAGCGUAAUUUAAAAUCAGACGUAAGUGCGUGAUAUUUGGAGCAGUUAUGGGAGGAUCCAACAUGUUUUAAACUAGUUAGUAAAUUCAUCCUUUAGGAUCCGAAUGAAAUAAUUUGAAUUAAAUUUUGGUGGAAUUUGAAUCAAAAACUGGAUUAUAAAAUUACCAUGUCCCUCAAUAACUCAAUUAUACGUAGUUCCCUACACUUGCACUCAACAAGCAAUCGAGAGAGCUUUAUGUCAAAGCAUUAGGCAACACGAAAUAACGAGCCACUUUAGUUGAGAGUUGAGACUCCUCUUGAACUUAUUGUAAUGGGUACCCCAAAAUGUUCCUCACAAGCUACCUAAACAAACCAAGUACUUGGAACUUUUUGGACUAAAAAUCAGCGUCGCAAUCACACUAACUCGCUAGUGGGGAAACGUCAUUUGCUACGUCAUUAUAGAUGUUGCCAUUUUUUCUUUACUUAUUUAUUUGCGGUGCCAACCUUCCAUGGAGCGUAAUCGCCACGUUAUCUCCAUCAGAGAGAUAUUUUUCUUCCCCAGGUCGUACAAAAUGUCUAACUUGUGCCUAGUAUUUUUUUUUUUAAAUUUAAUUUAAACUUUCGAAUACUAAUCAUUAAAUCUUCAGUCAAAUAGUUUAGAUAUAAUUACUAUGUGGUUCAAUAAAGACCAAUUUACAUAAAAAAUUCAUAAAUGUAGAGCUUUUGUAAAAUUGAAUCAUCUUUUUUUAUUUUUCAGAUUCGGAUCGAAUUUUUAUCAAACUGACCGAAAUACUUUUUUCCCUCUCUCUCUCUCUCUCUCUCAUUUUCUCUCGUUCUUUUUUUUUUUUCCCUCUCCAAAGAGAGAGGCGGAAGCGGAGGCGGCCCACCACACAGCAUGGAAGUGGGUUUGAUGGUUGAAAAGUUUGCUGCGGUGAAAGUGGAGGGGGAGGUAGGUGGCAAGGGGCCACGAAGACGAUGGAGGAGGUUCGAAGAGAAAAAAAAAAAAAAAAAAUCACGGUGCAACCUUGAUGGGGUUGGAGGCAAGGAGGGCCGAGGGUGAGUGGGUGCGGGUGCAGGCGAAAGCGCAUGGGUGGAGGUGAGGAGGGGCAUCCUAAAGGGCGGUAUCGAGCGCAGUUUUGGUGGGGUCGGAGGCGAAGAGGGCGGGCCAUGUGCGAAUGCGGGCGAGGGCACGGUUGACAAAGACAAGGCGAGACGCCUUCGCCUCCGCCUCUCUUUUCGGAGAGGAAAAAAAAAGAUGGCCCAGUUUUGCAAAAGCUUAAAACUUGUAAAUUUUUUAUGCAAAAUAGCCUUCAAUAAAAAAAUUAUACUAUAUAUAUAUAAAAUAAGGCUAGAAUACUAUUUAAUAGCACGGAGUCAUUGGUACUAUUAAGUUUUUGGUCCUUGGAUGAAACAAUGUGCGAUUAGGAUGAUAGUGAUCCUCUAGAAUUAAGUGAAUGGUUAGUUGAAUAGUAUAAUCCAACGGGUGAAAAUGGUCAAAGAAAUAGAUCUAACGGUGAAAAUUUAUGAAUACAAAAGAGUCAAUACUCAUAAGAGUACAGUAACGGAACUCUCUUUCUCUCUCUCUCUCUCUAUAUAUAUAUAUCCAUGUACGCUUUUGCUAGAACUUUCACUUGCGUACUUAAUCCAAUCUAGAUGUUUUAAUUCCUUGUAAUUUUUUCUUUACUUUUUUCCUUUUUUUGAGAGUAAGAUAGCUUGUUUACUUGCUUCACUGAAAAUGUGAAUCAAUUAGGAUUCGAGAUUAAAACCUAGAAUACUAACCACCAAAACCUUUUACCACUUGUCCUAGAAUAAUCGGUAUUACUUGUUAGAUUUCAAUAGUCUAAUUUUGUCCAUAAACUCGGAAUGUUGCGCACAGGUUUGGGUGCAAAUUUUGGGUCAAUUUGAGGCAAUAUAUUUGUUGAAUAUGUAUGCUGAAUCAGAAUCGGAAUGCAUAAAUUUUAAGAAUCCAAUUUUAUCUAAAAUUUUCGAUUGAAAUAGUGGAAGGUUGGAUUUUGUCUGGUUCGCUAAGAUCAAUAGUUUAGAUGCCAAAUGGACGGGCUUAUAGAACUAUUUAGUACUAAAAUGUUCCGUAAAGAAACUUAAUUUGAAGUUUCUCUUAUACACAGUAGGAGGUUGAAACUAACGAGAUUCUGAAUCCUAAAUGUCAAAGGCUAAAAUUAAAAACAUUGGUCCUGCUAAUUAAAUAAUAUUUGUCUUUUAAAUGUCAUUAGCUUUGGGAUCCUUGGCAGGUUCUUUGGACUAGAAUUGAAAAGUGGUGAUAAACAGCAAGUAAAAGAAGUAGAAAACGAUCGAUGCGGCGAUGGAUGCGUUCGUGAGCUUGUUUGAUAAUGCUACUAACGAUCUUUUGAGAACGAUGUUUAUUGCUAUUAUUUUAUGUAUCCAGGUACAUUGGAUUGAGUAAUCGUGUCUACGUUCCAAGGAUUCUGAGAAUUUGUUUCAUGUCCGUGCAUAGUCAAACGCAUGCUAACUUUUCUUUUACUUGGUACUCUAGCUUUUUUCUUAGGCUUAGUUUGGUAUUGAAAUUUAUUAUUUGACGUUAGCAGAUAAAAUAAAGUUGGGAUAAAAGUAUAUAGGUUCUGCGUUCUCCAAUGAAGCCGCAAAAAAAUAACAUGAUCGAUUCAUCGUAAUAUACGGAAUAUAAUAUUAUGUACGAAAACAAACAGAGUAUUUUUCGAUCAUACUAUCUCACUGCACAUAGCGUAAUCUCACUGCAAUCUCAAACGAAGCCUUAAUAGAAAUGAGAGUACGAAAUAAAUCAUGCUACGCUUUUGGACCCUAUUUGCCUUGGGGUCUUAUAAAUGAAAAAUUGAGGCUGGAAAGUUGACUACUAAAUCGUAAGAAAGAUGUAACAAUAGGCAAAUCCAACUCGAUCAAAUUAGUUGGAUAACUAAACUUAAGUUGGAACCAAUUUAACAUGAUCCAAUUGAGCGUAACUUGACCCGCAAAGAAUCCGCAAAUAGAUACUUGACUAGAACUUCAUUCAAUGCAAAGGCUCAUGCAACUAGGCCUCGUGAAAUCCUAUUUAACCUUUGCUUAAAGGCCCCUGUAGUGCCGUUUGGCCCAUUUAGGAGUCUAAGUAUCGCCCCAAAUGGGCCUUUUGCAACAGACCAUCAAGUUCGUUUCACUUCCCACUACUACAACCACAGGGUGGGCAUUUAUUACUCGGAUUAGUCCAUCCUCUCUCUCUCUCUCUCUCUCUCUCUCUUAUAUCUCCGGAGGAGUAGCCAUGGACGGUGGCGGCGGCGUUGCGUGGACCGACGAGGUAGAGGAUCUCGUGGACCGCGGCGACGUCGAUGGCGCCAUAUCCGUCCUCGAAGCUGUGGUCGCGAGGCUCGAGGCCGAGGAGGUGCCCUCCUCCUCCUCCGCAACACCGCCGCCGCCGCCGCCGCUGCCGUGUCCCGGCGACCUCGGCCUCGCCGCCGCCCUCGGCGACCUCGCCGAGCUCCACGCCUCCCGCGGCUUCUCCCUCAAGGCCGACGAGCUCCGCUCCCGCGCCCUCGCCCUCCGCGCCCGCGCCGAUCGGACCCCUUCCCCCAAUCUAGGGUUAGUUCCCCACCGACGUCUCGAUCUGCCUCUCGGGAUUAGGGUUAUGGUUUGGGAUAUUGCGUGCUUGAUUCGGUUUUUGUCGUGGAUGAAGGGGCUCUGACCCGGCGGAGGAGAAGAAGACUCCGGCGAAAGAGGACGUUAGGGUUUCGGAAGAGACUAAGAAAAACCAGGAAGAGGAACAGGACGAUGAGGAUGGUAUCUUUCUCGACACAUUACGCACAUUUGAACGAUUUUUUGAUUGAAUAAAGGUUUUCUGGUUGAGAAUGAGCAGAUUGGGAGGCCAUUGUGGAUCGCGGAGCGAUAGAGGACUCCUUGAAGCUGGAAACUGAUGCUGCUUCUUCAAAAAGCACUGUCGUGGAAGAGCCGGUGGUGUCUGCGACUCCCAAGAGAAGGGGAAGGGGUUCGUUUCUUUACGACAAGAGUGUGUUAUAUAGUGAUCAUCAUGGUGAGCAUACGACUCUGGAGGACAAAGCAGAGGCCAAGGACAAGCCAGAGGCUCACGAAUAUCAGGAUGCCGAUAAAGCUUCCGGAAAUAGAAGCGGUGAGUUUCAGGUUUUGGCUUUUGUUCUUCAUUUCUUUAAUUCAUCGUGAAUUAUAAAGAUUGCGGCUUUCAUCAUUGCAGUGAGAUUUGGGACUAGCCAUGUUCUUGUUGUGUACGAUUUUCCACCUAGUACUCGCACAACAGAGUUAGAAAAGAUCUUCGAAGACUUUAGGGAUCGUGGAGUGGCCAUUCGAUGGGUUAAUGAUACUGUGGCACUUGCAGUGUUUCGAACACCAUCAGUCGGUGAGUUUACUUAUCUUGGUUCUCUGCUUAGACUAUCAAAAAAGACUUUUAUUUUUAGGUCCAUGCAAUUUCUGAUGCCUGGUUCAGAAUUUGAUACUAAUUUUAAAUUUUGAUAACCGCCGUAAAAUUAUAAAGGCUGAAAGGAUGGUUUUCUCGUAGGGAAAAGCUAGAAGGAUCAUCAAAAAACUUCUAGUAGCAAAUAUUUUGAUGGAUGACAUGCUAAUGGAAACACAUUUCGUCAUGGAAUUCGACAAGGUUUAAGUAAAUCUUGGGUCUAGGUCGGGAUGUUCCAAAGGUUUCAACAAAUGUUAAGAAUAUAUGAGAUGUGCAUAAUUAAUUGACCAAAGAAGUAUGUGGUGGACAUUCGUGUAACAACAUGAAGAAUAAAGGAGUAGAGUAGUUAAGGGAGAAGCAGUAAAAAAAUGGCAACUUUACAAAAUAUAGGAGAGAUAAGCGGCAUUAGCGAGUGGAGGAAGGGCGACUGGGGAGCUCGGAGAAGAUGAAGAAGAGUCGAGGAGGUAGGAGAAGGUCCGAGGGCGGAAAAGAGGGAACUUGCGGAUUGAAGCUCCAGAAAAUCGGAGCGGAUGCAAAAGGCGGACCCACGACCCACCUUCCGCGGAGCGGACUAGAGGAGCGACCUGGGAUCCACUACCGAACCGCAACAAUACUUAACGGGUCAAAGCUGCAGUCUUUCGGAUCGGGGACAAAUGGCAGACCCAAUACCCGCAGGGUAGAGGGUCUAGAGGAGGAGGCGCCAACUAACCCAUAUCCAUUCACUAGAGUGCCAAGCCCAAACUGCGGCCCACAUUACAUCGUUGAGCCGACUGGCCCGAGGCCCACCGACUACUUUCAAUUAGAAUUUGCUUUCCUUCAUUUCAAAAAAUGAAAACCACUCGCGCACCCCCUCCGCCGCCGAGCAGCGGGAAAAAAAGAAAGAUACCGCCGCCACCUCCGUUGCCGCCGCCGCCCCCCUCCACCGCUGCUCGGCGGGGCCCGAAAGAAAACCCCCCGUCUGUUCGAAAAAGAAAUGUACCUCCGCCACUGCCUCCGCCGCCCCUCGCUCUGCCGGCGAGCAGCGGCGGCAGCAAGAGAAAAAGAGACGUAAAAUAGAUAAAGAUCGUACCUCAGCACCCGCCGCCUCCGCCGCCGCCGCCGCCGCCCCUACUAUCGGGAUCGCAACGACGGCGGAGCAGCGGGACCCUACGUCGAUCCUCUACCUCCGCCGCCCCUACUCUGCUGGCGAGCAGGAGUGGUAGAAAGAGGAAAACACCUCCGCCGGCGAGCAGCGGGGGCGGGCGGAGGUACGAUCUUUAUCUUUCUUACGUCUCUUUUCCUCUUUCUGCCGCCACCCCUCGGCAGCGGAGGGGUUUUCCUCUUUCUGCUGCCGCUACCCCCAGCGGAGUGGGGGCGGCGUAGAGGAUCGACGUAGGGUCCCGCUGCAGAAAGAGGAAAAGAGACGUAAGAAAGAUAAAGAUUGUACCUCCGCCCGCUCUCGCUGCUCACCGGCGGAGGGGUUUUCCUCUUUCUGCCUCCGCUGCUCGCCGGCGAAGUGGGGGCGGCGGAGGUAGAGGAUCGACGUAGGGUCCCGCUGCUCCGUCGUCGUUGCGAUCCCCAUAGUAGGGGCGGCGGCGGUGGCGGAGGAGGCGGCAGAGGCGGCGGGUGCUGAGGUACGAUCUUUAUCUUUCUUACGUCUCUUUUUCUCUUGCUGCCGCCGCUGCUCGCCGGCGGAGCGGGGGGCGGCGGCUGGGGCGGUGGAGGCAGAGGUGGCGGCGGCGGAGGUACAUUUCUUUUUCGAACAGACGGGGGGGUUUUUCUUUCGGGCCCCGCCGAGCAGCGGUGGAGGGAGAGGGCGGCGGAGGUACCUUUCUAUUUUUCCUGCUGCUUGGCGGUGGAGGGGGUGCACGAGUGGUUUUCAUUUUUUGAAAUGAAGGAAAGCGAAUUCUAAUUGAAAGUAGUCGGCGGGCUUUAUAAGGGACUGGCCCGGAGCCCCGGGCCCUCGGGCCAGUCGGCUCAACGGUGUAAUGUGGGCCGCGGUUUGGGCUUGGCAGGUCCAAGGCACUCUAGUGAAUGGAUGCGGGUUAGCGGGCGCCUCCUCCUCUAGACCCCCUACCCUGCGAGUAUUAGGUCCGCCAUUUGUCCCCGAUCCGAAAGACUGCAGCUUCGACCCAUUAAGUAUUGUUGCGGUUCGGUAGUGGAUCCCGGGUCGCUCCUCUAGUCCGCUCUGCGGAAGGCGGGUCGUGGGUCCGCCUUUUGCAUCCGCUCCGAUUUUCUGGAGCUUCGAUCCGCAAGUUCCCUCUUUUCUGCCCUCAAGGCGGACCUUCUUCUACCUCCUCGACUCUUCAUCUUCUCCGAGCUUCCCAGAUGCCCUAGCCCGUCGUCCUGCUGGAGUCCCGUCCAAGCACUCUCUCUCGCCGAACCUUUCCACCGAGCUCGCCCUUCUCCACUCGCUGAUGCCGCUUAUCUCUCCUAUAUUUUGUAAAGUUGCCAUUUUUUUACUGCUUCUCCUUUAACUACUCUACUCCUUUAUUCUUCAGGUUGUUACAAUUCGGUAGGCAUCGAUUAACUUCAUUUAAUUUUAACGGAAAUAUGACUAUCUUAUUCAUUUCUUUUCAAAUUUGGCUCUGAAGUGUAAGCAGUCCAUUUGAGUUAAUAGCAAUGUCUCCACAAUCUAUCUCCGUAGAAUUUACAUCAGUAUUUGUGAAGUACUGACUAGACUGAAGAAAAGGCCAAGCCACUGGACUGGAGAAGUGGACAAUACCUUGAUUUAUAAAAUUUUCUUGAUAAGGUCAAAAUACAUUGGCAACAUUGCAAUUUAUAUGCAUAUGUAUACACAUAUAUGCAUGCAUAUAUACUUUAGUACAUGUAUGCACACACAUAUGGGUGCACAUAUAUUCGAGGAUUCAAGUACUGCAUCUACACACAAAUUUAUAACUAUGCUUGUACAUAUGGAAGCUUUAUUCUUCCAAUUGAAUUGUAGAAUUGGGUGCAUAUGCAUCCAGCUAGCGCAUACGCGGUAUCUUGAUGGCUUUGUAUAUUGUUGGUGCCUUUUGAAAAGUUGACACCUUUACUCUGUGACUGCUGUAUUCUCUCUCGUCUUUGAAAUGUGUUAUAAUGGGCAAACUUGCUGCUAUGUUUUAUCAGCUAGCUUCAUCUUUGACAUUUUGUUAGAACUCUAUUUUCUUUCCUCUGUUCUCCAUUCAAUAUUUAGGUUGACACUUCUAUAUGAACAUGUUAAAUCUCUUGAUAUAUAAUGUUGCAAAAAAAAUGUUUCAUGCCACUACAAUGUGACUAAAUAUAUUUCAUUUUUACGAGAUUGGUUUGUCAAUAUCUUUUCGUGUUUACUAUUUAGUUUAAUAUUUCCUUUUUUUUGUUGUGUAUUGAAUGCGGCGACUAUUGCCUUUCUAGCAUAUGAGGCUCUAAACAGUGUGUCGUCCCGAUACAAAUUACGCUUACUAGAUGAGGACGAUGAUCUUUUCCCUAAGCUUGACAUCAAAGGUCCUUUCUUCCCUUUCUUCUCUUUAAUUUCGUUGUUUUCUCCUAUCAUGCAUCUCCUGCAAUUUAAUCCUUAUGUUUUUUGGUGCAUCCAACAUAGAAAUUUUCAUGCGUAUAUUUUGAUCAUUCCCUUGUUUAGUUUGUUUUUUUUUCUUUCCUUCUUCUUCUUCUAAAGAUGAGUUGUUGCAGAUCUGGAACCACCUUAUCCAAGACCAAAGACGUCAGCAAGAACUGCCCAGAGAUUGAUAGCCCAAGUGAUGGGAAUAAGACCUACCUCAAAUUUUGGCUCUGCUGAACUGAAGAAGCAGGAGGAAGCGCGAAAGAACCGAAUAGUUGCUCGGCAAACAAUGCGUGACGAAGCCUGGGGCUCAGACAAAUCUUAGCAUAUUAUGUGCACCGACCUUUUUAUCAUCUCCCUUUGAUUGGUUGUUCUCAUCACAUUUGUUUGUGUGAGUGGUUUGAAGAACAUGUUCUUGUGCAUCACAUGCUGGCUGUGCUUUCAGCUUUCGAGGGUGUUUUAUCUCCCCCCCUCUUCUUUCCUCUGUGAAUAAUAUCAUUGAGUGUGUCAUGUGAAUAGAACAUUACAAUACUGUUCAUUGUAAACAUUUGUAAAGCAGUGGGAAACUAAUUUGAAGAAGUUAUCGUUAUUUUUUUUGUUGAAGAUAUAUGCUAUGCCUUAUGUGCAUUCAUGUAAUUAGGUCUUCUGGAUGGUACAAUCCUGCUCUCUGCUUUACAGAAUUGCCAAAAGUAGAUAUAUGCACCUCUGCUUCUUGUCUUGUGUGUGAUUGGUUUUGUGAUUUUGUAUCGGAGCAUGAGUUGUGGACCAACUUAUAUCUCAUGACGCAGAUUAAACUACUUAGAAGGCUGCAUUAGUUGGUCACAGUGAUCUAAUCGGUAGGGCAGGACUAUACCACAUUUUCAGUAUUUUAUCAUGGUUAAAGCCAACAGUUGGAAUAUCCUUCAUUGGCUUGGUCAUGAAGCAUCUGCAGAUUCUUGACAGAUGUUUUGCUUGGAAUAGUGUGAUUCGUUGUUUUUCUCUUGUCUACAACUCUGAUUUUUAGGUGAUAUAACACCUUUCAUGCUUUGCAGAGCACCAGUUGAACUUUUAUGUGCUUGUACAGCUUGAUGUAGAAGUAAAAUCAGUGAAUGGCUGAAUGUCUUUUCUGGUUCGCGACUUGCGAUGAGAUCAGCGAAUGGCUGAAUGUCUUUUCGGGUUUGCGACUUGAGAUGACCCUUCUGCGUCUGAAUUCUCAAUUCAGCCUCCGGCGCGUAACUUGUUUGAUGUUUGAAUGGUAUGUCAUUAGCUGCAGGGUAUUUUGAUUGCUGAUAUUUCUUUUCACAAAAAGAUUUGAUUGUUGUCUGAUUAUGUUGAAAUGUCUUGGGUAGUUGGUAAAACCUAUGGGUGGCGAUUUUUGACACCCUUCUGGAGACUGACACCCUGAUGAACCCAACUGAACUGCAACGACAACAACUGUUGGCUUUUCAACUUUUUUAGAUUGGCCGAGUAUCUUAAUUCCUCCUCCAAACUUUGCUGCAGUAUGUCAGUGUUUUCUAUGCUAUCUUAUCUUUCUAAUGAAUUCUCGUAAAUUCAGAUUCAUAUGCACGAGGGUAACAACAUCGGAGAUGAUUUUACAUAUAUCAAGUGUGGAAGGGUUUGCACAUAAUAUUCAAAGUUUCAAAUCAUUAUUAUGCAAAAAACUGUGAUUUAUUGCUCUUUAAACUAAGGAUUGAGGGCUACUUUCGGUAAAGCUUGAAAUGAUCGAGACGGCCCUUCAGUCGGGAGGAAAAAAGGAUGAGUUUGAUUAAGCAGACUGAUUCCUAACUGCCGGCGUCAGAACUUGGUCCUUUCCUAUUCAAUUUUGCUCAUGUCAUUUUAUGUAACUCCACGGCAUCUAAAACUUUUUUUUUUUUUUUGUGAUCUAGAAGUUUGAUGAUGUAUAUUGCAAAUAAACAGUUGAUCAAAUAAGGCGUGUGUUUUUGACAAUCUCUUCCGCAGUUUUUUGACACUGGCAGUAGCUGUGAAGGCCUUAUCUGAACGUUUCUAGAAAUUGAAUUAUAUUCUUGCAUUUAAUAAUACCUGGUUGGAAAGCCAUCAGAGUCGAAGGUCACUUUUAACCGAUUAUUACAUUCGUUAUGAAGAUUCAUAUAAGAAAUUUUUUUUAAAAAAAAAUGAUAUAUGAAAAAAAAUAAAUGACUUGGUUCUGCGAGAAGGGUCGAGAAUCUGCAUCCUUGAAAAUAAUUUUGGAACGUAAGGUUAAACAUUGACCGACUGUCCCUAAAGUAAGUGGCAAAGGAGUUGGUGAUUGGUAUCCGAGACCCCAAGUUCGAAUUCUAGUUGAUUCACAUUUCCAGCUAAGUUUAUUUCUAAAUAAAAUAAACGAAACGGGUAGCGUGCUAUAUAUCUAUCUCUCUCUCUCAAAAACAAAAGGGUUAAGCAUUGCAAUCAGGUUGUCCAAAACAGUACGCAUAAUUUCUGAUCUCUCAAAAUAGAAACUAAAAUUCUUGCUUUCAUGAAAAUUUUGCUAUUUGAUUGAUUCAUUAUUAUGUAAUUUUCCUUUUACCCUCUCGGGUAUAUAUAUGAAAUUGCAAUCAAUACAUUCUUGCUAGUUUCAUUGUGAGAUUUAUUGAGCUAUUACAACAGCACAUCUUCUAUUGCCUUAAAGCUUGUGGAAGAUGUUUUCCCGAAAAGCUUUCGGUGUGAGAGUUACACAUAAUUAGUUUCUGGAUUCAAAAAAGAAGUUAGAACUUUUAUUUCUAUCGAAAAUACUUUUCGAGCAGUUCUACUCAAAUAGUAUUCACUCAUUCAAAAGUUGUUAGCCUGUAAACUGCAACAUUGGAAGUAUUAGUUGGCGUUAACUUGUCGAUUAAAAACACAGUAAGUCUCUACAAUAAGAACUAGAGUUCAAUUAAAAGAAAAAAAAAUAAUGGUAUCUACUGAUGUAGUCACAGAACACAACAUCUGAAAUCUUUGGAAACAAAUCAAUCAACAAAUUGAAUCAUUUUUGUCAUAUUUACAUGCCAAGUUAUCAAGCAACAUCAGUGCAUAGAUGUUAGCUAAAAUCUCAAAAAAAGAAAAGAAAAAAAAAACAAUUAAAAUCAGCUGUCCAAACAGAAAAUUAGUAAGAUGCACGCGUCUUGUAUGACAAUGGAGACAACACUCAUAUUUUAUACGAAAUUCACAUAAAUGCUAUCGAUAGUCCAUAUCUACUAUUUUGUUUAAAAUUUGUCAUGCAUGCACUACUUAAUUAUUAUACCUUUACUCAUGAGCUAGAAUAGUAAUGCUUGAAGUGCCCUAAGCAAGGGGAUUCCCUCCAAACCCUAGCAUGCAACUUAACAAUCUCCCUCGCCUUCUCCUUGGUCUUCAACCCACAGCUCACCUGGCUUAGCACCAGAAACAUCUUAGAAACCACUCCCACCUGCAACAUCUCAUCCGCCACGGCCUUCGUCGCCGAAUACUUGGCCAACGAAUGCAACACCCUCACCGCCAUCUCGCUCGCCACCUCCGAAACCCUAAGUAUCUUCUUCGACACCACCGCCAUCCCUGCCGCGUGGUCCGCCAGCGCCGCCCUCCCCUCCGCGCAGCCGCACAGCUGAUCCAAUGCCAUCAGCGCCAUCUCGCAAACCCUCUUCUCCGUUUCAUCCAAAAGUAACUCGAUCAUGGCCGGCACAGCUCCGGCUUCGACGGCCGUAACCUUAUUCCUUCGAUCCGACGUACAAAUCAUCGCAAGGAUUUGAAGCGCGGCCUUCACGGCGGGGUACGAGACGCGGUCCUCUACAACGUCGACGACCUCUUCGAUCAGUUGCUUGCUCGUGUUGAUCUUUUGGGUCGGAGUCAUUACAGAGAGUAAGGACUUGAGAAUUUGUACGGCGUGAGCUCGCGAUCGAUAGUUUGAUCGCGACAUGAUAGCCGCUAACGUGUCGAUGAAUCCCGCAUUCUUUUGGAUAACCGUGGCACGGCUUUGUUCGGAGAUUUGGAGAGAGUGUAGAAUCAAAAGUGCUUCGUCACAAGCUCUUGUGGAGGGCUCCAACCUUUCCCAUAACUCUUCUCCUCCUCCUCCUUCUUGUUGUUCUCUUAUUAAGUAGUUGGUAGCAUUCAUAAUCACGGAUACUAAGAAAUCUACUGCACCAGCAGCUUCAACACACCUUUUGUUGCGAUCACUCUCUGCAACUAUAGAUUUAAGCUUGCGAAAAGUACUUAUUUGGGAGUGAGGGAGCUUGGCUUCCUCGAGAAGCCGCACAACCUGGGCUCGGUUGACCGGUUGGCGGGGGGUGGGGAACCGCUCGAUGCCUGACGAGGCGUUGGCGGCGCACCAUGAUUGGGUAAGCCUGCGGAGAGUGUGGUUCGGUGUGAGCUCGAGGUCGACCGGGCACAACGGUUGCUUGGUGACCGGACACACGUCGUGCUUCUCGCUGAAUAUCCACCGCUCGAUGCUCUCGCGAUCGUAGGUGAUCCCCGUCGAAAGCGUUACUGGGUCUCUCAUGAUUUGUAGUGAUAUUGGACAGAGGAAAUAUGGUGGAACUUCUACUUCGGCCAUUAAUGGUAUUUAUUAGUAAUUACUAUCUAGUUAUUAUAUAUAUCUUGAUAAAACUAGUUUGAAGAGAUGAAUAGAACUCGAUAAAACUUUUGAGAAAAAGUUGAAACCAAUUAAGAUGAUCAAGAAGUAGGGUUUAUUAUCCAAGGAGACCCAGGAAGAGUUUGAUCUACAAACUCUUGGAUUCGAAGAUAUAAAAAACGCUUAUGGCCCUAUAUGCAUAUUCUAGUGGUCAAUAAUGUUUGAUGCUCUUGGUUGAGGAAAAAAAGUUGUGGAAUAGAGAUGAGAAGAUAAAGAAGCUGGUGGAAGUUGGAGGAGUAAUAAGCUUUUUCAUGGAGAGGGGAUAUGGUGGGAGAAGUGAAUGGAGAGAAUCAAACAUGAAAAAGUCUACGUUGAUCAUGUACAUGUCCUUCUUGGCAAGGAAACAAAUAUUGCUAUUAAUUAGCAAUAAUUAUUUCAUGCACCCGGUGCACCGUGCACUACACACCGUACUCCUAAACAUUUAUUACUAUAUUAAAAUUGAAAAAUGUUAAAUAUACCAACUUUUAUGCACUAAUUUCUUAUAAAUCAAACAAUGCUAUUAGAAUUUAUAGAAUAAACUUUAGCAAAAAAUAUAAAGUAAUUAAACUUCGAAUUUAAAAUUUCAUGUACUACAUUCAUCAAGUAUUUUUAUCACGUAUCCGUAUUCUUUCAAUCUCAAAUAUUGUAUGUGGUCUAUGGGAUGCGCGUAUGGAUGGGAGCACUUUGUGGGCACUAAUUUUUUGUAUGUUUUUGUAAUAAAUAUAUGGAUCUGGAAAUGCUCAAACGUUGACAAAUUUACCCAGUCGUACUUCUGGGCGGGCACAUUAUAAGGUGGGUGGUAAGCCAUGAAAAUUAGUUCUCUCUUUUUUGACUUUCCCCCCGGUGAGAAAAUUAGCAAGAAAACUUUGACCGUGCGUUGAAUUGUCGUCGAUAAAUUUCGACAAAUUAGUUUAUAUAUAGCUGGGAAUUAUUUCCUAACAUGUUCUUAACUUAGUGGACCUGGGUACUACCAUACGUAGUUGAAACAUAUGGGGUGGCUUUGAAUGAUAUGAUUUUGGUGUGCUUGCUUAGUUUAAUUCUAUGUGGCGGCACCAAACCGAACCACACAAUCACCUCUUAAAUAUGUUUUGAAUCAAUGGAAUCUUGUUUUAUGGAAUAAAUGAUAUAAAUGCAACUCUUUUAAGUGAACAUUGAAAUUGGAUCGUUAAACUUUAAAUUUUGUUUAAUUUCUUAGGUUUCUCAAGUAAACACGUUUUCCCCAAGAGGUGUAAAUAACUUGAAAAGGCUUAAAGUUUUCUCUUCUUUUCAGAAAGAAAGGAGAGAGAGAACAACUUCUUUUGGUUUAAUUAUGCUUACACAAAAAAUUUCACUCAUUAGUUUUUUUUCGUCAUUUUACAAAAUUAACUACUCAAGUUUCUACAAUGUGCACCGACAGGAAAGAAGCAGAUUAUAUAUUAAUUUUGAGACAAAGGAAAGCUAAGCACGAAAUCCAAAGUUUCAAAAACUAAGUGUAACAAAGUAAUUUGACCGCUGUGUAUUUUAUCUCUUAAUUUGUCCAUAUCAAAAGCUGAAGCAGGACAAUGUUUUCUUCCAUCACAAUCGGUUAAUUGCAUGUUUGGUUUUCAAACUGUAAGACAUGUGAUAUUUUAGUUCUCAAACUCUAAUUUAUCGUAAUUUUUAACGUCAACUUUCAAAAUUAUUACAAUCAAAUCUUAUAACUUAUUUUAUUUGAUUAAAUAUUGACGCAUUACUAAAAUAAAAGUGAUAUAAAAUUUUAGUUAUUGGUGCAUCACCAAUCAAAGCAAUGCUUUUUCACUAAUAUAUUAGCGGAACAUCUAUAUUUAAUUAAUUAAAUUGGGUUAUAAAAUUUAAUUGCAGCAAUUUUAAAAGUUUGAGCUAAAAAUUAUAAUAAAUUUUAAAACUAAGGUAGGUAUCAGCUGCCUCAUAGUUUGAGGACGAAACAUGCACUUUAUCCAUCAAAAUAAGAUAAUGCGUUUUGGCAGGCCACGGUUGAAGAAGGUAACCAUUUUCUACUGGUUGAACUGCUGAAUGUUGAUAACCAAUGGUCUCGAAUUUGCAAAGAGAGUCACUUGCAUUGAAGAGUAGUACCACAUUCUCUCUUUCUUGUUUUUCGAAAAGAAAUUCUUCCGACGAGAUUAUCGUAAACUCUCUGGAAUUAAUAAUCUACAAACAAUCCGAGGCGAUUUUCCUGAAUUUGAAUCUGAUUACCUUCACUCAUGAUUCAACAAACUGUGGUAGAGAGAAGCGAGUUUAAUACAGAUUAUCAAUGAAGAAUAUUUGUGAAUUCCUAGAAUCUUGGUAUCUGUAAUUUUUCCUUUGCACAAUCAAAAAAAGGGGAGAAACUAUUGUAAAACAAAAGAAUGCCACUAACAUACAAACCCAUCAGCAACCAGGCGCUAGACUAGUUUUCUUCGGAGCAACGUCGUCAUAAACCCGCUUCCAACUAGGCCAAAACAUAUACAAGAGACUACAGUUUACACCUGUACAGUUUCUGAACGUGAACGUAAGUCCCACUCGCCAAUCCAAGAUUCAUCUCUGCCUAAAUGCAAAACGGCAAAGCCAAAAAAAGUGCUGACCAGUAGAGAGCAUGCAAAAGUGGCUUGCCGAGCCGUAGCUCACCAGCUGCUCAGCCGGCUGUGUAUUAACUGCAUGACCGCUGAUGCCUUCGAGAAUAAAAAAAGGCAAAUCUCCUUUUCAACUCUGCCUGUUCUCUGAAGUGUGCUGAUUACGCGCGUUCUCAUGGAUAUCCGCAACUAAUUCGCGUAGCUCUGGGAAUACCGUUACGAGCACGAGUUCCAGCAUAGUAUAUGCCAGCUGCUUAACGCAAACAGUGGACUGCAGUACAUUGUACAAUUGUCAGGGAUCAGGAUGGAAGAUUUUAAGAGUGACGAAGGUGUUAUGUAAUUUACCUGGAGAAAAUAGUAGAUGUCCCUCGCACAGCGCCGGUAUUGUUUAUGCCCAAUUAAGCUCACUAGUGCUGUUGGAGCUCCAGCUGAAAACAAGCAUCGAUCAUGUCAGUUCAAUUUGUAAAAUAUACCAUUGAUAGUCCCUAGAAUGAGAAUUGCUGAAGUUCAGCUUGGUUUUGGUCAAUCAUCAUGUCACUUAAAUUUGUCAAUAGUUAGAUAAAAAUUAAACUGAUGUGGAGCCGUGGAGGUGAAUAACUGAUGUAAAAUUGACUAAAUAAAACACCGAGAAACAAGAAAAGCAUGUUGUCUUACAGAGCAACAAGUUCUUGACAUCACUUGCUCUGCGAGAUGCCUCAAGCUGCUGCUCAAAAGAGCUCGGCCUACUGGCUUUAUCGCCAUACAUCCUAUUUGUACUUUGAACUGGUCCCGAGUUAGGUUGGUUUUCUUCCGUUCUACUCUGAAAUCCUUCCAACCUGGUAAAGAAUGUGCCGUUGGGCCAGAGAACCUGAAAAAUUAGAGAAGCCCCUAUUAAUGAUAAAGAAAGAUAGAACAGAACAUUUGUCGAUUUUGUAGAGAACUGUACGAUAAUACGCAAAUCUACUGUUUCAUCGUUCAGCUUGCUCUUAGUGAAAAACGCGCACUUGCACGCAUGCACGUACACACACACAUACAAAAGUUAAACAUAGAGAUAUUGCAAAGGUCUUAUUGAGAAGCGAACCGUUUUGCCACUAACAAUGACUAACAGUUUUGGUUUGUUUAUACUUACUAUUAUAGUUAUGCACUUUGCAUCUUUCUUUUGAGAUAUCUCAUUUAUACAAUCACCCAAAGAUUUUGGAAAAACUUAAAAAGUUCAAUAAUCUUGAAAGUUGCAAAAUCUUCCGGCCCAUAUAUGCUCCUACCUAUCUAAUGCGCGAUAUGAGGUCCCUUCACCUCUUUAUUACCAUUUCCACCUUUCAGAACAUUGCAUUUCAUGUGCGAUUGUAUAAACAUCAUUUCUUGCAACAAAAUAUGUUUCAACUACUAAUCAAUUAUUUAAUCCUAAAAACUGUAUAAGACAAAUUCAAGGAGAAUAUUUUGUAAAUGCUGGAACACGCCAUUUAAAACAUGAAAAAUUCAAGAAAGCAAUUGAGAUUUUGAACAGAAAAUUUCCUCUGGACAACAAAUUUGAGGCAUGUAAUAGGUUUGCCUUACAUCAUGUACCCAACGAAUCCCUUGCGCAAUAACGUCAUCCCUUCGAAGCAAAUGGAUUUGCCUUAGAAUCCAAUCAUCAAUUGCAUCUUCCAUCAUCAGCUGCAAAAUUUGCUUUGAAAUCCAAUAAACCUGUCUCCUGUAGAGUAUACAAAGCUACAUAUAAACAUCUCAUCCUAGCAGUUCAACAUAGUACAGCUUAGUCAUUUUCCCUGUAAAUACACAAGACAUGCAACAAAGGUUCUCAGAGCUAACCUUAACCAACCUCUCUGCUUUAGUUGGAAUAUCUUGUCAACAAGAUUUAAUAGUGGCACACUUACAUUUGGUGGCGUCCACUGCACAAAAGACACUACUAUUGUUUAGUUCUCCACUUUGUACACGAACCUGAUCGACAUAUUGAGAUCAAGAGCAAAUUUGUCAAGAAUUCAAAUGUUUUUUUGAGACAUCAUUCUGAUCAAUUGUUAUAAGAUUUAUAUUGCAACAAUUGUCAGUGAUUACUUCGCAAUUAGGUCCUAAACAAUAUUGCCAACCUUUCAUUAAGAAGGUGAAUAACUCUUGAAUGAUGCAAAUGCAAGAGAGAAGAAAGACAAUAAUCAAGAGUUGGAAUAAGGAUUGCUUAGAGUACUAAAGAUAUGAGUAAAAGUAGUACCUCAGGAGGCAUUCCAACAGGAUCUUGAAAUAAAUCAGGAGAUAACAAUGCACUCGGACCAUCAAAACUAAUUCUAUCUAAUUUAUCUAACUGCUGGUUUCUCUGAGAUUCCAAACAAGUUUCUUCAAUGCGCUUAACAACGCGAGGAGGAAACUCUUUGGAGUUCAAUUCAUUGUCCGAGUGCCACCCAUCAUUUACUGCCAAAGGCUUGCCUUCAUAGUGGCUUUCGUCAUCAGACAAGCUGUGAGAAGUUUUGACAUUACUAAAAACACGAUUAUGCUUAUUUGUAUCCUCCCCGUUCCAGGACAGUGCCAUGCUCUUUUCCCCCAGUGGUGAAGAAGCUACAUAAUAAGAUGGUGAUGAGUUAACAACUUUGCGCUUGAGGCCAUCUGAAACGCCUUUGAACUGACGAACAAUGUCGUCCAUAGCAUCGUCCACAUUAACUGUUGCAUGAUAAGUAGCUAGUUAACUUACACGACCAGAUGAAGCAAUCAUCUACUAUGAAAGCAUAUAUAUUAAAGGAUAUAAAAAACAUAUGCUGUUUGAUCUGUGCAGAAAGUACGAGUAUCGGCUUCUGAGUUCUGAGGACACUUCAUGGGAGAGAGAGAGAGAGAGAGAGAGAGAGAGAGAGAGGGUGCAUUAAAAGGACCCUGACAUGCAGUAUUAGAAAGGAAGUUUGCAUACAAAUCCCCAAAAAAUAUCUACUGACGUAUAUACCCUUGCAAAACUUCAGUGCAAGUGAGCACACAAACAAACAUACAUAGAUGCAUAAACUUGUGUGCACACACAUACAGCAAAAUACAAAUUAACCAAUAUUGUGCUUUUUGAGCCAAGCUCAAGUAAUUCAUGUCCUGCUCAAGUUAGUCAAGCUGAUAAAUUUUCUCUCGAGCUCAGCUAAUUUUAUUAAAGAGUAAACUCAGAAUAAGUUUGAUCAACUCGCAAGUCAACGAGCUCAUUUGAUACAUCCUACAUACAUUAGUAUGUGAUUGCAAAUUGAAAGAAAAAAAUUGCGUACCUGCCAAUGUCUUCAUCACUGAGGUAGAUUUUCCAAAAGAAUAAUUCUGUUAAACAGAUACAGAAGGAAAACAAUAAUAAAUUGGACAGUCUAAAGAUGAAACUAUCGCAUUUUGAUAUGAAUAACUAAAAUUCAUACCUUUGAAGAAGCACAUAAAAAGUCCCAAACUUCAUGCUGCUCUGCAAUAUUUGCUAUAGACAGAAGUUCCUGACCAAAUGAAUUAGACUAGCAUCAACUCAGCAAAUUGUUACAUAAACAGAAUGCGGGAGGCUAGAGACUGUCAAACCAUACUUGGAGAUAUUUGUCAAGAAGGAUACAUCUCUGGUGCACAAGAUAAUCAUCAAUACUGGAUGAUAGAAACCUCUUUGGAGGCAACUGUAAUGAAUAAUUGGGUAUCUCUUUCAGAUAACGGUGCAAGCGCUCAAAAUUUCGAUAUCUGGAAAAAGAAAAAAGUUGAAGUUAUUAGAAUAUAGCACAUAUGUUCCUCAAAUUGGCUAUAAACAUCAAAAGAGUGUGUGUGUGUGUGUGUGUGUGUGUGCAUUUAUACACAGACACACUAACAAUAUCAUAUAUCAUUGGUUUUCAUCUCCUUACAUUCUCCUUACAUUCAAACCACAAAGGAGAUAUUCUAUGUGCUCUAGGAAAGAAAAAAAUGUUCAAAUCUCAAGAAAAAAGACAUCACAAGGACUAAACAAAAGCAUCCUGGAAGCUUCAUUAAUGUUUAGUCUGUGCGUGGGAAUUCCUGAUGCCAAACCUGAUGGAGAGCUCGCAUCAGUUGAGCAUGCAAUAGAGACAAAUUAUAUAGUUGUUUACAAAUAUUUUUUCCAGAAUAAAUGGAUGGCAAGGAUAUAUCUGAAGCACAGAAGAUGCAUAGUGAAAGCAUGCCUUCUUUUCACAAACCAGGUCUUGUUGUCUGUAUCAGUUACAGCAAUUGAAUAAACUGCAAAAGAUUUUGAUCCAGUUUUCUCAAAAUAUGCGCCAACAACCUGCGGAGUCAUGUAAAGCACCAGAAUAAAUUUUAAGAAAAGGAAACGGUACAAAGUAACAUAAGCUUUUUAGCUUUGACCAUUAUUUCCAGCAAAUAAUAGCAUAUUGGAUAUUCGCCGACUAGAGGAUAACGAAUCAACAAAAAGGUACAAAUUACUAACAUAUUCUGUAGGUAGAAUGAGGCAAAAAGAUCCUUUGUGGAGAAUUAUGUGCAAAGGCUCUAGCUGGGAUUCGUUCGUCUACUUACCUAUUUAAAACCUUAUACACAAGCAUCAACAAUAGGAUGACCAUGCUUGAACAGCAUGAUACAAAGCAUAACAUGGAGGAAAACAUUAAGCCCAAAUAUCAACUAACAGAUGAAUGUAAAAAACUGACAUAAAAAAGCACUAAGAGGUGAAUCAAAGCCAAAAUGCAUAACUGGCAUGGGAUACUGUAAGAAAUUCUCACCCGGCACCUGAGUUUUGGGACACUCAACGAUCCUUCACUAUGCAAAACUAUUGCAGCACUGUGUACUUCCUUCUCUUUGCCAGAAUUUGGGCUUUCAUGUGAAGCAAUAGUUUCGCCACUUUUGCCCAUAAAUGCUAUUCCAAUAUCAGGAGUGCUACUAGAUCGUUUCAUUUGACUUCGGCUGCGUUUAGUAACUUUUGAUGCACUUUCUAGACUAUCAGAGCCAAAAUAAACCUCCUCAUUUGACUUCCCUGCUGCCAGAUCCUGUGAUGCAUGUGGCCUACUAUCUACUGCUGCAUUUGAUCGAGUAUUAGGGUUGGAUCCAUGCAUCAAGUUAACCAUAUAUUUAUCAUCUAUAUAUGUAAUCCUUUCAUUCAAAUUGGUCAAUGAAUCCUUCUCUGUAGUUCCUGUGUGGGUUAUAGUACCUACUCCAGGACUUCUAACCAAUCCUGAAGAUUUUUCUGCUUUUAAAAGAUUGACAGUUUUCUUUUGGUAGUUUCUUCCUUUUGUCCACAUGUUAUCAAGAUUCUCAGGUGCAAGAACUUGAGAUCUCCUUUUAGUAGCAGCCUCCAAUACCAUUGCCCAAUCAGCUGGCCUCUGCUGAAUAUGACUCUCAGAAGCAUCGUUUGACUUAGGGUUGCCAUGCUCAGAACUAGUAAGCUUGCUUUCUCCACUACUUUUGACCAGUGUUAAAUCACUCGAUUGAAUGGAAGAUGUAUGUUUUGAUUCAGGUUGAGAACCCCGAACAUCUCCUUUGGAAACAGGGUGAUCAUGAGAAACACUAGCAGUAGCAUGACUUGACCUAUCAGAGUCACCCAAUCCGCCGUUGUUAUGUUUAUUGGAUAGGAAGAUGUACUCAAUUAGCUCAUUUAUGUACCUGAAAAAAAAAAAAUUCAUGAAGUUAAAACUUGUGCAAAUGCUGCGGAUAGCUUAUAGAAAUUAAAGACUGACUGAACAACAAAAGAGAAAUUAUUGACUUUUUAUGGCUGCAUAUACUGUCAUGUAUAGUUGUACAAAGAUGAGGCGUUCUUGAACUGGAACACAAAGUGCAGUCGUAAGUUCUGGCCAAAUGUCUUUUCAACAUUGGAUUAGUAAUAUGCCUUGGUCCAUUAAAUGCUAGGAGUCAAAACUCUUUAGCAGUAACUUAAAUUUCAGCCAAAGAAGCUAGACUAUUUCUAGCCAAUUACAGAGGUUUUUAAAGGUGGUCACAAGAUGGAUCUGGAAGUUACAAAGAGCUGUCUAAACUGAUUUAAGAGCUUACCCAGGGCUUGCAAAGUUCAUGACAGGCUGCAAAACUAGGCAUGUCAACAACUCUCUGCUGAAGCAGUGAACUAACGGGCAUUGAGCUUCUUGUGCUCUCAGGACUAUAGCCAGUAUUCCUCCAACCAUUCGUUGAAGAACCUGCAGACUUGCAACAAUGAGCCCACAGUACUGCAGAGGUUUCAUUUUAAGAGAGAAUGAACUCAAAGGGUUUAGGUCAUACCUUGUAUUCAUUCUCUGAAGACAACAAAGCAGGGUGAAGUUCAUGAGAAGCUAUUAAAUGAUGCUUCAGUCUCUCAUCCCUUUCCUCCAAUGAUAAUGUCCCCAUGACAUCUGCACCUAUCUCUGAUUGAUUUUUUCUGUAAAGGUCCAGCUGGUUUCCUAUUAGGUCAACUAUAUCCCUGUGGAUGCAUGUUAAUAAGGUUCCAACAGAAUUUACAUAUUCUCACAAGCUAAUAAAAAGCAUGCUGAAUGCUAAAGACAAGUGCUGCAAAAGAACCUUGUUAGCAAGUCUACAAGGUUGAUCUCUUUGACUCUUACUGAAACUUCACCAAGAACAUCGAGAAUUAAGGCGCGUAUUAGAGCUGGUGCCUCCUUGUCAGGAGUUAUAGAUGAGUACCACAGAUCAACGACAAAAUCCUGUAAGAUCUUAUCAAUAAAAUUCUCAAUCGCAGCCUCAAUAGAAGGUGAAUCAAUCUUCCUCCUCCGUCUUGAAAUCGGCGGCAUAGUUGAAAGACGAUAGUCGUUCACAGAUAAUUGCCUUCUUGCCAAAUGAGAUAGAUAUGUCUGCCUACGCACUGGCGGUGUCCUCCACCGAAUCUCCACCUCAUAGGACAGAUAGCGGAAGAACGUGAGUAUGAGAAUUGACAUUGGGAUAUUUGUCCACAUAGAUUUACUUGUAUCUGUAAGAAACAAGGAUAAUAUACAAAAUGAAAUGAAAUGAUUAAAGAAGCAUGUAUAACAUGCACCACGAAUAGAAAGCUGCAGAGGCGAAAUGAUAAUGCCUUCCUCAUAAAAUUAUAAAACAGAGGAAACAAAAUUUGUUCUUCUAUUCGAAAUCAUAUUUUACAACUCUUUUAGUUUUCAGAUAGGUGCAAUUACUAUGGCUCCUUAAUAAACAAUACUAAAUUUGUGCCUUAUCUUCCUCAGGCGUGCACUUAGCGCUAGGCUCCAGGAGCUCUCACACCGUGAUACGCCCUAUGUCUUUCAAAACUACAAAUUGAUGAAUGAUUGACACAAAAAUAAUGAAGAUUUAUCAUGAUUUCAUUUGUAGGCUUUGAAACUUCCGACUUUGCAAUCUUGACCAUCUCCCUUGUGACAAAGGAGAUACAGCAUAUUGACAUGUCUAUUACACAGUGAAAUCUUAUUUGGAAGCAACUACAUGUUGCACCUCGAGUUUAAAGUUUCCCUAGACCCAACUUAAAUGAGGCUAAUAUUUGUUAAUAUAAAUGAACUAGCCAAAAGAUUGAAGCUUCAAGUGAAACUUAAACAACAAGAACCGGAUAAACUUGAUGUCCAAACCGUAGUUUCGCAUUCUAACUCUCUCUCUUCUUUCAACAUUAUAGGGUGCAAAUAAAUGGUGCGCCACUGAACUUGUCAAACAAGGACCCCAAAUAAGCAAUUCAUCGUUCUUAUUUUCUUUUCGACAUUCCUCUUUGGAAUCCUAAAGCACAACCUCGUGCCAAACUUUCCAAAUUCACUGCUACACUUGCCAACAAACAUAAUCUACUAAAUUCCGCUUGAAAAAUCGGCUCGGUGAGUUUUUUCUUUAUUCAGAAGUUUUCCGCACACAAGUACAACCAAUCUCCGUAAAACAUAAGCAUAUGGUCCUCAUUCUUUUCAAUUCAACUUUUUAAACAAUGGAGGCUAAAAUGAUCCAUAUGCUAAAUUUCUUUCAAUAUCUAAAAAAAUGAUUUGGUUUUUGUUUUACGGAAUCAAAUCAAAGGGAGAGAAAGAAGCAACUUACGCGACAAAAAGUAGGAGAUGACGAAGACGCAUAUCCCCCACCACACUGUUCGAACCUUCGCCUCCUCGAUCAGAUCCUGCAACGUCGCCAUGGGCCUCAUGGCUCGCACACCGCUACGAGAUCCCACUCCCGAAUCAAAGGAAAAGGCCCUAGGGCUUGACGACCCAAAUCCCCUCCCUCGUCGACGCCUCUCGAUUGAUCCGCCCGAAGAAACAGAAGAAACGGCCUCCUCUUAGAAACCCUGGAUGGAGAAUUAGGGUUUUUUACGAGCGAAUGCCCUCUCAAUUUACGAAGAAGACGACCCAGAACGAGGAAAUGAGGGGCCGAGGAGGAGAAGGAGGAGGUGGCGGUGAUGAGUUCGUCGGACCUUAGAAGCAUCCAAUGACGAAACUGCCCCCACUCUCCUGAAUGAAUUUACCUAUCCACGUGGAAAAUUCCUAUUGGCCGAACCCGAGAACCCCCCUCUCCGGUCGUUGUAACACUCAGAGAUCAUCACGACCGUCCGCUUUAUGCACAAUCGGUGAUCGGACGGUAUCUGGCGGGAGAUAUUCAUUUUCGACGCGAUCGCUUUAACUGUCGCAACGAGUUGCGUUGUGUUGUGGUUGAAUUAACGGUGUUGAAUUCUCGUGCGUAGAAUAUACCACAUAUGAGAACACGGUCAAUAAAUACUUUUAUAUUUGGAUUUUAUUUAUUUUAUUUUAGUUAGUUCAAAUGCUUGAUAUUAUUGAGAAUUUAGGCAUUUUCUAUGCGCAAGUUGAGAUGAAUUGUCGCAUAUUCCGGGUUAACCGAUUGUCAAUUUUUAUGAAUUUGGCGGUGUGAUGAUAAGAAGAUUUUAAUUUUAAUGCUUCGCAAACAUGACAAGUGAAACUUUUAUUUAUUUUUUUUUUUUAGAGAAAGAUAGUAUGCUACCCGCUUUGUUUAUUUCAUUUAGAAAGAAACUUUGCUGAAAAUGUGAAUCAAUUAGGAUUCGAACUUGGGUCUCGAGUACUAACCAUCAAGACUUUUGCCACUUGUUCUAGGGACGGUCGGUGAAACUUUUAUUAAUUAGAUUCAAAAUGUGAAACUUUUAUUAUUAAUUAGGCUUUCUGAUAAGCAAGCCGUGCCUUACAAAUUGUAACCUCAUGGAGAUCAAUUAUGAUCAUAAUUUAUAUUAAGAUUGAUUUUAACUUUGCAACUCCUCAAUGCACGUUCCUACAUGUUGCACUCUAUCAAAAUAAUCUUCUACCAAAUAUUUUUAUUUCAAACGAUUAAGCCCACUGCGUUGUCGACAUGGCGCUGUAGCUGAAAAAUUUGUUCUUUGCUCACAUUGUUCGCGCUGCAUAAAACGCUAAGACCCAUUCAUCGAUUUUUUUUCAGUUUACAUUAACCAUAAAUUAUAUUGAAGAGCGUUGUAAAUGAUUUAACGUUCAAAAAGGGGAUUAGAAUAUAUCAAUAAAUUUUAAAUCAAGAUUAACUUGGGAAGAACUCAUAAAUAUGAAUACAUACAAAUAAGAUUGACUCCCGAAUACCAACAUUGCUUCAACGGUGCCUUAGUAACCAGUAUAGUGAGCAAAGAUUAGAUCUUUUUGUCUGAUUUAUAAGAUUAUGUGACAAAUUCGACAUUCAAUGUUAUGAAAUAAGUAAAAUUAGAAAGGAAAAAAAAAAGCAAUAAACACAUUGAACUCUUAAUACAAAAGCCACUUAAUAAUGCACCGUCCCUAGAGCAAGUGGCAAAGGGCUUGAUGGUUGGUAUCCGAGACCAAAGUUCGAAUCCUAGUUGAUUCACAUUUCUAGCUAAAUUUAUUUCUAAAUAAAAUAAACGAAGCGGGUAGCAUGCUAUCUAUUUCUCAAAAAAAAAAAAAAAAAUAAUGCACGAAUAUAUGUAACAUAAGAGCAGACAAAAGUUCUUCAAGAAGGCCACAAUCAUAAUUGUAACAAAUUCUUAUUUACCCAGAAAUCUUGGCACGAUUACUUCGCAUCAAACACCUGACGAGCUUCUCUCUGACGAAUUUGUCUACUCCAUUGAUGUUAGGUUAGGAUCUCAAAAAAGUGAUGAAAAAGAAGAUAAAAAGUCAAAUUUAACCAAGUUAUCAGUGAUGUACCCUAACAUUCUGCAUCCAAAUGAUUAAAGAGCAUUUAAUCUCUCUCUCUCUCUCUCUCUCUCUCUCUCUCACACACACACACACACACACCAGAAAAAAGGACUAGAAAUGCCAAUUAAUUCAAAAAAAAAAAAAGAAUUUCAGAUACAAUGUUGAAAACAUGAUAAGGCAAAACUUGCAUAAAUAAUAGCCAAUGGAUCACUAGUUAAAUGUUGCGACUCAUCUGAUCCUAAACUUGAAAAAUGGAUCAGUAUUACAUUAAUUUUGAAUUAUGAGGCUCUAAGAACAAAAAUUGUAGGGCUCUUGCUAUGAGAAAGAAUGGGUGCUUAUCUAUGCAAACUGAUCCUUCCAUGCCCAGAAUUUUCUACAUGCAACAACAGGUUAUAUUUUAUGGCCUAGAUAAUGAAAUAUAUUAGACAAAAUGUUGAGUAGGGUACUCCUGCUCAUACCCAUUGUAGUCAUAAUAUAACCUUUCACCGCUAGAAAUAUUCCGACAAGCAACCAAUAAUACUCGGCACUCACCGUCUACAUUGUACCUGACACACUUGAGAUUCUGCUUCUUCCUUCCCUCUCUGCGAAACAAAUGGGCCAUUUCGAACAUGAUAAACUUUGAGAUUCUACUGGAGAUGGAGGAAGUGGUAUUCAACUAGAAAGAAGAUACACAUUUGGAGGAAAAAGGGGGGGGGGGAGCCAUAACGAAGAGUUCUGUGAUGCUUACAUCAAUUUUUAAAAAAAAGAGACGUUCAUAUACCCUAUAAAGAUAUUCUUGUUAUGUAAACCCUUGCAAAAUCUGUUUUUCGUAGAUGCCAUUCAAAAAUUUCCUGACAAGUAUGGCCUUGUACUUUCAGAAAUGCUCCAUCAAGAAAUUUCUUAUAAUAUAUUCCCAAAAUGAAAGCAUGAAAGCAUAAUUACAAGGGUAACAUACAAAAGUUUGAUUUUGCAAGGGUAUGCACAUAAGUAAAUGAUGUUGCAAGCAUCCAUACAGCAUCAAUGCUGAUAAAGAGAAACAAAGUGAACUUACGGAGUGUGAUUGUUUAUGCCAUUAAUGAAACGAGCAAUAUUUCCACGUUUAUCAGGGCAUAUAACCAAACUAUCAGAGGGAUUUUCUGCAAGAAGAAGAGUCAUCAUACUGUCACAAUCAUCAUGUUCCCUGUUUUUGAGAUAAUCUACAUCACCAGUGUACUCAGAGAUAAGUGUCAUAUCCUUUAUAUUUCCAUCAGCCUGUACGGUGAAACUGCAAUGAACAGAUGGAACAAAUUAUGCCAAUAAGAAAAACAAAAACUUAUCUAACUCACUACAACAAUAAGAAAAAUUACCCUUCACGUGAAUCAAAAACAACACGGAGAGGUGGGCAUUCUCCUCGUUUAUGCAUAGUUCUACAAAGAUCGAGAGUUUCUUUAUCUUCUCUUGAAAGAACCUUAAAACAUUUGGGGUAAAGUUAGCAUAUACAGAGACAAAAUCGAAGAAGGGCCUAUUAAGCCUAGCUAGAUCUUUCUGCGGUGUUGUUUGGGUAAAGUUGUUCGAAUAAGCUCUAAUAGUCUUUUUUUAAAAUCAAAUAUCUGCCCGCUGCUUCUUCCUAUAGUGGAAGUAGAAGUUUCAAAUUGAAGCUUCUAGCGUUAAGGCUUACAAGCACAAGCCUAAUUUAAUUUCCUGCCGCGGCAAAAACUAGGAAUAUCCUAUUUGCCAAAACUACUACAAGAAAAGAAGCUAAGCCAGGCUGAACAGGCAUGAAAUUAUUGCACAAAUGCCAAAGAAAUUUCUAACCUGCAUUCCACCCUUUUCUAUAAUCGCCUGGUUAGAAGAUCUAGGGACCAUUCCGGGCAUGUAAGUUAGUUCGUUACUGAACUCCAUUUGCAAUGCUGUUAAUGCAGUGGCAAGGGAGCCCAUUUGUUCGAGUCUUUGUGCCGGAUUGUCAGUUGGAACAAAGGGCAAUAUUUUUCUCCUCUUCUUGUACAUAACUAAGGAGCGUUUCCUGCGUUUCUUUCCAUCUGACAAGAGGAUUUAGCAAUAAAUAGUUAAUAUCAAACAUGAAAGUUUUCUCUGUUCAAUAAUUUCUAAUUCUGAAGAGAUGAAUGAUCUGUCUAUAAUAAUAGAGUUGCAUGAAAGCCCCGGAUUUUGUCCUUACUUGUUUCAGUGCUUGUAAAUGAAUUAGCAGCAGAUGUGCAAGAUGGGUUUCAUUUUGCAUGCUAUUUAUUACUAAUAUCCAUUUGAUUGAUAAAAUUUGAGAGGGAUUUACUUUAAAAAAACAAAAAUACAUAGUUAGGACCAGAAAAGAUAGAUGAAGAUGGUUUGGAGAUGUCCAGUAGAAACAAUCAAUUAGUAUAAACACCCGUAGCAGAUAAGUUGCACGGAGAUAGAUAUGGAUGGUUUGGACUUUCGAGAUAUCCAGUAAAAAUCACAUAUUUAGAACGUGUGAUUUCAUUCAUCUCAAGAGGGACGAAAACAAAAAAUAAAUCAAAACAACUCAAAAAGGAAGCAGCGAGAGAUAUGAGAGAGCUGAAUAAGAUAUUGUAUCACCGAAACUUGACAAAGUGAAGGAAUGUGAUCCAGUUACCGAACCGAAUGGCUUAACUGCUAUUGCUGUUUUUAAGUCUUCGACGUAAAAAGAAUUGGAAUUAGUUAGAACACGCAUGCCAUCUAUCAUAAACCAACCAGACAAGUUACACAUUAUCUGAAGUUUCGAAGAUUAAUAAGUGGUAGAUACAUUAUACAUUAGCAUGAUAGCGGAACAGCCGAAAACAGAAAGAAAAUUCUGAAAUUUAUGAAAAUGAAACAGCAAAAAAGGGCGGGUAAAUUACUCAUUCAGCUCCUUAAAAAUCAAAGUAAGCUGAUUGGAAUUAGGAGAUAAUAGCCACAUAUUUCCCGUCUAUCACCUUGUGAGGUCCCACAUUUCAUCUCCGCGACAGCUUCGGAGCACUUCUGAAUCCGGAAGAAAUCUACGAUCCUUCUCUGCAUCAGUGGAAAACCUAACAGUCCCAAAACCACGGAUCAAAACCCCUUCAUCUCCGUGACUACAAAUUUCAUACACAAAAACGGAUACCCUAAUAACGGGAACCACUCAUUCAUUCAUUCAUGCAUUCAUGCAUUCGUUUGUUCAUCAGAAAAGGCGAUCGAGUAGAAAAGCGCUAGCGGAAGAAGCGAUUACUUUGGAAGGGUUUCUCCUCGGCGCAGCUGGGGCAGAACCACGCGUUGGACGGAACCCUAACGACGAUCGGGCGGAGGCAGAAGAGGUGGUAGCCCCGGUCGCAGCGAUCGCAGAGAAGGAUCUCCUCGUCGCGGUCGCCGGAGCGGCACUGCUCGCAGAGGACGUCGGCGUAGUAGUCGCCGGUGAUCGGCGGCGCCGCCUUCGCCUCGCGCAUCACCUCCGCCAUGGACCUAUACCGCCGCGGCGGCGGAGGCGGCGGCGCCGCCGUGCGCUUCCGCACGGAGCCGUUCCGCGGCGGCGUCCGGGGACGCAUGGAUGGAAUCGCGCCGUGGAGAAGGGGGACGAUGAGGGAAUCGGAAUCGGAAUCGGGGAGGGUUUCGCGGAGGAGAAUUGGGAGGUGGAGAAGAGGAGGGAGGUGGUCGCGGGAACUCGAGUGGGGUGGGGUGGGGGGCGAGGAGACGGCGCACGAUACGGUGACGUGUCACGACGGCGUUCGGUAUGCUAACGUGCGCGGGACGGGCACGGUGAGAGAGGCCGCUUAUUUGGUUUUCUUUUUUUUUUCCCCCCCUUUUUUUUAUUUUUUUGGCCCCGGAGCUCUGUGACUCCGCAAUGAGAAUUGGACCGUUGGAAACGGUGGGUACAUUUUUGGGAUUUCCUUUUCUAUUUGGUAAACUCUUGUUCUUUUGAAAUAAUUUCUAUUUUAUCUUGUUUCUUAUUAUUACUUUACAGAUAAUUAUUUGGGUAAGAUAAUUUUAUAUGUAAAAUUAUUAUGUUUUCGAAAGCAUAAAAAAAGUUGAUAUUGUCUACUUUUUGAUUUUUUAAAUUUUUUAACAAUAAAUUUCAGUGUCCUAUAUUGAAAUAAUAAUAUGAUUUAAGCAUGACAAAUUGGUUGUUUAGAAUAAUCUUGGGCUCACUUGUUGUACCAAAAAUGCAUAGAGAAGUGAAGAGAUUUUUGGCCUUAAAUACUACUUGUUGUUACUCGGCUCAUCGUAAAUUAAUUUCAGCCGUAACUAAAUUUAAAUAUAAUACUGUAGUUAUAUAAUUUCACCAGCCAUGGAAAAAUAAAUAAAAAGUUAUUUGUUGUGACUUUUUUUUCAAUUGACACCUUUUUUGUGUGUAUUAGUGCAAAUUUUUAGCGAAAAAUAAAAGAUAUUUAAUUAUGAAGUUAAUGACUUUUUAUUAAAUAAACAAUAGUAGAAAAUUAGUAUUUACUUAAACUUUAUUUUAACUAAAAGUCAAUUUCAAUCUAAAAGAUUAGUGUUUUUCUUUUGAAGAAUACAGCAAGUUACCCGCUUUUUUCAUUUUUUUCAAAAACGAACUUGGCCAAAAAUAUGAAUUAUUUAACAACAAAUUUAGAACCUUGGUAGCAACUAUAAAGUCCUUAGCCAACUACGUUAGAUAUGGCCGGUCUUUUAAAAUUUAGUUACAAAUAAACAAAUAUAGUCUUACUAUUAGGUAUGCAAAUGGAUUCGAAUUGGUGGAGCACUGGAACUCUCAUUCCGAUCCGUUCUAAAUGAGAUGGUAAGUAGGGGCCAAAAUAAGAAGAAAAUUUUUUUUGACCCGUUCCAAAUCUAUCCUGAACCUCUAAAAAAAUAGAGCAGAAGGUCAUAGACUCUUUUUUUUUUUUUUAAUAUGUUUCGAUUCAUCAAAAAUUCGCUCUAAUCCUAGCCCGUCACAAAUAAAGUGAAAAAUAGAGGUAAAACGCAUAAAAGGUAAUUAAUCCAUUCCAAAUUCGUUCCGACCAACCAAGGAAAUGGAGUAAAAAAGAUGGAAGACCGACUGCUUUCACUCCCGGAUCCGUUCUGUUUGCAUUUCGCGUAAAAUCCUGAGAAGCUUUAAUUUUACAGAAAUAUUUAUGCAAAGAUGAAUAGUAAACACGGACCUCAUCUACAGGACUGUUUUAUUUUUAGAACUUCUUUCCGGGUUCCUUGGAAAGAAAGAGUCUUCGAAUAUUUAUGUUAUAUAUUGAGGGUGAGCCGCCCAGGCUCCGUAUAACGUCCCUGCCCCGAAUUUGUUGCCUUUGUAUAAGGCGUUCGCUUCUUUCUAUUUCGUGAUAGAGAUGGAUGUCGACUUCCCCUGUAUCUCCCUUUCCAGGAACGUCGGGAACUCGAAAGCCUCGUCUAGUCCGUGGACCGGGUCUUUGCAACUCAAGCCCAUAGUCCUUGAUAUGCCAAAAAACGAAAAGAAAAAAAGGAGUGGUUUCGAACCAUAGCGGCCAUGGACCGGGUAUGUACAUAAUCUAGUCCAUGGACUAGGUUUAAAAUUUAAAUGGGCCAUGCAGGUUUCGAACCUGCCACCUUCGCGUUAUUAGCACAACACUCCAUAGACCAAUUUAAUUAUUAUUUUAAUAUUCUAGAAUAAUAAAUAAGAUUUUUUUUUUUUUUUUGAGAAUAGGUAGCACGCUACCUGCUUCAUUCAUUGAAAAAGUGAAUUAGGCUACAGGGGUGAGGCAACGAGGGCCUCGUCAACACGAAAAAAAAUAAAAAUUAAAAAAAAAAUUAAAAAAAGAAAAUAAAAAAGAUAAAAUAAAAGUAUAUAUAUAUAUAUAUAUAUAUAUAUAUAUAUAUAUAUAUAUAUAUAGAGAGAGAGAGAGAGAGAGAGAGAGAGAGAGAGCUAUUAAGGGAGAUCGAUCCAAGAGUCCAUCAAAGACUUGAGCCUGCGCACCACAAUUACUGGGUCAAACUGUAUGAAUAAAUAAGAUUUUCUACCACAUAUAUAUUGAUAAAAAGGCUCAAAAUUAGCAUAAUAUUCUAAUCAUGGUAAAGGAGUGAUAGAAAUAGAAAGGAUGAGAAUACUGAAAAAUCUAGAUAAAAGGGUAAAAUUCUAAUAUUCUAAAUAUGGUAAAGGAGUGAUAGAAAUAGAAAAGACGGGAAAGAAAGGAAAAAUAUGGUAAAGAUGUAAAAUCUAGAUAGACGAAAAAGAAUAUGGUAAGGGAGUGAUAGAAAUAGCAAAAAACUAAAAGGGGGCAUUCCGAGAAUUGAACUCGGGACCUCUCGCACCCUAAGCGAGAAUCAUACCACUAGACCAAAUGCCCUGUUUGAAACAAUAAUUUAUUAUUUAAAUUAUUAAUUUCUAAACAAUAUGCUAAAGAAAGCUCCAAUUCAAACUUCCUUUGAUUUACUUACCCAAAUAUUUUGCUUCAUGGUGAGAAACUCACAGGUUAAACUUAUCUGUGUUUCUGAAAGAAUUUUUCCAAUGCAAGAAGCUGAAACUAAGCAUUUAAUAAAUACAAAGCGUUGGGCGAGUCCAAAAACUAAUUAGUUUAUAAAGUGAUGCUUUUGCUAUAACUACUACAAGGAUAGAACAGAAUAUUGUUGGAAAGAUAUAGAUAGAGAAUACAUCAGAUUUUUUUUAAAAAAAAAACCAACUCUACUAAAGAUAGAAAAAGAAAAAACAAAAAGAUAGAGGCUAAUAUUAAUAUUAAGGGCCAUGUAACAAAAGAAAUUCAGGCAUUUUGAUUCAGUAAGAUAUUCUCUGCAUAUUUCCGCAAAAUCCUCAAUAGCAUGCAAGCUGAAGAAUUGACACUUUAGUUCUUCAGUGUUUGCCUGAAUUAAACUGUAAGCAAAUAGUAUAUAAUGCAAAAGAAACAAGUGACUGAAAUUUAGGAAAGUAGGAACUAGCAUAAUGGAGACCUACUGACUAACCUGUAGGAACUAGCAGAAUAUCUUACUGUACAGCCAGCAUAAGAUCUCAUGUAAGUGCUACUGAGGCAGCAUAUCAGAAUAUUCAUCCCAACAGACAAAAAAAAAAUGUGAAUGAAUAUACACUACCAAAUUCAGAUGUCACCUAAAGAAUAGAUAGCUGAUAAAUAAGACUGGCAGUUCUUACAGCAAGAUAAAAUAAAAUAAAAUAAAAAUAAAAGCUGAUUCGUCAAGCAAACAUGCAUUACACUCUAAUUACAAACUUCUAUAAUAAACUCAAUAAUUAUGAGUGUAAAAUAACCGUCUAUGCAACAUCAUAGUGAAUGUUAAAUUGCCAGUCGUAUUUUGCCUAUAAAAAAUAGCAUCUUGUAAAUAUAGUAAGUUAAUGCAACAACAAUGAUAACAAAAACUCAAAAAAAGAUAAAAGAGAAAUAAAAAAGACGGUACAAAACUUGAUGAUCCAAACUAAUAACCAGCUUGCUGAAUACAACUUUCUCAUCCAGAUUUCAAGACAGAAAUACAGUGAUAGCUCACAAUAAACAUUGCUUUAUGCCGGCCUUUCCUAGAAUUCUAAACAACAAGAUAUGCCCAAUUUUAGUUGAUUAUACAGAACAAAAAGACGUGCUAAAAAUGCAUUCCAUUGAGUUACAAAAUGAUCAACUAAUCAUAAUAUGAAAAGCCCAAAAAAGAUGUUAAUGAAAAAACUGCAAGACACUGAUCAAUGAUGACACAAUUGCUUCUUCCGUGCUAUCCUGCUCUGCACUGAUGCAAUUGCUUGCUGUUUCUUGAGGACUAUUUCCUUUAUUGCCUGCUGAUACUGCUGCUCUAUAAUAUCCCCAAUUCCAAUUUCAAUUCUAAAUCAUAAUCACUUUCCUCAGCCAAAACCACAGGAAAUCAUUGCUUACGAAACCAGAAAAGGCCGGCAAAUCACUAGCAAUCAAGCUAUUCACGUCCUUCAUAUCGAAACACAAACUACCAUCAUCAACUCUAGAUAAUACCUCCUUAAGAUCCCAUUCAGUCACAAAUUGUUUAUUAUCCAUAUGGGGUAAAUACGUAGCAGAAGCUGCAGAAUUCUCUUCAUUUCCUUCGUAGGAGAUGGCGGAAAAAGAGGACAUUUCAGAACAACACUCAUCCAAAUGAAUAGCAUCCAAGGAUAUGGGGUCAGUACAAGAAGAAAGUUCAUCAAGUUUCAUAUAUGAUGGAACAUCAAGUAUCUGAACAUUUUCAGCAUUACUUUCAGAAGACCCAAGAGAGCUUUCCCCAGCCUUGACCAAUUGGAGAUCCUUUGUUUCAUCUGUAGGAGUUUUCUCUCCAUUCAAAUUGUCUGAUUGUCGAACAGUAGCGCACAAGGUUUCCAUCCGGAAAUCAAGUUAGUUAAUAAUAAAUCAAUUAGCUUGGAGAUAAAAUUUACAUUCACCCUAGCGAGUUGAAGAACCUUAACCAUUUCGGUGGCAACUAAAAAAGAAGUAUCAGCGUGCAAGUAAAAUGGGAAAGAGAUGUUGGUCACACGACCUAUAUCACCUGAAAAACAAAAAACAAGAAGCCUGAGAACAAAAACAAACAUUUGCAUAUAUUUCUGCAAAAUCAUCUAUUACAUACAGUUUCAGAUGCUAGAUAUGAAAAGCCUGAUUUCAGGAGGCAUAAAUGUAAAUAGAUGAUUUUGCAGCAGUCCACAAUCAAUACAUCAAUGUAAGCCACAAUGGAAUGAAAGGAGAAAUUCAUAAAAAUUAUAAUUACCAUCCAGAUCAGCAAUUCUUAGCACCAAUUUUACGGUAUUGGCAUUAUCUCUCUCCCCCUUCAAUGCAAAUUCACCAUGUUCCCUUCUCAUAUGAACCUCCAAAGUUGGUAUGCACGAGCCUUUCUCAGAAGAGGUACUAACUACAGAAAUAGUAGCAGGACUAUCUUCCACAUCAACGUCCAUGUGAGAUGUUGAAUGAUGCAGGGAAGCGCUUCUUUCUUCUUUGACAACAGAAUCAUCCCGAGAGUUGGGUAUUUUGUGAUUGACAGCAUUUGAUAAACACACAGAAUUUGUUUGAGUUCCGUUUGGCCCGUUUAAUUGAAGAAAAGGUUCCUUUAAAAGCUCCUGCGCUGAUAACCUCUGAGAAGCUGGAACCAGACAUUUCUCUAUAAAAGCUUUCACUUCAGAAUCUUUUACCUUCGAAAGGGCAGCAAGCUUUAUCCCCUGUAGAAGCCAUUCAGGAACUAAGACAAAAGAAGCAAGUUCAAAGCUAAGCUCAUCUUGUUGCAGCUACCCAGCACUAGCUCUAUAGUAAGCAAAAGAAAAGGGACUUUCACUUGCAGAUAACACUUACUAAAAUAACCUUUUUAUAUACCUGAGCAGAAUUUGUGCAUUCGCUGUAUGGGUACUCGAAGGUAAUCAUUUCUAGCAUGCACAUUCCAAAGGAGUGUAUGUCUACCAACUCGUUGUAUUCCUCAUCAUAUAAUUCUGGUGCCAUAAACUCAGGAGUCCCUGCAUUAAUAAAUAUUAAAAAAUAAGAAACAUAUUUUUACCUAAAUUUUGAUUUUACAGCCUAAUAUUACAUUAUAUUUGAUUGAAGUACUAUCUGUGAGAACUUAAUUAUAUUUUAACUUUUAUGAUGGGAAAGCAUGUAACCUAAUGGAGUACUCUGAAUUUGAUGGGCAUAUUCCAUAACCUUUUGAUGGAAACUAAUAAGUUUUGACAGAACUAGGUGGAAUUUUCUUAAAUAGAUGACAAAUGGCAUUACUACUCAAUAACUUCCAGCACAAGAAAAGAAAUUGGCAACCGGACGGAAAAGUAAUACUUUCAUACCAGUCACGCUCCUUGCUUUGGUAUGUUGCAUGACAGUGGCCAAACCAAGAUCACCAAUCUUCACCUCUCCAUGGUUUCCGUUGAUAAAAAUAUUAUCACACUUCAAAUCCCUAUGGAUAAUAGGAGUGUCCCGACAGUGAAGAUAAAUUAAUCCGUUCAAUAUCUGUGUAGCCCACCGCUUCACUGCUUUCAUAUCCACCUUCUUGUGUUUUCUCCGAUACCUAUUGUACAUUAACUGAGUCACCAGGCUGACAAAAAUGAAUAAAAAGGGGGUAAAAUAUAGCACCAGUCCCUGAAUGGUUGACCAGUUGCAUUUAGCUCCCAAAACAAUAAUUUUUUAACUUAAAUCUCCCUGAACUAGACUCGUGUAGAAUCCAACCCUAUCCCCGUUUGCCUUCGAUAGGGCGUAACAAAAUUUACUGCAAGUGACAACAACACAUAAUCUUUUAUUUUCUGAAAUACAAAAAAGGGUUGUAACAAACUUAGAUUUAAGGAGCACCGAAUGUCAUGCAAACUUGGAUUUUGAAACAAAAGACUGUAAUGCAAAAAAAUUAAGUUCAUGAAAGAAAACUUCAACUAUUUCCACAAAAUCUAAGUUAGCAUAACUUUCCUCAUGACAUGUGCAUGUAAAGAAGUCGCACGUCAUCCAGUACCAACAGUAGUUAGUGAAGUUCAGGGACCUUUGGGCUUCAAAAUUAACUUUCAGAUGAUCAUGCGAAAGUUCAAGGACAUGCGAUAUAUUUUAUAUGUCGAUCACAAUAUUUUUAACAAAAAGGAAAAAGAGGCUGUACUCUCUCAAACUGCCGGAGUUAAACAACUCCGUGAUGAUAUUGAGAGUCUUCUUCUCAUCAUCGAUCCACGAGUUGUAGUAUUUCACGAUAUUCGGAUGCUUCAGGGUUUUCAGAAAGUGGAUCUCCGAAUACAGCCUCUCCAAGUCAUUGGAGGACUGCAAAGCAUCAUCAAUCCUAACCUGGUUCCAAGCUACCUCAAUUCCGUCCACUUGAUCAAAUGCCUUGUAGCUAUAAUCAGUAUCAGCAUUAAGGAUUACCAAACUACAUACAACUGCAUUACCUAAAUUGAAGUAACCUACAAUUAAACAAUCUAAAAAGAAGAGUAUAGCAAAUUAUGGCAAGGAUACACAGUCUUGAAUGCUCCUUUCCCUAAUACCUCCUUGUACUGUUCAAAAAGAUAAAAACUUUAGCUAAUGCAGAGGACAAAUAAUCAAAUUAAACACAAAAAACAUUAAAGGAGUGCGGAGAAAAAAAUUCUUACACGAACGUAACGCCGAGUGGGAUCGACCUCGAUUACGUCAGGAUCGGGCGGCUCCGGCGCCGCCGCCGCAUCCUCCACCCCUUCCGACGCCACGCGAAUCAUCGCCGCCACGGCCGCAGAACUCUACGGAGCGGAUGAACACCAACUUCUCGUCGAAUUCUACACGAUGAAAGAGAAAAACCGAUCAGAAAACGCAGGAUCGAAGCCCUAACGUCGAUCUCAUCCAAUUGUGGAUCGAUCUAGGGGUCAAAUCUAAUCCAAGAAAGAGGAGAAACUGAGAAGAAAGGGAUCCAAAUCGCGAGAGAGAGAGAGAGGGAGAGGUAGAGGAAGAGGAAGAGGAGACGAACCAACGCUGCUACGAAACCCUAGAGUUCGAGAAGCGAUUCUCCGAGACGCAACAAACCGAGAGAGAAGGGAGGAGAAAAACGCGGGAAAGCAACCGAGUUUGCUGUUACGAGCUUAUCCUUUUAUCUCCAUUAGUAUUCAACAUGCAGGAAAAUGAAAAAAAGGAAACAAUUCGGAUUUGAUUAGGAAUAGUUUUAAUCCAAUGGAUAUAAAUAAGUGGUAAUGAAAAUUAAGAGUGGUGAUAUAAUCAGAGGAAGUAAUUAAGAUUUUGUCGAGUUUAUUUUUAAGAAACUUAGUUGGCAGUAUCAACUAAUAUCUAGUUAAUUAAUUUUUUAAUACGAUUAUUUAUUUGGUCUAAAUCUAAUUAUUAUUUAUACACUUUGAUGUUAUUAUUUUUAUUAGGGAUAACUUCAAAAACCUACCAUGUGGUUUCGCACUUUUUCACUUUAGUACUCUGUGGUUUAAAGUGUAUCAAUUUGCCUCCAUGUAGUUUCGUUUUUCUCUUUUUAUUAUCAAUUUUAUUAUUAUUUUUUCUUAAAUCAGUGACAAAGUUAAAAUUAAAGGACACUAAAGUAAAUAUUCGAUAAAUCUAGGUGGGUAUCUAAAGUUUUUUUGUAUAUAAUUUAAUGAAAUAUUAAGAAAAAAACUGCCGAAAAGAUAAAAACAAAACCACAAAGGGGCAAAUUAAUACAUUUCAAACCACAUGAUACUAAAGUGAGAAAGUGCGAAACCACAGGGAGAUUUUGAAGUUUUUCCUUUUUAUUAUGUCUAAUUUAAGUAUAAAAAUAAUAAAAAUAUCAAAUGCAAUAUCUUAAGUAUAAAAAUAAUAAAAAUAUCAAAUGCAAUAUCUUAUCUUGUGGACCGACUUACGUAUUUGAAUAGUCUUCAUUUUUUUGGGUUAUACAUCUCAACCUUUUCUCAUUUUAAUUUAAAUUAUUUCAUGUAGUUGAAUUGAGAUUACCUUAAUUGUGGAUUUCCUGACUAGUCUAGUAAUACAUAAUGGAUCUAUUUGCUUUCUAAUUUCAACAGAAUCUCCGUUUUAAUCGACCAAAAAGAACGUCAUUGUAGACCCAACAGAGGACUAAUUUGGAAGCUUUUUGUGCCCCACUUCUCAAGAGUAAGAACCAAAUUGAAUGCUUUUCCCAUGUUGUUAAUUAAGUAAUAAAGCAGUUUACCCCAUCUUCCUUAUUGUUGCCGCAGCAUGUAGUUCAUGUACAUCACCUGCAUUAUUGAAGAUGACUCCAACUUGGCGAGCCUAUUGGGCAAAUUGAUACAUUUUAAACUCAAUAAAAAGUAAUAUGCUUCAUAAACAGUAUCCUCUUCUCACAAAAAAACCCAAAAAAAAAAAAAAAAAAAAAAUUCCCACUUGAACCCUCUGAAAGAAUCAGCUUUGUAAGUAGAGAAGGUAAUAGCAUCAUCAGAGAAUGAAAUGAAUAAAAAUAAAAAAUAAAAAACUGGUAAGUGAGAAGGCGGCUUCAUCUGCAAUUACCUUAAAAUAAUGAGGGGUGUACAGCUAGAAAACACCUCUGUUCUACUCUUAUACUAUUUCCAUUUUUGACAAUUUUCAACACUCUACGAUUCAGCAGACAAGGGGAAACCAGAGAAGGUGAAAUUUAGGAAGGAAUCAAACAAGCAUGAAUAGAUAAUACAAAUAAGUAUCACCUAAACUCCCUACCAUCGGUUCCUUUUUUGGUGAUCAACUUGAAAUCCUAAGCUUUGAUUAAUACUGUGUGUGCAUAUACCUCAGGCCAUCGAUGAGGCCGUGCAGGACCCACGAGCAUUGUAUCUCUCGAAAACCUUUUUGCGGUUCUCAGACCACCACACUUCCGCUUGCUGCUCUUUAAAUCUUCUUCGACUGCAGGAUGGAAACAAACAUAUUCGAACUACUAAUUCUCGUACAUUGCAUGAAAUUAAAACCAAAAAAAAUCCACAAAAAUGAACAUAGAAUUGAAACCACGUAGGAAAUCAGAAUUUCCCAAUUACCUGAAACGAACCCUCUUAAUAUCCCGAGUUCCAUCAUGUAGGGCCGAGAGAGUAAUAUAUACGCCCGAUUCAUACUGUUCGAUCCACUCUGCCCCGACUUGAUUACUAGUUGAAAUUGAGCUUUGAGACUUGGAACCAUUUUCACCGUCUUUAGUGAACUUAGCUUCCCUGCAAACAUUGUCAUCUGCAGGACUGUCUAAUUUUAGCAUCUCUUUGUCACCAUUGGACUCACUACCCUUCAUUUGUUCGUCUACUCCAUUUUGAAUCAUUGUUUGGAUCGAUCUGUUCAUACUAGCGUGAUGAGUAUUAUAUGCCUCCAUGCUUGAUUUUCUCUCCUUACCUUCGACAACACCUUGAGGCGAUCUUUCUGCCAUAUCUUUAAGCUACAUCAGGGAAAAAGAGAAAAAAAAAAGGAAAAAGAAAAUUUAGAGACUCCAACUAUUAGAAGAUUAUGGCAUUGGUGAGCAAACAACAAGUACUAAAUAUUAUCAAACAAAUCGAGUGUUAUGAAUCAAGUUACUGAAACUCCUAACAAGAAAACCGACACCAUGAAAUAACUGAAUAUUACCUGUAUUGUUAGGGAUUUUAUAACUUCUUUCGCAGCAUUGGAUUUAGCAGAUUCCUCUGCAGCCACCACCAUAGCCUCUUGGGCUUUCUUUGCUGAUUUCUCCAACUCAAUUUCUUGAAGAUCACAACGGUGUCUCAAAAUAUCAACCUAACCAUAUACACUAGAUAGUCAGGUAAGCUAGUAUUGCUUAAAUUAUAGACCCAUCUGUCCUGGAUGAACCUUAGGUCCCAUUUGAUUCAUGGUUUGUAAUAUUCCUGUAAUCGUCCAUAUUUUUUUUCAAUUGAAAAUUAUUCAAAUAAUUACCAUUCAACUCAUGUUAGGUAAUUGUAAAAAGUGUUAGUUAAGUAGUGGAAUCAUUGUAGGUUCCUCGGUUGUAGAAAUACUAGAUUAUCAUGGGUUAGGAGGUAUUCUCAUUUCCAUACUUGAUGGGAAUCAUUAGUAUUCCAUAAAUAAGAAUAUACUAGCUCUUAACAAUCUCCUAACCCAAGUGACUUGAAAAUUUACUAAAAAAAGCUUGUCAUUCCAAAUAUAAUAUAUACAACAUUCUUGAAAUAUUACAAACCUUGAACCGAACAGCACCUUAUGUAAGUGCUGUUGGUGUUCAUUAUAACUGUUUAAGAGAAGCAUGAAGAGCGCUAUUACUAAAAUCUCAACAACAGCUUUUCCCAACAGCCAGAAGUAGAAGCUUUUAAGUCAGAGCACUUGAUUUUGGGCAUAGAAGUUCUUUUUAGCUUCCUGCCACAACUCAAGUUUGUUUCAUUCUCCUACUCCAGUAGAAAAGCAGCUGUAUAAACCAGGCCAAACAAGCACCAAGUCCCAGAAGCAUAUGGCAGAAUGCAAACCUGAGCUUGCAAUUUUUUGAUUUCUUGCUCCAGGAGCUCAUUUGCUUUUUUAAGAUUAUCAGCGGCACUUUUAUAGAAAGAAAGGUCUUCAUUCAAGGGAACUGGUGUUGCAGAACGCACAGGGCUAGGAUUUUGUGAGAAGGGCGAAACAGCUCUUGAAGAAUUUACAGAUUGACCAACCAGUGUCCAAACUGCUUUCGAAUCCGCAAUUUUUGAAUCAAUUCCACCUGCAAAAACUAUGUCUUUUAGUUGCAACACUGAACUAAUUUGAGGAACCAGGAUAAUAGUUCUCUUCCAACUUUUAGCUGCCUUCAUAUCCAAAUUCUUCAUCACAUAAUCUUUGUCAAGCCUCUCUUUGCUUGAGAUGUAAGGAGUAGCAUCUUUCUUGUUAUUGAAAGUUCCACCAAAGGCCACUACUUUAUUCAAUUUUACAUAACAAGAGUCACAAACACGAUAUGGUUUUCCAGGGUUAGGAGACAAAGCUGCUCUAAAAGACUUAUUGGAGGUGCAUGGAUGGCAGUAGACAAGUCCGCAGUUGUAGCAAUUAUGCCUCUUUCGAGUAAACCCAAAUGGCUGUCCACAUAAGCCGCACCGAGACUGCUCUGAACCUGAAACCCAUUUGUGUUGGCAAAUAGCAACAGUGAAGUUUGCACCACAAGCUAUAUAUCUAACAGAUCUAUCCCUCAAAGCCUCAACUUUUAUAGGUGUUUUCCUAUCUUCAAUAUCGCCAUGGCCCAACCUCCCAUUGGCUCCUCUUCCCCAUGUAAAAACUUCACUCUUAGUUGUCAAAACUGCAACAUGGUGUGAGCCACAAGCAAUUUCUGCAACAGCUUCCCCAAGAAGCUCAUCUUCGACUAAACAAGGGAGCUUCCCAUCAGAACAGGGGUCUCCAAGCUGCCCAUAAACAGCACUGCCCAUGGUAAAGACUUGUCCAUAAGUUGUCAACCCAAUAGUGAGAUUAUGCCCACAAGCUACCUUGUGAAAAUCGCAGUCAACUAUUGAAGCAACACAAGUAGGCUUAAACCGUGGCUCCCUGUCGCCAUGGCCGAGGCGGUACUUGUCUCCAUCUCCCCAAGUAAACAACUUUCCAGAUGAAAAAUUCACACCGGAAUUAGUACUUAUACCCUCUACAACGGCAGCAGUGUGCCAUACACCACAGGCAACGGAAAUCGUCUUCAAACCCAUAAAAUAUUCUACUUCUUUUGGAUACAAAAUACUUUCUUGGCUUCCAUGACCUAAAGCACCAAAAGUUCCAUCGCCAAAAGUGAAUAGUCGCCAAGUUGAAGUGAUCAAGGCUGUAUGCCAGGUGCCACAUGUAACAUAAGCAACAUGAAGCCCAUCAAGUGGUCCUGAAACUCUCUUGGGUAUCCAAUGGCUUAUAUUAGUACCAUGACCCAAUAGCCCUAGAUUGUGCGUUCCAUCUCCCCAAGUAUAAAGUUCACCAGUUAUGGUAACAGCACAAGUGUGGAAUUCUCCGCAAGCAACAAUCUCUACAUUACAGUCCGAUAACGAUUCAACCAGAUGAGGGUGAAUAACAUCACUUCUAACUCCCUGGCCAAGACAGCCGCCAAAUUCUUCACCCCAUGUAAAGACCUCUCCUUGUUUUGUAACAAGGGCAGCGUGAUGUACUCCACAGGCCACGUGGUGGACGUCUAGAAGUAAGUUUGAUUCCAAGGGCUUAGGUAAAAGGAAAUCUGCUCUACAACAGGUAGAACUGCUAAUUUUGUUAGAAAUAUUCCCAGUGGAACUAUUACAGAAAACCUCACCCCACACAUAUACAUCUCCUAGAGAUUCGCAGUCAUCUUGUAUAGAACCAUGACUGGAUGUGCUAGGAGCACUAGAAACACUCGCUCUCAAAAUAUCUGAUGACUCCCCUUUUAUGUGCAUAUUGUGUCACAUUGGGUCUUUCUAAAUAGUUAACAUUUUACUGCUCAUGUUUCGCUUGUUGUAAUGGAACUAACUGAGAGUACAAUGCUAACGGAGCUGUUGCUAAGAAUAUCGGAAAUUACAUGUCUUUUAUCCUGCAAGAGUAAUAUCGAGACAAUGUGAACCACAAAAUGCAACAAAGAAACAAACUGAAAAGAACUUAAAGAACAGAAAAAAAAAAAAAAAAAAAAGAAGUAAAUCCUGAAUAGCUAGUUAUAUUUCAUACUAUAUGGCUGAGCAAGUUAUAAAGAGGGUACAAUUAUAGUAGCUGAUCCAGUUGUUGAGCAACUUUGCUACAUACCUUCCUUACUAUCAUAGAAUCAAUAAACUCAAAUCCUACAAUCAUGUACGCUGGCAAACACAAUAACACAAGAUCUACAGUAAAUAGCUAAAAGAUCAUCACACCUUCCUUACCUGCACAAUUUCAACAGGACGAUAGCACCAUCAAUACCAUCAAGUUUAACAUCACCAACCACAAAAUUCUAUAACCGAAGUCGCCAAACCAACUAUUUUAGGUCCUCCAAAGCACAUUCUCAUCAGCAUCUAACUACAUUCCUAAGUUUUUCAAAAAAACUUCUACUCAAUACACAAGAUAACACAUAAUGGUACUCAAAAUUCACACUCACAACACAAAUUCAUACUCUGAAAAGCUAAACUACUCCAAGCAUCCACUCGUCGCUCCACAUUCACAUGGUAUCAUCUCAAACCAAUCAAAUUCACAACACAAAAAAUUCUAAAAAAAUAAAGGACAACGAAGUAGAACUCAAAGGGAAAGACUUACCCCGCCAUAGAUUUGAGAUCCUUCCUCUUAAUCUCAAUUAAAGCCCUAAUUAAUGUCGAAGGAACCCUAAGGGUCCACACGAACACUGCUCGAGGAACGACGAAGAGAGCUCAAACAGGGAGCUCAAGCACUCCGCGAGCUUUUUACAGUGGUAAAGCGCCGCAAUGCGGGACAGAGUGGAGCGGCUCCGCCGCCGCGCUUCCGCUGCGGCGCGUGGCGGUGACCGGAACGCAGCCGCGGUGGGCAGAACGCGCGGCGGCGUAACGGAGGCGGAGCACCGGAUUCGAGUCCGUUACUAGUAGUUAAGAGGGGGUCUCAAAGAGGAGUUGGACAAAUAGUGGGGUACGGUCACCGUGAGGUCAGAACACGCGUUCCGAUGAACCCCUAUUGGUAAUAUCGACCGUUGGAUCUCGUGAACUCCUACGACCUGUACGGUCAAAUUGAGUGACACGUGGGCUGAUCAGUUUUGGUGAAAUUGCUCUUGAUGAGCAGAAUAAAAAUUUUAAAUUACGAAAGUACCCUUCGAUGUGUUGGUGCUGACGUGGCUGCAGGCUCCGUACAUGUCCGGCGUAGUCCACUUGCGGACGAAAAACGUGGCAUUUUCAGCAAACCAAAUAAUUUUUUAAAAUUUAUUUAUUUUAUUAUAAUAAUUAUUUAUUUUAGAAUUUGGAUAAUUCGGUGAAAUUAUCGUGCGAAUGUGAACUCAGGCUCGACGAGAGAUCGAGGUCCAUCAUGUGCUGGUCAAUUUUUUUUAAAAAAAAUAACUUUAUUUUACUCGGGAUGUAGUGUAGCUCCAUAAUAGAUACCACGAUUAAUUUAAUUCGGAUCACGGGUGGUUAACAGCGUUGCGUACAGGUAGUAAUGAUCACACAUGUUGAAAAAAGUUUGCAAUGGGUGGUGUUACCUAGAUGUUAGAUUUGUAUCUAGCUAAGCUUGGCUCUCCAAGUAACUUAUUUUUGGUUAAAUUGCACAUUUGGUUCUUAAGUUACAGGAUACAUAACAUUUUGAUCUUAUAAUUUAAAUUUAUAAUGAUUUAUAGUUUAAACAUUUUAAACCAAAGCAAUAAAUCGAAUGGUGACGUAUCUACUACAACAGCGAUAUAAUAAUAAUAUUAUAGUUGAUGAUGCAAUAAUAAUUAAUAUGCAACAUCACUGAUGCAUCAUAAUACGGUUGAACUAUAAGACUUAUAAUAAUUUAAAUAUUUCGAGUCAUAAAUUACAUUUCAUUUUCCUCAAUUGGAUCGGAAUUUUUUUUUUUUGUAAGAAUUCAAAAUCCGAUGUGAAUGAGGUUUUCCAAGUUUGGACUCCCUUGUGAAUAAAAUGUUCUUCGUAGAUCGAACCAACAAUAUUAUCACAUGAACUGCAAAUUCAAUCAACAUAAUUUUUUGUUUCAAUUUCUUAACCGAUUUUACUUUACCCAACUUUAGCUUAGACUUUACUUUUAAAUCAAACAAAUAGAAAUAAUAGCGAUUAUUUGUAAUUAUACUUCUCAGUUAUUACUUACUAUUGGGAAUUUAGACAGUGUAUUAAUGGGCCGGAGCCUUAUUAUAAAUCUCAGAAACGGAAUCUUAGUUUGAUCUGCAACUGUUACUCUUUACGGCCCAGUUAGUGUUUCUUUUAGCUUAGACGUUACAGUUACAGCGAAAACCUAGAAUUAUAACUAUAAAAGAGGCCAAAUAUAAAACCAAGUCCAUGCUUUAAAAGUGAAUAUGAACCACCGACCGACCGACCGUUCCUAGGUGGUUGGUGCUCGAGACCCAAGUUCGAAUCCUAGUUGAUUCACAUUUCCAACCAAAUUUAUUUCUAAAUAAAAUAAAGCGCGUAACAGAUAGCAUGCUACCUAUCUCUCCAAAAAAAAAAAAAAAAGAGAGUGAACAUGAACCACAAGACAAAAGAAUAUAAACAUUUUCUCCAAGCAAUUUUUUUUUUUUCUUUUUUGCUAACUUAAGGAACAACUGUUAGAAUGAAAAGUAGGUGAAGAUUUUUGCACCAGCACAAUCAACUUCUUUUACGGGUUAAGAUAAGUAGUCUUUAGGUUAACACUUUAAUAACUCAUGCUAAUAUCCAAACAAGCUCUUAAUUGCGUGAUGCAUGAAAGAUUAUAUUAUAUAUAUAUAUAUUAUAUAUAUUAUAUAUAUUAUAUAUAUAUAUAUAUAGAGUCCGACUAUGGUACUUGUAAAAGUACCAAGCACUUUGUGCUUGUGAAUUUUUUACCGUUAGAUCUACGACUUUGAUCAUUUUUAUCCGUUAGAUUUAUCUAUUCAACCAACCACCCACUUAACCCAAGGGGCCCAUAUCAUCCUAACCGUACAUCUAUUAAUCCAAGGACUAAAAACUUACAAGCACCAAUGACUUGAUACUUUUAAAGCAUAGAGGAGCUCAAUUAUAUAUAAUAUAAUAUAUAUAUAUUAUAUAUAUAUAUAUAUAUAUAUAUAUAUAUUAUAAUAUAUAUAUAGAGUGGGGCUACUAUGCUAUCGAAGCACGAGCCUUCCGUGCUUUCAGCUCGUUUUCGAUGUUGCGACUUUCGAAUCGUCGAUCAGCUUCGUUAAACUUGAUCUAGAGUAUUCGGAGUACCUAGAAAACAAUUUUAUUAUUUUUCGAUAUAAUUUGCCUAGUGAUCGAAUGGGCUCAAAAUCAACAAAUUUCAAUGGUCGUAGUGAGCCGUUUGCAAGUUUAACAGUGUAGAAAUAUCCAAAUCACGUGAAAUUUUGAUACAAAAUUCUUCUAUACUAUAUAAAACAAGAUCAAUAUCUUUGAUUUAAAAUUUUAAUGUCAUAUUAUUACAUUUUGUAAGAUUUUUAUUUUCAGCCGUUGAUUUUGAGCCCCUUCGUUCACUAGGCAAAUGAUAUUGUAAAAUCAUAAAAUUUAUUUUCUAGAUACUUCAAAUACUCUAGAUCAAGUUUAACGGAGCUGAUCGACGAUUCGAAAGUCGCAACUUCGAAAUGAGCUGGAAGCACGGAAGGCUCCGUACUUCCCAUAGCAUAGUAGCCUCACCUCUCUCUCUCUCUCUCUCUAAUAUAUAUAUAUAUAUAUAUAUAUUAGUCGCAUCCGGCGCCUUGAAAACGAGAGAUAACAACGACCUUAAACCAGGAAACAUCAAGAUGGGGGCAUAUGAAAUGUAAAAUCUUUUCCUUAAACAAUUGACUUCAGCAUUUUCAACUUUAGUAUUUUAACACGUAUUCAGAAAAUGAUUGACCCAAACCGAUGCAGGAUCCGUCUCCAACCGCCGGCCCUCACACGUCUCCUAAUAGAUUUAUGUGUCGUAGGCAUGUAUGACUUGUCGUAUUUUCCUCUUUUUUAUAUUCCUUUUUUUUUAGGAUAUAUAUUUCAAAUGUCAAAAAAAUACAAAAACAGAUAUGAAUGAUGAUUGAAAAUAAAUUUUUUUUUAGAGAACAAUGGCAUGCUAUCUUUUCGUUUAUUUUCUUAAAAAAUAAAUUUAGCUAAAAAUAUGAAAUAAUUAAGCUUCAAAUUUUGGAGCAAUUGAAUAUUUUUUUUGAGAAAGAGAUAGCACGCUACCCGCUUCAUUUAUUUAAAGUAUGAACUAGGCUACAUAGGUGAGUCAACCUAGGCCUCGAGAGAGCGAAAAAAAAAAAAAGGAAAAAAAAAAAAGGAGAAAAGGGAAAAAAGGAAAAAAAAAAAAAGGAGGGGUAGUUGUUUCAUAAUACACUAGAAAAAGAGCAAUUGAAUGUUACUUCAUAAUACACUAGAAAAAGAGAAGGAGAGAAGAAAACAAAAUAAAUCGAUUAAUAUCCUUCUCCGAAGUUCAAACAAACAAUUUCUCAAUAAAAUACUCCUCCGGAGCUCUACAUAAAGCUCCAUGCUCACAGCAGUUUAUGAUUCUUCAAAGGGGUAGUUUGAGAUUCCCAAGAAAUUCAAUGCAUCAUGGUUUAUGAUUCUUAGAUUCAUACCAACCGGUUGAAGCUAGGGGUGGAAACGAGCCGAGCUCGAGCGAGCUUAUGUCAGCUCAAAUUCGCUGCUUAAAAUUAAUUUUGAGCCUAAAUCUAGGCUCAAGCUCGGCUUGAAAUUAAUUCGAGCCGAGUUCGAGCGAGCCUAAUUUCGAGUCGAGCGAGCUCGAGCUCUAAACGAGCGAUUGAAAUUCUCGACAUUAUAUAAUCAAUAUGUUUAAUUUUUAUAGAACAUUACCUAUAAUUUGAUGCAACAUGUUCAAUAGUUCAAAUACAAAAUAUUAUAAGAAAUGUGAGCUAGGGUGACUGUCUGACUGGGUGAGGGUCAGAGAGAGAGAGAGAGAGAGAGAGAGGAGGGGAAAAAAAUUAGGGAUUUGAAAAUUUGAAUGUUAUCAUGUUUUUAGGUUAUGUGCAACAGUGAAAGUCUGAAAAAAGAGUGUGUUAUGUAAUUUAGAGUUGGACUCAAUUGCACAGUUGUACUUGUUGGAUUUAUUUUAUAGCAACAAUAAUGGCCCAAAUUAAUUAAAGCCUAUACAUAAUUAAUUAUAUAUAUAUAUAAUUAUAUAUAUAUAUAUAAUAUAUAUAUAUAUAUAUAUAGAGCUAGGCUGGUAUACUAUCGGUAGCACGGAGGUCUCCGUGCUACCAAGUUGUUUUCAAUUAUGCGGCUUUUAAUCGACAUCAGCUCCGUUAGACUUGAUCUAUACUAUUAAAAGUAUUUGGAAACUAAAUUUCAUAUAUUUUCGACAUCAUUUGGCUAGUGAUCAAAAGGUUCCAAAAUUAACAAUUUAAUGGUAGAUAUGAUGCGUUUUUAAGUUUAACGGAUGUAGAAGUAUCCAAAUUAGAUGAAAAUUAAUUAAAAAUUCUACUUAACAUCAAUAGCAAGACCAAUACUUCGAUUUGAAAUUUGAAUUCUUUGUCACUGUUUUUUAUGAGAUUUUCAUUUUCAGCCGUUCAUUUUUAGACUACUCGUUUGAUUGGUAAAUGACGCCGAAAAUUAUGAAAUUUAGUUUCAAGUACUUUCAAUAGUGUAGAUCAAGUCUAACGGAGCGAUCGUCGAUUUUGAAGCCGCAUCAUGAAAACAACUUGGUAGCACGGAGGCCUCCGUGCUACCGAUAGUAUACCAGCUCUAUAUAUAUAUAUAUAUAUAUAUUAUAUAUAUUAUAUAUAUAUUAUAUAUAUAUAUAUAUAUAUAUAUUUCGAGCUUUCGAGCUUUUCGAGCCUAAUUCGAACGAGCCGAGUAAUACUCAAGCUCGGCUUGAAAUGAAUUUCGAGCCUUUUAUUUUGUUCAAGCUCGGCUCAUUUAAUUUCGAGUCGAGCUCGAGCGAGCCGAAUAUCGAGCUGAACACGAGUCGAACGCGAGCCGGCUCGCUCGUUUGCCAGCCCUAGUUGAAGCAGUCAAAAUAUUGCAUGAGUGGAAAUCAAGCAUUCCAAACAAAUAAAUAAAUAAAUAAAUAAUGGAACAAAUAAAUUUAAGCUGCACAAGACAAUGGAAAAUUGGGCAGGGGGGUGGGUGAGUCCAACUUUAUUUUUAAAAAAUUAGCAUUUAGAUUUGGGUUGCUGCUUUAACCUCCUGCUUUCUCCACUGUAGAAUGCUUCCAAUUACAUUUAACCAGCUAUUAAUUAUUAUUUUUCUUGUUCGUGUUCACAUCUAACCAUGUUGUACUCUUUUAUUUUCCUCCCACAUUAUCGUUCUUUCCGUAUCAUUGAGAAAGAUCUUUCAUCUCCUUCAUUUAUGGAUGUGCUUUUCAGAUGCCUCACACGCCAAAAUUGUUACAGCUGUUGCACAGAAUUAUAGAUGUAAUCUAGCGUUGACCAUUAAAAGUAGAAUAAACUUAAGCAAACUAGUUUUCACCAACAUAAACUCUAAUGGGCAUUUACUGGACAGAGAUGAGAAAAAUUCAACAAAGAUGGAUCAGAGUUUUAGUGUUGAAGAAUAGAAAUAUCCACCUAAAGAAUUAGGUGAAGAUCAUGUAUACAACGUCGGGGUUUCCUAGAGACAGAUGUCCUGACCUCUUUGCGCCUUUUUUCUUCCUGUGAAUUUUGUCGCUUUUUGAGAAUCCCCUUAUUCCGGUACUGUAAUCUAAUUCAUUUGUGUAAUAAACGAAGCAGAUCGCACACCACCUUUUUUUCCCCCUAAAAAAUAAAAAAUAAUCAUGUAUACAAUGUCAAACAAACAGACACUUUUAGUUCACAGCUAGCACAAACACGGAAGCAAUGAACAAUUUAAGUAUUUAGCUCAAAAUUGUUUCAAAGAAAAGUUAAAAAGAAGUAUAAUGAACUCAAACCAAUUAGUGAACCACAAUCCAGCCUAUUAAAAUGGACCCGGAAUUCGAACAAAAUGGCCGAGAUUAAGAUUCGAAACCGGGCCAUGUUUCUUGAUUGUGAGUUAGUUCGCGACCCAGUUCUAUUUGAUCUGAUCAGAAACACAAAAAACAAAAAGAUCUUAGACUUGAAUGACUUAGGAAUAGGUCAUGCUAAAGCUGGGCCUAAGCAUAAUGCCGUGGGAAUCUCUCUCGCUUCUCUCUACCUGUCUCAAUCCACUGAUCAGGAAUUCCACAUUGGUCCUUUUAAACAAAUAAUGAGGUCCCCGUCAUUGCUAGUUGCUAUCCGACCUUUUAAAGAUCAAGCAAGUUUUCACAUGAUCCAACAAUGUGGCCAUUACUGUUUAUGACCUUCUCCCCCUCAUCUCUUACAUCUAAGAAAGCCAUGGCCUUCAUUGUUCUCUCCAUAUUACUACUCUUAACCUUAGUGAGUGCUCAAAACAAACAGAUCAAUAUAACCUUAGGCUCCUCCAUCACGGCCGCCGACGGGGCCGGUUGGCUCUCGCCAUCCGGCCGAUUUGCCUUCGGAUUUUACCCCAAAGGCCUGACAGGCUUUGCCAUUGGAGUUUGGCUCGCAACGUCCCCCAACAGGACUAUUGUAUGGACGGCCAGCCGUGAUGAUCCUCCCCUCACCGACGGAUCCAUCACCUUAACUUUCGAUGGACGGCUCCUCUGGGGCGCCUCUGGUGGCCAAGAGAAGGCCAUAUCCCAAGCCUCCGAGCCGGUCACCACGGCUUCGAUGCUCGACAACGGCAACUUUGUUCUUUACGGUACGAAUCAACAAGUCAUUUGGUCUACCUUCAGUUCUCCGACAGAUACACUCUUACCAGGACAGAGCUUAGUAUCUGGAUCAGAGCUAUACUCUAGUGUCUCCGAAACCGAUCGGUCGACCGGAAACUACCGACUCAAUAACCAAAAUGAUGGCAAUGUUGUGUCGUACCCCGCGGGCACGCUCGAUGAUGCUAACAAUGCAUACUGGGAUACCGGUACUUUCCAAAUUGGUUUCCCCAUUACCCUUGCUCUAAACAGCAAUGGCGUCCUAUACAUAACGGGAAAUAACGGUAAUUACAGUAAGAAUUUGGCACAGGCUACGACGUCCAGUGGAGUCGAUGUUUAUUACCGGGCGAUCAUCGAUGUAGAUGGGAUUCUUCGGCUUUACUCGCACACCUUUGGAACAAAUAACGCCUCUACUACAAAGGUUGAAUGGGCAGCGCUAAAUGAUCGAUGCUUAGUCCGGGGCGUUUGUGGGCUUAAUAGUUAUUGUGAUCUCGGCCCUGAUGGCGAACCCAAUUGUCUUUGUCCACCGGGCUUCGAAUUUAUCAACUCUAAUCAAAUUUCCCUUGGUUGCACGAGUAACUCCACCAGCGUUGGAGACUGCUCAAUGAUAAGCUCAAACGGAGGUGAAGCCGGAUUAGUGAUGGCUACCAUGAAUAACAUAACAUGGGCGGACAUUCCAUUCUUCAUUUUGCCAUCAACAACAAGCUUCGAUGACUGCAGAGCCGCAUGCUUGGACGACUGUUUCUGUGAGGCAGCACUGUUUCGGGGAGAUGAAUGUUCGAAACAAGUGCUUCCGUUGAAGUACGGACGGGUGGGGAGCAAUGAUACGCUAUUCAUCAAGGUAGGAACAAUGAAUACCAACAAUCGAAGUACAACUAACGAUAAGAAGAGACAGUUCAGUUCGAGAGCUCUGAUUACAACAGCAGUUUUAGCUACCUUCCUGGCGGUUGUGCUCACCAUCUGCGGAUUUCUUAUCUAUAGAAAUCAAAGGGUCAGGAGGUAUAGAAGGCCAUUGGAGUAUGACAACACCAGUUUUGAUGAGGAGACUCCAUUGAGAUCAUUUUCUUUCGAAGAGCUAGAUACAGCAACAGAUGGCUUUAGGGAAAUGCUAGGAAAGGGAGCCUUUGGGAGUGUGUUCAAAGGGGCAUUGGCAAAGGGAGAGAAGGUUAUUGCAGUGAAGAGACUAGAAAAGAUGGUAGAAGACGGGGAGAGGGAGUUCCAAAGAGAGGUGAGAGCAAUAGGGAGGACACACCAUAGAAACCUAGUGCGUUUGCUCGGCUUUUGCAACGAAGGCUCUAACAGGUUGUUGGUUUAUGAGUUCAUGAGCAACGGCUCACUCGCGAAUCUUCUCUUCAGGUCAGAGAACUGCCCAGCUUGGAAGGAAAGAGUUAAGAUCGCAUUGGAUGUGGCCAAAGGGCUUCAAUAUCUUCAUGAAGAGCUCGAGAGUCAUAUAAUUCAUUGUGAUAUAAAGCCUCAAAAUAUUCUCAUGGAUAGCUCGGGGACUGCAAAGAUAGCAGAUUUCGGGCUCGCAAAGUUGCUGAUGCCAAAUCAAACAAGAACCUUCACCGGGAUUAGGGGCACAAGGGGGUACCUCGCACCAGAAUGGUACAAAAAUGCGCCGAUAACUGUAAAGGCCGAUGUGUAUAGCUACGGAAUCGUGUUGUUAGAGAUUAUAUGCUGUAGGAGGAGUAUGGAAAUGGAAGAGACAGGGGAAGAACAUAGUUUGCCAGAGUGGAUGUAUGAAUGCAUGACGGCCGGCGAAUUAAGAAACGUAAUCAACGAUGAAGUCGUCGACAUCGCUGAGUUGGAGAGGACGGUGAAGGUGGGGCUCUGGUGCGUUCAGAACGAACCCGUCUUCCGGCCUUUGAUGAGGAAUGUGAUAUCGAUGCUAGAAGGUAAUAUGGAAACUUCAAUUCCUCCAGCUCCAGCUUCUUUUUCAUGAUGUCAGAGCGAGCCGUAGUCAUGUAGAGUAGCAAAAUUGUGUGAAAAAGAAUGAAAACUUCGGUAAAUAUAUACUUUUUAAAUACUUAUUUUCACGCGCUUGCAGCAAACAUAUAUACUGUUGAUUUAGGAUGUAAUUUUAGUAACGCUACUCUAAGAUAUUAAGGUUUAAGCUUCCUUGAUAAAUUCCACUUUCUUUUCUUUAUUAGAUCCCAUAUACUUGAGCAAAAUAUAUACUUCUUUUCCUUACUUUACAUCAUUUUAUAUAAACAAGUUUGGUGUAGUAAAUUCAAGCAGUCUCGAUAUGAUAAUGUCAAUUACAAAUUCCAGGUUUUUUUUUUUUUUGUUCCGAGCUAACAAAAACAGUAAAAGGCCACUUCAGAAUGCCAACUAAGAAUAUAAUUGGGGAUUAUAUGCAGUAAAUUAGCAAAAGUCGUCAGAAUAAAAACUUAUCCAACCACACAAAUCGAUAUUAAUUCCGUGGAUUCUAAAGAGAUACGGUGAUUACCUCACGCGUCGUAAGAACAAAACCGAACGAAAGGAAAAUGGGAGGAGAUUAGGGUUGGGAAAAGGAGUUUGGAAUUGGGGAGAGUCGUGGGAUGAGGGAACGAAGGGCCCCGAUGUCGUCUUCCCUAAAUCCAACGGACAGCUCCUAAACCGUACUAUUUGUGUCUCCUGCCUAAUACGAAGUCGGCGGAGCGCGAACGUUCAACCGCCGACUAAUUAAUGCUGCAGUUCUUUUUUUUUUUAACUUUUCCGCUACAAUUGAGGCUUUACAAAGCCAGGCCAAGCCCAAUUGGGGUGUUAAUCGGCCCAGCACACUAAAGGCCCAAUACCAGCCCUGGGCCGUGCACAAAGCUGUGGGCCCGUCCUGAUCCGGAGUCAGUAAGUACGUGGCAUAGUACCUGCAAAAAAAAAUUGCGGGUAGCCCGCAUACCCACCCGCCCACCCACGGGCCGGUAUGGGUAAAGAUUCCGCAUACCCACUCGCCCAUCCGUCGGUGGAUAUGAAUAAAAUUAUUGGCUAUUCAAAAUUUUAUAGAUAAAUUUUAUUCAUGCCUAAAUAAUCCGCGGAUAUAACGAUCCGUCCGCGGGUUAUCCACUUCGCCUGUUUAUCAUGUCUAUAUAUAUUAUGUAGAGGAUGUACACGCACUAUGCCACGUACUAUAACUAGGUAACAUCAAUAUCAUUAGGAUAAUGCCAUGCUCUCUUUUACAUAAACAAAUAAUCUCGCGCGGAACAGAUAGAGAAGCAUGCUUUUCGCUCCUAAAUUUUAGUUGCCAAGUAUAGAGGUGACUUAAUGAUGCUGUAACAUCUUAAUUUUGCUGUCUCGGACACAAUACUCUAAUUUUUUUUAAGAAAAACAACGCAACUGAGAAUGAUACGGAAGAUAAAUUUAUUGAAUAUACUAAAGAUUCAAUAAAUAUGAUUUGUCGUUUUUUAAUUACUAGUGUCUCUGUCCAUAGAAAAAUAGUAACGAAAAUAUACGAACCACCACCUUAUCUUAUCGCCCACUCUACAAAUAUAUAUAAAUCACCUCCCCCGCCACCUCUUUACCACAUGAUCAAGACACUACCUCCACUCCAUUAAUUCUCCUACAUUUCCCCAUCACAUCCUCCCCCUUACAAGUCACCACCACCAACCUACUACGAGAAUAACUCACCACCCCCUCCUAAUCUCCUAUCUAUCACUAGUAAGCUUCACCUCCUUAGGCAAAUGUUCAAGUAACAAUCCUUUUGCUUUUGUUAAUCUUCCUAGUAGGUUAGUAACUGGCGCUUUACUCUCUCUCCAGGAUUUGAAGAUACUCUUCAAUGUGGCUCUUCAUGAUGCAAGAGCUUGAUAGCAGAGUGCAGAGACAUAGAGAUCGUCAAUUACGGUUGGUAGAUAUUAACUAUCCGAGUGAGGAAAAAAAGAAAACAAGAAAAAAGGUUAUUAUUUUUUUAAAAAAAGAAAGAUAGCACGCUACCCAUUUCAUUCAUUUAGCAUAUAAAUGCAGCUACAGGGGUUGAGGCAACACGGCCUCGGAAAACAUUAAAAGCAACCAAAAUAAAAAAUACAAAUAAAAACUAAAAUAUAAAACUAUAAAAAAUUGAUACUUGUACUCCUCACUCAAACCCAAGGCACUAAGAAUUGCAAAACUCAGUACAUUUCUCUACUCACGUCCCGUAUUCGUCUAAUAGUCAAAAAAAAGAAUCAAAUGAUUGGCUCUUAAAAAUAAUAUUAUUUUUUUUUCCGCCAGAUCGUUCACCAAUAGAUUACGUCCCUUGCUAAAUCCCUCGCAGCUGCCUCUUGGCGGUGGUUUUCAUCCAGAAGCUCUCAAACAUUCCUGACCUCCAUCUCAAUUUUGGAAUGUGCCUAUUUUUUAGGAUGUUGUACAUAAAAAAUCUACUGAUUACGUAUCUAACCGACAGAUGAUCAACAGUUUUUAAAUCGUUGCCACACAUUACGUACUGUUGAUUCCUUAGCGCAAGUGGCAAAGUGCUUGGUGGUUGGUACUCGAGAUAUCAAAUUCGAAUCCUAAUUGAUUCACAUUUUCAGCUAAGUUUAUUUAUAAAUGAAAUAAACGAAACGAAUAGCAUACUACCUAUCUCUCUCUCAAAAAANGGCGCUUUACUCUCUCUCCAGGAUUUGAAGAUACUCUUCAAUGUGGCUCUUCAUGAUGCAAGAGCUUGAUAGCAGAGUGCAGAGACAUAGAGAUCGUAAAUAAAGGUUGGUAGAUAUUAACUAUUUGAGUGAGGAAAAAAAGAAAACAAGAAAAAAGAUUAUUAUUUUGUUUAAAAAAAAAAGAUAACACGCUACCUAUUUCAUUCAUUUAGCAUAUGAAUUUAACCACAGGGGUUGAGGCAGCACGGCCUCGGAAAACAUUAAAGACAACCAAAAUAAAAAAUACAAAUAAAAACUAAAAUAUAAAACUAUAAAAAAUUGAUACUUGUACUCCUCACUCAAAUAUAAGGCACUCAGAAUUGCAAAACUCAGUACAUUUCCCUACUCACGUCCCGUAUUCGCCUAAUAGUUAAAAAAAGAAUCAAAUGAUUGGUUCCUAAAAAUAAUAUUAUUUUUUUUCCGCCAGAUCAUUCACCAAUAGGUUACGUCCCUUACUAAAUCCCUCGCAGCUGCCUCUUGGCGGCGGUUUCCAUCUAGAAGCUCUCAAACAUUCCUGACCUCCAUCUCAGGUUUUGGAAUGUGCCUACUUUCUAGGAUGUUGUACAUAAAAAAUUUACUGAUUACGUAUCCAACCGACAGAUGAUCAACAGUUUUUAAAUCGUUGCCGCACAUUACUUACUAUUGAUUCCUUAACGCGAGUGGCAAAGUGCUUGGAGGUUGAUACCCGAGAUAUCAAAUUCGAGUCCUAAUUGAUUCACAUUUUCAGCUAAAUUUAUUUUUAAAUGAAAUAAAUGAAACGAAUAGCAUACUAUCUAUCUCUCUCUAAAAUAAAAAAAAAAUUAUGUUUCAUGUACUUCUCUCGAGAAAAGAUCUAUACUUCUUCAUCCUGCCAGAAGGCCUAAGAAAUAACACAUUAAUCAUUGUUAUAUGACAGUAACAGGUUUUGGCAAAAUUCUCUUCCUCACUCUUUGUGUUUUCUAGCUCUAAUUCCACAUUUCCGGGAUUGCGCUUAUGGGCCAAAUCACAAACUAGAAAAGAGUGAGUAGCCCACAAUGACAGAAUCAUAAGAAUCCACCAGAGUACAGUACUGUAUAGUACUGUGUUACUUUAAUAAAUUUAUAAUUACGAGAAUUGUAUAAAGUAUAUUAACUAAGCUUAUAAAAAUAAACAAUGUAUUCAAUUUUAAAAGUAAAAAUAUCGUUAAUUGAUUCAAAUCAAACAACUUGAAAAAUAAAAUAUGCAUAGUAAAUCACAAAUUAGAAAAGAGUAAGUAGUCAAAUUAAAAUGAUUUAUAGUUCAAGUAAGUUCAAUACAUUUUUAUUAAAAAAAAAAUCAAAAAAGCCCAAGUGCACGCUGGUUUGUCAUCUUACUAAUAACCCGGUCUGAAUUUGUAUUGGCCUAAUAGUUUUUGGGCCAACUAACACCUCUUAACCAAGCAAUCAAGUACAUUGCAGUUAAAACUAGGGUUUUUUUAUAGAAAUUUACUCAAACAACACUUCUAUGAAAUCUUCGGCUAGAUCAAGAGCCAUGGCGACAAGCAUUGUAGCGCUGUGCAGGAUUCAUACUGCCCAAUUUGCCAUGCGAUAUCGCACUCUGCCGGUUCGGCACAAUCCAUAUUACAUUGCUACCUAGACUAAAGUUAUGAUCCAAAAAAAUUGCACCUUUUGUCUCAAAAGAGGUCGCAAUGCACCUACCCAAUUUUGAUCAAGUCGUAACAAAGUCAUUAUGGGGAAAAAAUUGGUCCACUUACUUUGGCAUUUGUCAUGACCUGUCUUUCUCCUUGUCUUUUUACGAUCCUUCAAAUUCUUCUUCACCUUCUUUCCAGUCUUAUUUUAGAGACUCAAUUAAAAAAAAAGGGAAAGAAAAAGAAUAAAAGAAAAACUCGUGGGUUUCCUGGAAACUGUUGAAUAAAGAGGUGCUCCCCUUUCACACAUAUCAAGCUAAAGAGUAAGCACUAAAAGGACAUGAUCAAUAUUAUAAUAGGCUAUGGACCUUGAACAAGACAAAAAAAUGAGUUACCCUAGAGUCAACACUUGAGCUCAGUAGUCAACAAUUGAAGCACCAAGUUAGGUCAAAUAGGUUGUCUUUUACCAUCUAUUGUUUCUACUAAAAAUAAAGUAUUAUUUCACAGCCUAAUUACUAACAACUUAUUUAAUUCACUUUCUAGCUCGUUUAUGAUUGGGUUAGGUAUUACUAGCCUUAAAUUGCCAUUUAGAUAGACCCUUAGGAAGUAGAUCAUGGUUAAAGUUUUUUAAUCCUUUUUUUAUAAUCUUUCUAUUCCGCUAUUGGAGUUUGAUAAUGCCCAACAUCAUGUCAUGCACAGCUUAAAUUCACCAACUAUUCUGUCCCAAGAUUCGCGCAUUAUAUUUUAAUUCAAGCCUGUAUUCUGUGAUUCAUCCUGAGCAAAUCCUAAGGCGCGAUAAAAGGAGCAAAUUUAGUUGAGACCGUCUCAAUCAAAUUUUCAUAUAUAGAAAGGACUCUAGAAUGCAAUCCAAAAAAAAAAAAAGAAAAAUCUAAUUAUUUCACUCUAUGAUUUCCUUCUUCUCCUGAACUUUUUUUUUUCUUUUUUUUUUUUUGAGAGAUAAAUAACACGCUAUCCGAUUCGUUUAUUUUAUUUAAAAAUAAACUUAGCUGGAAAUAUAAAUCUACUCCUAAACUUUCGCAAUAAGUGUGGAAAGGACUAUGGCCCCUUGACUUAUAUGUGCACAAAUUUUUCACAUAAAUUAAACUCUUUCAUGUAUGAUUGGGCGGAGUUAAUAUUAUAUUUGGGCUCCGGGGGACAUGGGUCUGAUCGGUCACGAGCCUACGAAAGCAAAACAACCAUAGAAACUGAGAGGAGUGAAUUAAAAAAGGGGAAUAAACCCAAAUUAACAUUAAUGCGUUUUUCCUAAAAAAAAAAAACAAAUAAAAAUCGGGUAAUCAGCAUUAUGUCCUACCACUGGAGAAAUUAUUUCUUAAUUUAUUAUCCUAAUUAUCCUAAUUAUACAUACAUAUAUAUAUAUAUAGAGAGAGAGAGAGAGAGAGAGAGAUGAGCUAGGAUGCUAUCAUUAACAAAUAAAUUCCGUUGCCACUUAUUUGUUUUCGAUAGUGGAGUUUUCAAAUCGAUGAUCGGCAUUAUUGAGCAUGAUCUAUAUCACUUGAAGUAUCUAGAAUCAAAUUUUAAAUCUUUUCAACAUUAUUGACCUAAUGAUCAAAGAGUUUAAAAAUUUGUAAUUUUAAUGAUCGAUAUUUAGCAUUUUCUUAUUUAACAGUGCAAAAAUAUCCCAAUCAAUUGAAUUUUGGUUAGAAAAUUUUUUAAAUUAUUUACAACAAGAUCUAUAUUCUCGAUCUUGAUUACAAGAUUUCUAUCAUCACUUUUAAAACGAUAUUCAUUUUCAACCGUUCAUUUUGUGUCCACUUGAUAGACAAAAGAACAAUAUCGAAAAAGUAUGAAAUUUCGUUUCUAAAUGCUUCCAGUCAUAUAAAUCAUGUUCAAUGGCGUCAAUCGUCGAUUUAGAGGAUUCAUCAUCGAAAAAAAAUGAAUGGCAACGGAGCCCAUUUGCUACCAAUAGCAUUCUAGCUCAACUCUCUCUCUCUCUCUUUCUCUUUCUCUCUCUAGAAUGUCAUGAUAUUAUAUAAUGAACUUUAAUUAGACUUUAUUUGAAUGCCAAACUAAAUUAUUCAUUUAUAUAUAUCUUACUCAUCGUAAUUUUUUUAUUAUGAAAAAAAAUUAGGACUAUGAUCAAAUGUGUAAAUAGAAUUGCAUAUUCGGCAUUUAAGUUAUUUUUUCAAAAUACAGUAAAUCAGUUCGUAGGUUUUAGGUUGUAGUCUAACUUAUUUUGCAUAUCAAAAUGGAAGGAGCUUUCUUUAUUAUUCCUACUUUCGACCCAUAAAAAGUUUUCUCAUGAAGAAGAGAAAGUCCAUAAACACCACUCCCAUGAUUGAGCAUUAGGUCCAAAUCCACUGAUGAGAACAUAGGUCUAUAAACAAAAAAAAGCAAAAUAAAAAAAUGGGAAAUUUUGAAUUCAUCUACAAUUAUUUGUCCUAUGCAUAUUAAUAUGGCCUUGACCCCAACAACCCAUCAUUUACACAGUAGAUGGAUGGUAAUCAAGCAUGGAAGCAAUCUAUUACAUUAUAUGAGUAAUUAAAGGAUUAAUUUGGUAAUUUCAUUUUUAAGCUUUUUUGCUUUAUAAAUUAUAUUGUAUGUUCUCAAGCAACUAUGAUUAUAUGAUUUUCUCUGUACUGGUAAGUAAUUCAGUUUACAAGAAAUAAAAAAAAUAAUAAUAAUUUCAACAUAGCAAGCACGUCCUAUGCAGAACCAUUGACAAACGCUGCUCUGAAGUUCAUGUAAACAGAUUAUCUUGAAUAGGAAUUUGUCACUUGUGGAUGCGUAUAGUAGUAAUAUUAUUAACAUGGACAAAUUUUUUAAAAAGAAAAACCCAAAGGACUCUACGAAUGUGUUACACACCAUGCGCACCGAACUUAAAACCUGCCGGUCUCGGUCCACUGCAACAAUGUCCGCGUUCUCUGACAUCUCUGACGGGCACUUUUCAUUCGUCCAAUCUAAAAUGUGAAAAUAGUACAAAAUAAUUAGUAAUAUUAAUAUGAUAAAUGCAUGCACAGGCUCAGUAAUUUGCUCCAUUUUCCACGCCGAAGACCAGGAAAGGCCCGGAACACUGAAACUCUCCCCUAUAUAAAGGGUCCGGAGACUCGUAGUGGUACUGCAACAAUCAACAUAUCCAACAGCAUCAUUCCAAUUAACCUGAUGGAAAGAAAAAUGCCUCCCACCAAGCGCCUCGUUACCUUCUACAUUGCUCUCAUCAUCUCUUUAGUCCUCGCUUCCGACUGCUGUAAUGCCGCCUUGCCUUACUACUCCCCACGUCCGAAUCCAUCUCCGACAGUACCCCUAGCACCAGCUCACCCUCCUCUCAGCCCUCACCACCGCCGCCACCGCCACCACCACCACCACCAACAUUACCCCCACGAACACUACGCACCGCCUCCACACGGCCUACCGCAUUACCCUCCGGCUCCGCCGACCCUUUUACCGCCUGUCGUAUCCCCACUACCGUCUCCGUAUCCUCCGCCGCACCGCCACCAACAUCCUUACCCUCCGCAGACGCCUCCGCAUGGCUUGCCGCAUUACCCUCCACCUACCUACAAAUCCUCUCCUCCCCCAUCCCACGUCUCCUACUCCAACUCUCCGCCUCCACCGACACCGGUUUACGCAAUUCCGCCUCCGCAUGGCCUGCCGCAUUACCCUCCACCUACCUACAAAUCCUCUCCUCCCCCAUCCCACGUCUCCUACUCCAACUCUCCGCCUCCACCGACACCGGUUUACGCAAUUCCGCCUCCGCAUGGCCUGCCGCAUUACCCUCCACCUACCUACAAAUCCUCUCCUCCCCCAUCCCACGUCUCCUACUCCAACUCUCCGCCUCCACCGACACCGGUUUACGCAAUUCCGCCUCCGCAUGGCCUGCCGCAUUACCCUCCACCUACCUACAAAUCCUCUCCUCCCCCAUCCCACGUCUCCUACUCCAACUCUCCGCCUCCACCGACACCGGUUUACGCAAUUCCGCCUCCGCAUGGCCUGCCGCAUUACCCUCCACCUACCUACAAAUCCUCUCCUCCCCCAUCCCACGUCUCCUACUCCAACUCUCCGCCUCCACCGACACCGGUUUACGCAAUUCCGCCUCCGCAUGGCCUGCCGCAUUACCCUCCACCUACCUACAAAUCCUCUCCUCCCCCAUCCCACGUCUCCUACUCCAACUCUCCGCCUCCACCGACACCGGUUUACGCAAUUCCGCCUCCGCAUGGCCUGCCGCAUUACCCUCCUCCUACCUACAAAUCCUCUCCUCCCCCAACCCACGUCUCCUACUCCAAUUCUCCGCCUCCACUGACACCGGUUCACGCAAUUCCGCCUCCACAUGGCCUGCCGCAUUACCCUCCUCCUACCUACAAAACCUCUCCUCCCCCAUCCCAUGUCUCCUACUCCAACUCUCCGCCUCCACAGACACCGGUUUACGCAAUUCCUCCUCCGCAUGGCUUGCCGCAUUACCCUCCACCUACCUACAAAUCCUCUCCUCCCCCAUCCCACUCCAACUCUCCACCAAUACCGACACCGGUUUAUGCAAUUCCACCUCCGCAUGGCCUGCCGCAUUACCCUCCUCCUACCUACAAAUCCUCUCCUCCCCCAUCCCACGUCCCCUACUCCAAUUCUCCGCCUUCACCGACACCGGUUUACGCAAUUCCGCCUUCGUCGCACCCGCAUCACAAACCAUUGCCGCCGUACCACACCAUUCCCGAGCACGCGCCGCCACCGCAGCAGCAUCACUACGGGGUACCACCGCCGCCCUACAACUAAGACCGGAAUAGAGGAAGAGCAUCAGAAAGAACAAGUUGAUUAUCUAGAAUUGUAUAACGUGUUCUUGGCUAUAUUUCGUGAAGAGUAGUGUGUGGUUCAGUACGUACGUAGUAUCCCAGAAUACGGAAUAAGAGAGGAAUGUUAAUUCGCAUUACCGAUCAGGCAUAUAAGUCCUAGAUUUGGUUUAGCCACGGUGUCUUUGUCGCGAUUGUAUCGUAAUCACUUUCUAAUGCAGCGUUUGUUUUAUAUUAUUUAAUGCUCUGCCUCAGUUUCUUUCAUUUUUUUUUUUUUCCCUGGGUUCAAUUUGUUUUGGUUUGACCGAGCCGGUAAUGAGCCUGGACCAGUGAACAUAUAAUAAAUGUAGGCCCCUUCCCGGAGCUAACGCCGUAAUCCCCAAUGUUGGACACACCAUUACUAAAAUAGAUGCAUUAAUCAUCGAGUUUAUACAAACAUUACUUCUUCAGAGAGAGCAAAAAAAAAAAAGGAAUUGGAAUUUACACUUUACAGUAGAGAAUCAAAGGGGAAUACAUUGACUAAUUUCUAGUACAAAAGCUUAGAUACAAAGUUCGGAAGCAAAGCGACCCGAUAUAUAUGAAUUACUGCUUCUAACUCAAAUCAUGCAAUUGCUCCUGCAUCCGGGGCGUUCGAUGCGAGAAAAGAACGGUGAGGAUUAAUUCGAACCCAAACCCUAGGCAUCAUGCAGGGACCCAAACUGACACUGUGGUCAGAGGCCUCGAUUUCCAGCACAAAGCCAACCUACCCAUCUCAUGCUUCACCCCAUACCCUCUAUUAAAUAACCCCACCAGAAACUUAGCUUGAGAAACAUUACAACCGCUCACAGGAAUAGGCCUAAAACCCUCGAAUCCAUGCAGCCCCUCACCCAAAGCCCACUUCUCUCCAGGCCCAUAUUCAACCCGGCCCACACAAUCCUCUAUUUUGGGCCCCAACAUGUCCCUCUCAACAAUCCUCAGGCCCAUCUUGUAGCCCCCGCAGAAGCUGCUUCCGAGUGAGUCAGCAGUAGUAGAGAAAUGGUGCAGUGCCUCGCAAAAGAACCCCGAAAAUGAGUCGAACGCGCUCUUACUACAUCUGAACAACUCAUCCUCUACUAACACUACCAAUCUGGGACUCAACUUUUUUACUCCAAGAAGAAAGCUUUUGAGAGAUCUGUAGCUCCUACUCGGGCAUUGCACUUGGUGCAUCAUGCAACUAACUAUUAACGUUCUUUUACUGUUCAGUUCAAUUCUCUCAAUAUCUCCUCCAUCGUUCAUUGAAAUCCAAUCAAAGUGGAGCAUUAAACCGAUGGAUUCGGCGAACUCUGAAAGCCGACGACCGGUCCGGUGGACCGAGUCCACCGCGUCGCCGUCCUUCACGACGGCGGUGAUGCGAAGCGAGCUGGCCGGGCCCCGACCCACGAGGUCCGCCAUUAACGGCGGCCAUUGGAUCCCUUCCAUGACAUCGAAGUCGAUGACGUGGACGUCGUCGUCACCGUCGGUGGCCUCGAGAAUGGCCUGGUUGGCCGCGAAGUGCGCGAACUUCACGUACGGCGAGAGCUCCUGGACCAUUUGAUGGGCCGACAUGUUAUGGACUGAGUCCGAGCGGCCCAAUUUGGACUCAUUCCGUGGGCCGUGAUGGGCCGUCCUGGACCGCAGGCCACGGGCGAAGUAAUGGGCCAACCGGUCGAACGAGCCGGUCGAACCGGAUUGGGCGAGGAGGAGCCGGUCGAGGCGGUCGAGCACCGACCGGGCCCGGUCGGAGUCGGCAGACUCGACCGCGUCGGCUGCGGCUAAGAGCAGAUCACUCGAGCUGUUCUCUUCCAUGAGCUCUUCUUGAAUUGCUACUAAGUUCUCUUCGAGGGAUAAAACGGGCCCUUGGAAAAGCCAAUUUGCGUGUGGGUGUUCCUCACCGAGGUACGUAUGCACCGUUGGAUCCGUGCACCCCACUGGAUCAUCAGAGAUUGAUUCAUCGUGCUCCGUUGAGAAGGAGAAGAGAGGGGUUUGGGGAUAUGCAAUGGCCUCCAUUAAUGGCUUCGGUUGUGGGACACCGCGCACACAAAGUAGCUUCUUCCUUCCUUGUGAUCUUAGAGAUAAGAGAUAAUUAUUAUAUACACGAAUCCUAUUGGGUGUGAACUCUCCGAAGUGGGCCCCACACGAUGCCAGGGUCCUGUCACGGUCGGGCCCACAAAGAAGUUUUUGGGCUGUUAUGGGGUCGGCACUGGUUUCUUUUAGCUUCAUAAAAAAAAAUUAUAUAGGUGUAUUUAUUAUUAUUUAAAUGUAUUAUAUAUUCGGCAACGUAUUGGUGUUGUGUGUGUGUGCGUGUGUGUUGGGAGGAAGAGGUAAUGUGGGCAUGGAAUAUGCCGAUCGAUAGCGCUCGUCGCUUACGUUAGCCAUUAGACCGAGGACAAACACAUUGCCGUAUAUUCUCCCAUUUUUGGGAGCAGUGAAGUGAUCAGCAAAUAUGAAUGUAAUAAGGAUAAACUUUAAUUUAUUAUACUGUAAAAUUAUACUUAAUUAUUAUUAUUAUUAUUAUUUUUUGAGAGAUAGGUAGCACGCUACCCGCUUCGUUUAUUUCAUUUAGAAAUAAACUUAGCUAAAAAUGUAAAUCAAAUAGGAUUCGAACUUGGGUCUCGGGUAUCAACCACUAAAUCUUUUACCACUUGCUCUAGGAAUUGUCGGUAUACUUAAUUAUUUUAUUGUUUUGUGUAUUUUAUUAUGUCAUGUGGUUUCAGAAACUACACUUAAUUAUUAUGUGAUUUCAUUUUUAUUUCACAGUAUAAAUUUACCAUAGUAUUAUCACCUUAUGAUUUUUUUUAAAAAAAAAAUACGUUAUUCUUCUAUUUGACAGCAUAAUUUUUUAGUAAAAUAAAAAUAAAACAAUAGAAUAGCUAAGUAUAAUUUUUUGAAUCAUAUGAUGACAAAGUGAAAAUGCAUUAAACUAUAAGGAAACAAAUUGAAGUUUGGCCAAAUAAUAAUAAAGUUGGCAUUGUGUCUCUACUAUAUGAACACCUCGCCAGUUCUAAUGCACAAAGAAACAUUUUUAAAUGAUUAUUAGCUAUAAAGAAACAAUUAUAAGAGCUCAAUUGUGAAUAUUGAUCAAAUUUGAGGUGUUACAUAUGCAUACGAAAUUUCUCUAUGAAACAUUUGAGAAAAUACAAUGUGGAAAAUGACAUGUAUAUAGCUUCACUCUACGAUUUAUAAUUGGAAUUACACCAAACUGCAUGUCCAUAUAUAUAUAGAUUUUUUGGGAAUGAAAGCGAAACAAUAAUGUCGCCUAGUAAUGAAUUUGAGAAGAAAACCCCAAAUUAAAUUGAGAUAUUCUUCUUUUCUAGUUCAUGACUCUUGCGUUGGAUUCUCCUUUUAGUUGAUCGCAUACGGCUAUGAAGCUAAAAUUUAUGUACCCCAGUACACAUUUAUGAGUCAGUUGAUCGAAUGGAGGUGUAAAUGAAAUAUAAUUAGAGAUGCACGCACUAUAAUAAAUACAGUAAUUAUAGUUGGAUUCUAUCUUAGUUUUGUUUUGUGAUGCGUAAAAAGGAAUUGUUGCUAUGUCAAAUAAGUUCAUCUAAGCUAACAACCACAAUAACUUCUUUUUCCUUUUUCUUUCUUUGAAAAAAAGAUAACAUAUUAACUAUUUCAUUCAAUAAAAAAAUGAAUUUAGCUACAAGAUACCGAGGCAGCUAAGGCCUCCAUAAGAGCAAGAAAGACACAGAAAACAGAUCGAAAAGAGAAGAAAAAUUUUUCAGCAAAAACUAACUUGACAUCUCCCUACAGUUGAGGUCAGCCUUUUCCCCUCUUCUCCCAGUCUGUCCAAAAAUUUACGAUCUCCUCAAGAACACGAUAAAUAUUCCUUUUCUUAUCCUGAAAAAUAAUACAAUUUCUUUCUAACCAUUUUAUCUAUUAUGAGGCCGUUAGCUUAUAAAGUUCUUGCUUUUUCUAGCCAUAUUACCGACAAUAACAACUUCCAGAAAAAGGUUUUACCAAAUAUUUGGGUGUUACUUUUCGGGGCAAAAAAGAAGCUAUGGAUGUCAGGCUUGAGUAGUCACGAUUGCUCAUCAUGUACUUAAUUUGUUUACCCGACAAAUCAAUAUGUCCAUUAGAAAAUGAUCAUCUAUGUACUAAUCAAUUCAAAAAGGCUUAGCAGGGUUUUAACAUCUUUUUUUUGUUUUCUGUUAUUUGAUAUCUAAUCUCAAAGUUCUUGUUUAACAUUUUCCCUAUGUAAAAGAGUACUACAGAAGAUUCUUACAUCUGCAUAGUUGUUUGAACUAGUAAUUCAUGACGUGACAAUAGUUCCUAAGCCAAGCACAAAUAAUAUCAUAAUACAUAUAAUUCGAAAAAAAAAAGGUAAGAAAAACUCUCACAAAUGAUUGGAUUAAACUUAUUGCUUAUUAGUGACACAAAAAGAGUUAAAAGGCCGGCAAGUUGAGAGCGCUUCACAUCAUUCUCAUAUUCAUAAAUCAUAAUCAUAAACAUAUAUAUGUAUAUAAUAAAGGCAAAGCUUUUUAAUAGUUCAUAAAAAUAUAGUAUCACACAAAACAUUCAGAUACCUCCUUUCUUCCACAAAGGGACAAUUUCUUGUUCACCAAAAAAAAAAAGAGAAAAAAGUAGGAAUAUAAUUCCAGUACUGUAUGAUUGAGUCCAUUCACAGUUACAUAGCUGUCUUGGUUAAGUAUUAUAAAGUGUAAUGAAAGCUCCAGCACUAAUUGCCUUUCUUUAAUUUUCUCUGUGUCCUUCAAGAUGAAAUGAGUGGAUAUAUAGAGAGGAAUGAGUAAGUACACACAAUGCACAUAGGUUGAGUUGUAGUUGUACUCUUACUUAGAUCCUUCCUGGUGUUUAAUAAGACUUUAAAAAGAUGUAGUAGUGUUGAUGCUCCCUCAAUGCAGUGCUGUCCCACUCCCACAGUCCCCAAACAAAGUCCACAACUUGGUUGGUAGAGAAUAUGGCUUUCCAACAUCACCAACUACCAAGAAGGACAAGUAGCAGUUGGAGGAAGCUUCUGGUGUGAACUGUGAACAGUAACAGGCUCUCAGCAGCAGUUUUGUUGCUUUCAGAAAAAUUAUUAGCAAAGAAAAAAAGAAGAAGAAGAAGAAGGGAACAACAGUUUCUGUUGCUUUCUCUGAUCUCAGCAUCAAGAAGUCAUUGUGAAGUUUAUUACUAAUGGCUUCAAAGAGGUGUUUUCUGAGAGGUGGUGUUUAGAGAAGUGUUGUUUCUACUAGAAGCUUUGAUAAGUAAACUGAUCCCAACAGCUCUCUGCAGCAGCUAAAGUUUCAAGUUUUUUAAUCUUUAAUCUUCAGUUUUGAGCUCUGAAGCGCGUUUCAUUUUUUAAUUUUUUAUAUAUAUAUAUAUAUAAGCGUAAAUUUGCACUGGUCAAAUGUACACAUACUGCUUUUAUGCCCCUUUUUGUUUAUGGGUUGUAAAUUCAACGCUUUUUAAAACAUAAAGUCGGAAAGGUGUACAAAAGUUUAUUAGUUAGUACUAUAUCUUGUAUUUCAUCAAAUCAUAAAUUUCAUUGAUGCAAGAUUACAAAAAAUCUGCAAUCGACAGAUUCAUUCAAUUUACACAGACAUUAAGUCCAAAAGAAUCAAAAUAGCAAAAGCGUAACAAAAUCUCACCUUAAUUACUAAUUUUGUACGAUGACUUUGACGGGAAGUUCAAAUUUUGCAUGAUGAUUCCAUAACCCUGCUAACGAACAAACUUUGCUAAACAUAUUUAACAAAUUAAUUGCCCACUACUAAUUAAUACAAAAAACUAGAUUAAUGAUAAUAUAUAGCGCAAGUCAUUCUUUAAUCCUGAUAGGGGAGCCAGAGCUUGGGCCCAAACCAUAUUGAAACAGCAGAGUAGAAGAUAAAAUAAAAGGCUUGUUAAUUAAGAAGUUAAUAACACAUUUAUUAAUAGCUAUGGAAAAUACAAGGUGUUCACCAUGUCGGUACACUGUAUAGCAAAUUGCACUCUGAUUAGUUAUGUCCCACUUUCGCUGUUAUACGUUGCCAAAUUCCAACGGUUUCAAUAAUUGGGUGAAUUGUUUAUCAUCUUAAAAUUCAAAAAAUAAAAUAAAAAAAUAUAGUGUGAGGGGGGUGAGAGGAAAAGUUAACAGAGACGUGAGGUCCCACAUCCAGUUUUAAGUAAUUUGUUAAUACAAUUGUGUUAAUAAAAUAGUUAGGUACAGUACUCGAUCUUGGGCUUUUAAGAGUUAUAAGUUCCAGUUUCGUGCGUGAACUUUAAAGCUGAAAUUGGACAUUACAAACUUUAAAGGUAUCUCAUUUAUUGAAUAAAAACUAUUGCUUGCAUACGGUGAACUCGUACGCUGUACAUAAUCAAAUCAAACUUAAUUAAAAGAAAAAGGAAGUGCAUUAAACAUUGGGAUAGUGAGUACGCGGUAGUAACAAUUUGGGGACAUUUAUUUCCCAUUAUUUGGUCACUGCAAAUUUACAAGAUGAUGCAUGCCAUAACAUAAAAUUGCAUUUUCUGGGGCAAGCUCACAUACGUGUCCACAAUACUAAUACUAAGACCGCCCACACAAAGCAUACGCUUGCUUCCUUAAACUUCUAUUUCAUAGAGCAGCACACAUCACUUCCUUUUACAAUAUAAAGUGAAUCUCUCACAGCAAAGUAAAUGGAUCUAGCAUUGCGGAUACGAGACCAACGAAAUAAUUUACCAGUUAGAUAAAAUAAGUUAGAUGAUUUCGAUUUCUAUAGUACCAGCCACCACAUAAAAAUAGACCAGGUUGUACAGUACACAUCUCUUUACAGAGUUAUAACAGAUAUAUCAAACCUAAUGUAAAAGUAUAGGAAUGGCUAUAGUCAACGAUAUCGCACCAAUAACAUUAACCUAGAGUUUGGUCCUUUACUAAUUGUGGGUCAUCUACAGUCAAAUAUGUCGCCUAUAGAUAUUAUCACAAUUAAUGAUACAAACAACAACAAUUCCACAACAAGAUUGUAUCAUCUGCAUACAAUAUUCAUGAACCAUAUUCUUCACCUGACUAAGUCCGUUGAGUAUGCCUACAUGAAAUCCAUUGAGUCGUUUAGAGACUGACCGCUAGUAGACUGGCUGUUUGAAGAAGCCUGAGACUGAGAUUGAUGAAGAUGCGGAGGCCGAUGACUGCCCAGCUGGGGCAACUGUUGCAGCUGAGGGAUAUAAGAGGGCAUGGCUCGCGGAAUCCCUCCAUUAAAGGGAUUGAGUCUCACAUUUGGAAGUUGGCCGCUCGCUAUCUUAAGCCGCUGCACUUCUUCUCUCAAUGUCUCGUUCAAAGCUGCAUGGAAUUAAAUGAACUUUCACCUUUCACAAGAAGUAUCCUUUAAUGUUGUAUUGGAUUAGUAGAUAUUUUAUUCAGUCAAUAAACUCUGAGACCGUAGGGAAGUGCGACUGGAAAAUAAAAUUAAAGACAUACCAUCUCGAAGCUGAGCCUGUUGUUCCAUAGCCUGUAAACGCAGUUUGAGCUCUCUGUUCUCAGUAGUUAAACCGGUCGUUUCUCUCUGAAUUAUAAGAAAGUAGUAAUUACAAGGAAUAUAGUAAAAUAUUGAAGAAAAAAUUGAAAAUUAAUUUGAAAUAUAAAAUUCCAAGUGUAUAGUUCUACUCCUGUAGAAAAAUAACAAAUAGCAAAAUGAAAAACAAGGAGAUAAACAGGAAAGAAGAAAAGAAACGACCAAUGAAAACAAGGAUAUUCAUUUCACUUUUGGUUCUCAAACUAUGAGGCGGGUGAUAAUUUAGAGUUUAAGUAUUAAAGUAUCACCCCUCACAGUUUGAGGACCAGAAGUGUAAUUUAGCCUAUCUUCUUUGACUAACGUGAUUCAAUAGAGUGAUGACUCACAUAGAAAGGGCAGCAAACUUUUUUGGAUCUACUAAAGAAAUUCAGUAACUUUCAGCAAGUCAAGAAAGCAACAGAAGACGGAAAGGAAACCAUAAAGUUACAAGAUGUUAACUCCUGGUUGAAAGUUACUCGAGCGACAAGCCCAUGAUGGACCUCACUAGCAUCCUUAAUCCAAAUAUGUUCAAUUAUACCCAGUAACAACAUUUCCAGUAUUCCAACAAGUUUUGGCAUUUCAAACAGAUAUCUAUUUUAGAGGAAUGAAUGAAGGAACCUUUUGCUGGUACCCCAUCCAGAUCACAUUUCAGUUAUAGUAUCUACACAAUAACAAGAGGAAAAAGAUGCCUUACUUAUCAGGCACAGCUCNNNNNNNNNNNNNNNNNNNNNNNNNNNNNNNNNNNNNNNNNNNNNNNNNNNNNNNNNNNNNNNNNNNNNNNNNNNNNNNNNNNNNNNNNNNNNNNNNNNNAUCGUUGAUUGAUUCAAAUCAAACAACUUGAAAAAUAUGCAUAGUAAAAUCACAAAUUAGAAAAGAGUGAGUAGUCAAAUUAAAAUAAUUUAUAGUUCAAAUAAGUUCAAUAGAUUUUUAUUAAAAAAAAAAUCAAAAAAAGCCCAAGUGCAUGCUGGUUUGUCAUCUUACUAAUAACCCGGUCUGAAUUUGUAUUGGCCCAAUAGUUUUUGGGCCAACUAACACCUUUUAACCAAGCAAUCAGGUACAUUGCAGUUAAAACUAGGGCUUCUUAUAAAAAUUUACUCAAACAACACUUCUAUGAAAUCUUCGGCUAGAUCAAGAGCCAUGGCGACAAGCAUUGUAGCGCUGUGCAGGAUUGAUACUGCCCAAUUUGCCAUGCGAUCGAUAUUGCACUCUGCCGGUUCGGCACAAUCCAUAUUACAUUGCUACCUAGGCUAAAGUUAAGACCCCAAAAAAUUGCACCUUUUGUCUCAAAAGAGGUCGCAAUGCACCUACCCAAUUUUGAUCAAGUCUUAACAAAGUCAUUAUUGGGGAAAAAAUUGGUCCACUUACUUUGGCAUUUGUCAUGACCUGUCUUUCUCCUUGUCUUUUACGAUCCUUCAAAUUCUUCUUCACCUUCUUUCCAGUCUUAUUUUAGAGACUCUCAAUUAAAAAAAAGGGGAAAGAAAAAGAAUAACAUAAAAACUUGUGGGUUUCCUGGAAACUGUUGAAUAAAGAGGUGCUCCCCUUUCACACAUAUCAAGCUAAAGAGUAAGCACUAAAAGGACAUGAUCAAUAUUAUAAUAGGCUAUGGACCUUGAACAAGACAAAAAAAUGAGUUACCCUAGAGUCAACACUUGAGCUCAGUAGUCAACAAUUGAGGCACCGAGUUAGGUCAAAUAGGAUGUCUUUUACCAUCUAUUGUUUCUACUAAAAAUAAAGUAUUAUUUCACAGCCUAAUUACUAACAACUUAUUUAUUCACUUUCUAGCUCGUUUAUGAUUGGGUUAGGUAUUACUAGCCUUAAAUUGCCAUUUAGAUAGACCCCUAGAAGUAGAUCAUGGUUAAAGUUUUUUAAUCCUUUUUUUACAAUCUUUCUAUUCCGCUAUUGGAGUUUGAUAAUUCUCGACAUCAUGUCAUGCACAGCUUAAAUUCACCAACUAUUCUGUCCCAAGAUUCGCGCAUUAUAUUUUAAUUCAAGCCUAUAUUCUGUGAUUCAUCCUGAGCAAAUCCUAAGGCGCGAUAAAAGGAGCAAAUUUAGUUGAGAUCGUCUCAACCAAAUUUUCAUAUAUAGAAAAGACUCUAGAAUGCAAUCAAAAAAAAAAAAGAAAAAUCUAAUUAUUUCACUCUAUGAUUUCCUUCUUCUCCUGAACUUUUUUUUUUCUUUUUUUUUUUUUGAGAGAUAAAUAACACGCUAUCCGAUUUAUUUAUUUUAUUUAAAAAUAAAUUUAGCUGGAAAUAUAAAUCUACUCCUAAACUUUCGCAAUAAGUGUGGAAAGGGACUAUGGCCCCUUGACUUAUAUGUGCACAAAAUUUUCAAAUAAAUUAAAUUCUUUCAUGCAUGAUUGGGCGGAGUUAAUAUUAUAUAUUUGGGCUCCGGGGGACAUGGGUCUGAUCGGUCACGAGCCUACGAAAGCAAAACAACCGUAGAAACAGAGAGGAGUGAAUUAAAAAAAGGGGAAUAAACCCAAAUUAACAUUAAUGCGUUUUCCCUAAAAAAAAAAAACAAAUAAAAUUCGGGUAAUCAGCAUUAUGUCCUACCACUGGAGAAAUUAUUUCUUAAUUUAUUAUCCUAAUUAUCCUAAUUAUACAUACAUACAUAUAUAUAUAUAUAUAUAGAGAGAGAGAGAGAGAGAGAGAGAGAGAUGAGCUAGGAUGCUAUCAUUAACAAACAAAUUCCGUUGCCACUUAUUUGUUUUUGAUAGUGGAGUUUCCAAAUCGACGAUCGGCAUUAUUGAGCAUGAUCCACAUCACUUGAAGUAUCUAGAAUCAAAUUUCAAAUCUUUUCAACAUUAUUGACCUAAUGAUCAAAGAGUUUAAAAAUUUGUAAUUUUAAUGAUCGAUAUUUAGCAUUUUCUUAUAUGACAGUGCAAAAAUAUUCCAAUCAAUUGACUUUUGGUUAGAAAAUUUUUUAAAUUAUUUACAACAAGAUCUAUACUCUCGAUCUUGAUUACAAGAUUUCUAUCAUCACUUUUAAAUCGAUAUUCAUUUCCAGCCGUUCAUUUUGUGUCCACUUGAUAGACAAAAGAACAAUAUUGAAAAAGUAUGGAAUUUCGUUUCUAAAUGCUUCCAGUCAUGUAAAUCAUAUUCAAUGGCGUCAAUCGUCGAUUUAGAGGAUUCAUCAUCGAAAAAAAAUGAAUGGCAACGGAGCCCAUUCGCUACCGAUAGCAUUCUAGCUCAACUCUCUCUCUCUUUCUCUUUCUCUUUCUCUCUCAGAAUGUCGUGAUAUUAUAUAAUGAACUUUAAUUAGACUUUAUUUGAAUGCCAAAAUAAAUUAUUCAUUUAUAUCUUACUCAUCGUAAUCUUUUUAUUAUGAAAAAAAAUUAGUACUAUGGUCAAAUGUGUAAAUAGAAUUGCAUAUUCGGCAUUUAAGUUAUUUUUUCAAAAUACAGUAAAUCAGUUCGUAGGUUUUAGGUUGUAGUCUAACUUAUUUUGCAUAUCAAAAUGGAAGGAGCUUUCUUUAUUAUUCUUACUUUCGACCCAUAAAAAGUUUUCUCAUGAAGAAGAGAAAGUCCAUAAACACCACUCCCAUGAUUGAGCAUUAGGUCCAAAUCCACUGAUCAGAACAUAGGUCUAUAAACAAAAAAAAGCAAAAUAAAAAAAAUGGGAAAUUUUGAAUUCAUCUACAAUUAUUUGUCCUAUGCAUAUUAAUAUGGCCUUGACCCCAACAACCCAUCAUUUACACAGUAGAUGGAUGGUAAUCAUGGAAGCGAUAUAUUAUAUCACAUCACUACAACAGAAUUAGAUUAUAGAGACACAUGUUUGUGAUACUUUUGAGUAAGUAUUCCAUUUAUACAAAAACUUAAAAAAAUAUCUACUAAUGCCUAAAUAUAAAGCCCAAUCCAAUAAAAAAUAAAAGAUUACUCUACUCAACCCACCACAUCCAGUCCAUUUGGCCCGAUUACAAAAAAAAAAGAAAAAAAAAAGAAAAAUCAAUUACCAUCUUUUCUUCUCUCUUCACUCAAUCCACUGAAAUUCUAGACGAAGAGCCUUUCCUGUCGUCCUCCUCCGCCACCGCAACCAACGAGAUAGAGUUUCGGCGGUUGCUAAAUGCUUAAAUAAGUGUUGGUAAAUUAGCAGCACUCCUUUAGGUUAUAGCGACACUCUUUAACUGUCACUAUAUACCUAGCGACCCCACAUAUAACAACACUUUUUAAAAGUGUCAGUAAUUUUAGCUAGCAGAACUUUUUUGACAUGUACCUAUAUUUAAAAGUAUUGCUAUAGACCGUUUUUGUUGUUGUGCAUGGGUAAUUAAAGGAUUAAUUUCGUAAUUU